AGGACUUAACCUGUGUUCGAACUUUUUUCAGUUUCAGUACAGGUAGGGUAAACAUUGGUUCGAAUUUCAAACUAUUGAAGGUUUUGGACAUACAAAGCACUCCUUUGGAAAACUUUCCAAGUGCCAUUACAGAUCUUCUGCUCUUGAGGUACUUGAGUUUGAGGAAUACAAAUAUAAGGAGCAUCCCCAAAUCCCUCAGGAACCUACGGCACCUUGAGACCUUGGAUCUUAAGCAAACUCUGGUAAAAGAGCUACCCAAAGCAGUCCUACAACUUGAUAAACUUCGCCACUUGCUGGUUUAUGCCUACAAUAUGGGAAGUGUUGUAGAGUUUGAUGCCGUUCAAGGGUUCACUGUACCGAGAAAGAUCGGAGCAAUGAAGAAUCUGCAAAAGCUAUCAUUUGUAAAGGCGAAAAGGCAUAACAGAAUGAUACAGGAGCUCAAAAAUCUGACAAAGCUGAGGAAGCUGGGCAUUGUAGAACUAGCAAAAGAAGAUGGCAAUAGCUUGUGCCACUCAAUUGAGAAGAUGCCGGAUCUCCUUUCCUUGGAUGUUACCUCCCUUAGUAAGGGGGAGCCUUUGGAGCUUGAUGCAAUGACCAAUCCCCCGCGUCUUCUUCAACGCCUGUAUCUCAAAGGGCACUUGCAAAGGUUUCCAAAGUGGGUAUCUUCUCUACAUGACCUGGUGAGAAUACGCCUAAAAUGGUCCUUAUUGUCACAAGACAACCCAAUUGAAGCUCUUCAAGAUCUUCCAAACUUGAUGGAGCUGCAGUUACUUGAUGCAUACACUGGAACCCAGUUGGACUUCAACUCGGGAAAAUUUCAGAAGCUUAAGAUAUUAGACCUUGAGCAAUUGAAACAGCUGAGGUUUAUCAUAAUGGAAGAUGACACAUUGCCUUGCCUACAAAAGCUGAUCAUAAGGCAAUGCAAUGAGCUGGAACAUGUCCCCGUAGGCAUUGACGGGCUUCAUCAUCUCAAUGAGCUGCACCUCUGCGAUAUGCCUGAGAAAUUCGUGGCACUGCUGAAGAAAAGAGGCGGUGAACUUCGCCAUUUGCUUCACCGUAUUUUGCGUAUUCUCUCAUAUCAACAGGGCCAGUUGGUGGAAGAUCUUUCAUGACCAUAAAUGCUACAUCUGUGACAUGCACCAGUGGAACAAGAAUCAAGGUUUGUAUAACUACAUGGAUUCAUCGCUUGCUUCUUUUGGAUUCCUCAAAAUGCAUUGUCGUCAAUUCCUUUACUAGCAAUAUUACUGCAUGUUCCUAGGAAAUCAUGGUGGGAUAUCUAGCAUUUAUACAUAUCAAACAUCGAAUAUCUGUGGAGUCAUAUUUGAAACUGCCAUUGUUGAAACUACGCCGAGACUCGGUACAAGACAGUCGGAUUAUGGUUAGGUGUCAAGCCCCUGAGCCUUCCAAUUGAUUUUUAUUAUUCUUGUAUUGAUAAUAGUAUGAAGUUAGAAUCAAUUUUAUUAUAUUUCGCUUAAAACGUCGGAAUCAGUUUCACAUUAAGCUUGUAGGAUAGCGAACAAAUUGAAUAUCAAUUUACUAUAAAAAUCUUCUCUUUUUUUUUUUCAAUUUUUUUAUUUAUUUUAUACUUGUGUCUGGUUUGGUUAACAAAUAAUGACAUUAUGCCCACUUGUGAAUUUUUAAUAUUAUGUUUUUAUGAUUAUUUUAGAUGAUAUUAAAUAUAAUAGUGAUUUGCUUUAAUUGUUGGUUUGUUGAAUGCAUUCUUAUCCAAUUGUUUUUAUUUAUUUUCUCUAAAAUUUUUAUUACUUUAAAAUUGUUCUAUACUUUUUAAUUAAUUAAGCAGUUUAUUCUGCAUAUAGUCUGGUUUAAUCGAAUAAAAUACGAUGACGAAGUCCUCUAAGAAUCUUCUAUAAAAGUCAACUCUGCCCAAUCAAUUCUUUCACAGGGGAACAAUGGUUUAUUAAUGUGCAACUAGCGUUUUUAUAAAUAAAAUAUUCUUAAUUUCCUCUAAAUAUCAGAUUAGUGUUAGACAAAACCAAUAAUAAUAUUUUUAUUGGGAUUUUUCAAUGGCAUUAUAAAGUCACCAAUCAAUUAAUAAAAAAUGGUCAUUGAAGUCACCGUGAUUUAUUGAUUUAUUUAUUUUUACCUGGACAAUGAUCUUAAUUAUUGUUUUUUCUGUAUUAUUUAAGUAUCAAGUUUUUAACAAAAGAAACCCAAGGUUAUGGAUGGGCAUUUCUCAAUACUAGAGGUACUAGUUUUUUUAGGGAAAAAUAGGUAUAAAAAAAAUUUAAUAUUUGCUAAAUUUUGGAAAAGUUGAAUAAUAUUGAGAUUAGUACCUUGAAAAGUUAAAAUUAUUCAAACACAAAAUAAAGAAUAAAAAGUAUAUUAAUAAUUUGUUUAGUAAAUUUUAACAUUUCUUUUACUUGAAAUUUUUUUAAAAAAAAAUUCUAUAUAGGGCAUAUAAUUAGGAUUAGGUUUAUUAAUAAAUGAAAUGUUUUUCUUAGCUGACAAUGCAAUCAUGUUGACCCAUAAAUUUGCAUUAGAUUUAUGAGAAAACUUUGAAUUUCUUUAUUUUCUUUUACAUGGCACAAAGGUUUAUAUAGAUUGUCUUGAAGUAGCAGUAAAGUGAUCCUUUAAGUACCACAAAUACUUGUGAUUUGGAAAUAAUCAAAGUCUUCCCAAUUGGGACGACCCUAGGUUCCAAUACAUUAGCAUUGAUUUCUUUGAGUUGUAUAUGAUGCUUCUUUUCAUGUUAUUUACGACAUUGACUACUAGAAUCUCUUGCAGAUGCAAGUGGCAUUCAUUAAAAGUUAAGACCACUGCUUUCAAGGGUCCUAUGUCCAGCUUCCGAGCAACAACAAUACGAGAAUGGGAAUGGUAAUGGGGUGGAAUUUUCUUGAUGGGACAAAUUUGGGAUAAAUAUGAAUGAGUUCAACCAACAAAUUUGAGAUUUUUUGUUUUUUUUUUGAACCCAAAGUGGGUUUGGGUAUGAUGUUGUCCCAUCCCAUAUGUAAUAUUAAAUAAAAAUGAUUUUAAUACAUUUUUGACUUUUUUUAACAUAUAUCAAAUAUUUUUUUUUAUAAAGAUAAAUUAUACAUAUUUAUAAUAUUUAUUUAUUUGUAAAUUAUAUUUAUUUUUAAUACAAUUUAAAAGUAAAAAAAUUAAGAAAAAAUAAAAAAUAGACAGACAAGGUGAAUAUGAGAAUUUUCCUACAUCUGUUCUACCUAUUUAUUUAUUUUUUUCAUGAAAAUGAGAAUAAAUAUAAAUAAAUUGGACGAUAUUAAAAUAUGGGUGACCAUCUCAAACUUGCCCGUUACCAACCAUAACCGAGAAGAUUGGGUCAAUGUGGAUUUUUAAGCUCCUUUUUUGGUUUGGGUUUGCAAAAAAAGACCCAACCAUUUAUUCGUUUGGCCAUAUGAAGUUGAUGAAUGCAACACCUUAACUCGGAACAUGACAUCCAUCAAACUUAGGCAAUCUCUCGCGUAAAUUUUAAGAAAUCACAAUAACUAGGAAUUUUCAACUAUGAAAUUUCCAAAAGAUAGCAUCAUUUUACAUUGUUCUAAGGCCAGUGCCAAAGGGUUCAUGUAGAAUUUUCAAAAUGUUUUUGUCCUGAGAAAAUACAUUUUGGAUAUGUUUCGUACCCAGUAAAUUCCAGGAUGCACAUAAUGGAAAUAAAAUUGAAAAAAAGAAAAAAAAAAGUAAAGAAAAAUAAAAUAUAGAUUUAAGAUCAAUAAAUUAUGUUAUAUAUUUCUUCAAACUAAUUUCACUUAUUUUCCUUAUUAUCUAAAGAUUAAAUAAUUUUAAAAUACAUAAAUCUUUUAUUAACUUUCAUUAUAUUUGAUUUUUUUUUAUAUUUUUUAUAAUAAAAUUAAACAUGAGAAAAUUAGUUUUAUUAACAUUUUUUUUUCUUUUACUUUCCUAGAACCGAACAUAGUACUAAGAAGCUAUAGCUAGAAAUGCCAUGAUACCAUUUUCUUGAAAACUUCCAUAUAAUUAAUAUGUACAUGUAGAUUACCUACAAUUUUCAAAUAGACAAGUACUUGUGUGUUUCAGUUUCCAAAACUUUUAUUAGGAACUCAACUUAAGACUUUACUGAAUUCAUGGGAUUGUCAGAUUUAGUAUAGGAAGAAAUUUUCCAUUGUUGACUAUAAUCUAUAUAUGGUGACCAUGUGACAUUAAUAUAUUUAUUUAGAUAUAUAAAAAAAUAUUUGAUUAAAAGACUUAAAAUACUCUUUGUAAAACCAAGGUUUGGUUAAUCUUGAUUUUGAUGAUAAAAAUAAAAAAUAAAAUUAGAAUUCAUGAUUAUAUUUCAACUGUCACUAGACAAGAUGAUUUCUAGAGUGACAAUCACAAAAAUAAAAUUAAGUCAAAGAGAAAUCAAUAAAAAGAAGAAAACCUCAAAAAGAAAUGUUUUUCAAGACCUAAGCUCCAUAGGAUAUCUUUGUAAGGUUGUUGGUGCACCAAGUUUUUCAUGCAUUACAUUCUUUACUUAUGCACCAAAAUCAUUUAAGAAUUAUUUUGUUUUAAAUAUUUUAAAAUAAGAUGAUUUCAUGUUUUCAACUAAAACUUUGUGUCAAAUACUUUCCAAACUUGUUUAAAAUAGUUUUAAGUUAAAAAGAUGGUUAUUGAACCAAAAACGACUCAAUUGGUUGAGAAAUUUGCUCAAUCGGUUGAACAUAUUGAGGAACCAAUCAACCUGUUCAACUUAACUGGUUGAAGGGUGUAAAAAAACUCUUUCUCUUCCAGAACACUUAUUCGAUCGAUCGAUCGAGGUUGGACCUCAUCCGAUUGACCAAUUCAGCUCAAUCAGUUGAAAGGUGUAAAAAUCUUCUUUCUAUUCCAAAAUACUUCUUUGACUAGUUGAGGUUGGACUUCAUCUGGUCAAGUACUAGUUGAGGAGCGGUUGAGGUUCAACAGUCACCUGUCAUGCAUUAAAUGUUAAUGGCUAGUGAACCAGUCGAAUUGGAGCUCGAUCGGAUGAACUCGCAAUGACUAGUUAGACUUAUCUCCUCUAUAAAAAGGUUCCAAUCUUUAUUGUUUCAAGAGUUUAAUCUUCGUAACCCUUUCUUGAAUAUAUUUGAGCAUUGAAAGUGUGUUUUUUAGUGCACCAUUGUUCUAAAACUUGCAAUCAUUAAUGCACCAGUCAAUCCUAAUUUAUCUUGUAUCAUUUGAACCUAAAGUUUUGUACUAGAUUUUGUGAGAUUAUUUCUUAUCUUCAUUUGUAAAUCUUUGAGAGAAAUAAUCUAAGUGUGAGGUAUCAUUUAGGGAUAUUUAAGUGUGGGGUAUCACUUAGAAAUUCUUAAGUUUGGGGUAUUAUUUGAGGGAUUGUUCAAAAGUGAUCUAUCUCUUAAGGAUUUUAAAGGAUGAACCUAAAGUUCUGUACUAUAUUUUGUGAGAUUAUUUCUUAUCUUUAUUUGUAAAUCUUUGAGAGGAAAAAUCUAAGUGUGAGGUAUCAUUCAGGGAUAUUUAAGUGUGGGGUAUCACUUAGAGAUUCUUAAGUGUGAGAUAUCACUUAAGGGGUUGUUCAAAAGUGAUGCAUCUCUUAAGGAUUGUAAAGGAUGCUUAGAGCCAAAAGUUCAAGAGGGUGAAUUGGAACCAUAAUCCAAUUAUAUUGCUUGAAUGCUUGGUUUGAAAGCCUUGAAUUAGUAGAAUUUCAAACUUGUGAUUGAAACUGGAGGAGAGUGGACAGAGGCUAGGUUGCGUUGAACCAUUAUAAAAAUCUUGUAUUUGCAUUCUCUCUUAUAUUCUCUUUUAAUUUAUAUGCAAUUGUUUUUAUAUUAUUUAUUAUAUAAAUUACAUAUAAUUAUCUCUUAAAUUUACAUAAUUUAAAUUUACAAAAAGAGACCAUCACCCUAUUCACCAUUUUUAGAGUGGUUACCUUAGGUUGGAUUAACUUUUUUUUUUUUUUUAAUACUUUUGAAAUUGGAAAAAUGACGUUCUUUACUCAUUCCUUGAAAAAUAAAAAAAUGAUUCAUUUUGGAUGUUAUUCUUCUUUUUUAUUUUCUUAAAAAUGCCAUUUUCUUCUAUUUCCUAAUUUAUUUAUUUAGUUUUCACAUUUAGGAUACCAAGCUCUCUUUCUCCCUCUAAGUUUAUGCUUUCCAAUUUUUCAUUGAAUUUUUUUAGUGAAGUUCAAAUCCUUAACAAAGAUUAAUGGAUAAUGAUCGGUUGUAGUCCUCUCAUCUUUCUUUUUUCUUCAAGAUUCUUUAUAUUUUCCAUUUUCUCUUUAUUUCUUGUUGGAAUUUUUUAUUAGAGGGUUUUUUUUGAAAUUGUUAUUUUUAAAAUUUUUUGUAGUUGUUUUUUUGCAGGUUUUUUUUUCUUUUUGGUUAACGGUUUUUUGUUGAGGGUUUUUUAUUAGGGCUUCUUACAAUUUCAUUUACACUUCUACAUUGUUUUUGCUUAGGGUUUCUUGGUAGUUAUUUUCUAUUGAAAUUUUGGUUGGGGUCCGUUGCCAUUGUUUUUCAUUAGAGUUUUUUUUAUAGUUGUUUUAUCGAGUUUUAUUUUUUAUUUAUUUUUUUGCAUUUUCACUAAGUCUUAUAAUAAUACCCUCUAUUUUGUCCUUUUGGCACAUGAUACUCAAGUUAGCCAUCAUUCAUCCUUUAUUACUUGUUUGUGCACUUCACGGUCUUUUUUCAAGCUAUUUUUGAGCUCUCAUUGAUGGUCUACUGUGACUAUGUUUAUCACUAGUUUUUUGUAUUUUCUAUAAGAAACAUUUUGGAGGGAUUAGGUGGACCUUAACCUUGAUUUUAGUGACCAUUAAUUCUUAGUUUGUGAUUUUGUUUUUGGUUAAUUUAUAAUAUAUUUAGGCUUUUUUAAAACCUUUAAUGUCACUAGAUAAAUUCAUAAUUUGGAUUGACUAAUAAUAGAUUUCAUUUUUAAAAAAAAAUGUAUAAUGAAGGUCAACAUUGAAUUAAGAAAAAGUUUUUAUUUAUUUAUGAAUUUGAUUUAAUUUGAUCUAAUUAUUUUUGUUUGCAUUUUUUAUUUUUUAUUUUUAUAAAUUAUAGAACUUUAGAUAUCAAUCGUGAUUAUGAAAUAGGUAAAUUGAAAAUUGAUAUAUUAUGGCCACUGAACAUAGGCCCUAAGAUUUUUCAUGCUAUAAUAAUAUUUCUUUUAAUAUCUCAUAAAUCGUAAAUUAAAAUGAAAAUAAAAUUAAGAUUGGAGUUUAUUGAAGACAUCAAAUUCAUGCUUUAAAAUAUAUAUUAAAAUGGGUCGUUUCUUUUAAUAAUAAUCAUACUAAAACAUUUUUUUUUUUUUUUUGCUUUAAUGUCUUACAAGCCACCAACGGCCAACCAGCUGUACCCAACCUUACCAACCGUGAGCCUAGCCUUUUUCAACCUAUAAAACCUAGCCCUUUGUAGCAUUGGGCCAAAAUGACCCAUGUAUUAAAAAAAAAAAAUUAGAUGUAACCAUUUUAUGAAAUUUAUAUUCAAACUAACAUCUUUGAUGCCACGAGGACUCAUGUCAUAAAAAUAUUUUUUUUUUCAAAAUUUUAAUUAAAACCUCAAUUGGUAAUUGAGGUUUCAUUUUUGAACUGAAGUCGCAAUUACUAACUGAGACUUCAGUUAUUGAACUAAAGUCACAAUUGUCAAUUGAGGUUUUAGUUAAAAAAUAAAGUUUCAAUUGACAAUUGAACUAAAGCCUCAAUUGACAACUAAAACUUCAUUUUUUUUAACUAAAACCUCAAUUGUCAACUAAGCCUUAGUUAAUUUUUUUUAACUUUAAAAUUUAGUUAAAAAUUAUUAAAUUAUAGUUUAUUAUUAAAAUUAGAAAUAUAUAUUUUAAUAAUAAAUUAUUUAUAUUUAAGCUUAAAAAUCUAAUAUUACUUCAACAAAUAUAAAUUGAUAGAUAAAAGAUAUUAUAAAUGAAUAUUUUAUUUAUUAAUAAAUUAAUAAUAUUAAAAUAAUAAAUUUAUAUAACAUAUAAAUAAGAUAUAAAAUUGUAUAAUUUAUUAAUUUAAGAUUUUUUUUUAAAGAUAUUAAUGUAUUUGUAUUAUGUUAAAUUUAUCCAUAUGUUCUCUCAUUAUGAAAGCAUAUGAGGUCAUAUAUGUUUUUUUUUUUUCAGCAUAUAAAUGUUUAAUGGGUAUUUUUUGUGACUUUGAUAAAACAACUAAAAAUUAUAUUUUGUAGUAGACUUUUUUUAACUAAUUUUGUCAAAAAAUCUAUAUAUAAAAAUUUAAGAGUAUACUGUUAUUUCAAUAAAGAUAAAUUUCUUAUAAUACAAAUAAAUCAAUGUCUUAAAAAACAACAAAUUAAAUAUCUUAAAUUAAUAAAUUAUAAAAUUUUAUAUCUUAUUUGUAUGUCAUAUAAUUUUAUUAUUUUAAAAUUAUUAAUUUAUUGAUAAAUAAAAUAUUUAUUUAUUGUAUUAUAUUUAUCAAUUUAUGUUUAUUGAAGUAAUACUAGAUUUUUAAGUUUAAAUAUAAAUAAUUUAUUAUUAAAUUAUAUAUUUUUAAUUUCAAUAAUAAGUUAUAAUUUAAUAGUUUUUAAUUAAAUUUAAAAGUUAAAAAAAAAUAUUAACUGAAGCCUCAAUUGGCAAAUACACCUUAGAAGUAUACUAUUAUUUAGAUAAAAAUAAAUUUGUCAUAAUACAAAUAAAUUAAUAUCUUAAAAAAUAACAAAUUAAAUAUCUUAAAUUAAUAAAUUAUACAAUUUUAUACCUUAUUUAUAUGUUAUAUAUAUAAAUUUAUUAUUUUAAAAUUAUUAAUAAAUAAAAUAUUCAUUUAUAAUAUCUUCUAUUUAUUAAUUUAUGUUUGUUGAAGUAAUAUUAGAUUCUUAAGUUUAAAUAUAAAUAAUUUAUUAUUAAAUUAUAGAUUUUUAAUUUCAAUAAUAAAUUAUAAUUUAGUAGUUUUUAAUUAAAUUUAAAGUAAAAAAAAAAUUAAAUGAAACCUGAAUUGGUAAUUGAAGUUUUAGUUCAAAAAUGAAGUUUCAGUUACCAAUUGAGAUUUCAGUUAAAAAUAAAGUUUCAAAUUGCGGUUUUAGUUCAAAAACUAAAGCCUCAAUUGAUAAUUACGGUUUUAGUUUAAAAAAGAAAUCUCCUCAAUUAUCAAUCUAGGUUUUUAUUAAAAGUUAAAAAAUAUAUAUAUUUAUAUGACAUGAAACUAAAGAUGCUAGUUCGAAUAUAAGCUGGAUAAAGUGGUUAGAUGUAAUAUAUUUUUUUUAAUAAAUGGGACAUUUUGACCCAAAACUCUUGAGCUGCAACCAGCCAUACCAAAGACACCCUGCACUAGCCGUCCGUAAUCCUCUACUGCAGCUUCGUUUUAGCUGCCCGAGGCGUCUCAAAUCAGCCCCAUCAAGUUGUCCACUCUCCCUGCUAUGAGCUUGGAAAUAAUCCAAGUCUUCCCAACCGGGAAGACUCUAGCUAGCUUCCAAUACGAAGACUCUAGCUAGCUUCCAAUACAUCAAUACUGAUUUUCUUGAGCUGCAUGUGAUGGUUCUUUUCAUAUUAUUAAUUAACGCCAUUGACUGGUCAUCUUCCCUGACAAUUCAUCAGUUAAAAUCACUGGUUUCAAGGGUACACCCAGCCACCAAUGCAAUAGCAAUACGGAGAAGACUGGGUCCAUGUGAGUAAUUGAUAGGCUUUUUUUUUUUUUUUGGUUUUGGUACGCAGAAAAAGAGGAGUUUUGGGUCAAAAUGCCGUAUAUUAAAAAAAAAAAAUAUUACAUCUAAUUAUUUUAUGAAACUUAUGUUCAAAUGCUUUGUAGGAAUCAUGUCAUAAAUUUUUUUUUUUUUAAAUUUUAGUAAAAGUCUCAAUUAAUAAUUAGGGUUUCAAUUUUGAAUUGAAAUUGUAAUUGUCAGUUGAGGCUUUGGUUUUUGAACUAAAGCUAUAGUUGUUAACUGAGACUUCAUUUUUUAACUGAAACCUCACUUGACAAAUACUUUAUUUUUAAACUAAAGCCUUAAUUGACAAUUAAGACUUUUUAUUUUAUUUUAAAAUUUAGGUAAAAGCUAUUAAAUUAUAGUUUAUUAUUGAAAUUAGAAAUAUAUAUUUUAAUAAUAAAUUAUUUAUAUUUAAGCUUAAGAAUCUAGCAUUAUUUUAAUAAACAUAAAUUGAUAGAUAGAAGAUAUUAUAAAUGAAUAUUUUAUUUAUUAAUAAAUUAAUAAUAUUAAAAUAAUAAAUUUAUAUAACAUAUAAAUAAGAUAUAAAAUUGUAUAAUUUAUUAAUUUAAGAUAUUAAUUUGUUGUUUUUUUAAAGAUAUUAAUUUAUUUGUAUUAUGUCAAAUUUAUUCAUAGGUUCUCUCCUUGUGGAGGCAUAUUAUGUUAUAUAUGUUUUUUUUUUAGCAUAUAAAUGUUUAGUGAAUAUUUUUUAUGACUUUGAAAAAACUACUAAAAAUCAUAUUUUUUAGUAGACUUUUUCUAACUAAUUUUGUCAAAAAGUCUAUAUAUAGAAACUUAAGAGUAUACUAUUAUUUCAAUAAAGAUAAAUUUUUCAUAAUACAAAUAAAUUAUUAUCUUAAAAAACAACAAAUUAAAUAUCUUAAAUUAAUAAAUUUUAAAAUUUUAUAUCUUAUUUGUAUGUCAUAUAAAUUUAUCAUUUUAAGAUUAUUAAUUUAUUGGUAAAUAAAAUAUUCAUUUAUUGUAUUGUAUUUAUCAAUUUAUGUUUAUUGAAAUAAUACUAGAUUUUUAAGUUUAAAUAUAAAUAAUUUAUUAUUAAAAUAUAUAUUUUUAAUUUCAAUAAUAAGUUGUAAUUUAAUAGUUUUUAAUUAAAUUUGAAAGUAAAAAAAAAGCCUCAGUUAACAACUACGGCUUAGGAGUAUACUAUUAUUUCGAUAAAGAUAAAUUUAUCAUAAUACAAAUAAAUUAAUACCUUAAAAAAUAACAAAUUAAAUAUCUUAAAUUAAUAAAUUAUAUAAUUUUAUAUAUUAUUUAUGUGUUAUAUAAAUUUAUUAUUUUAAAAUUAUUAAUUUAUUAAUAAAUAAAAUAUUUAUUUAUAAUAUCUUUUAUUUAUCAAUUUAUGUUUGUUGAAGUAAUACUAGAUUCUUAAGUUUAAAUAUAAAUAAUUUAUUAUUAAAGCAUAGAUUUUUAAUUUCAAUAAUAAAUUAUAAAUUAAUAGUUUUUAAUUAAAUUUUAAAAAAAAAAAAUUGAAGCCUCAGUUGAUAAUUGAGACUUUAAUUCAAAAAUAAAGGCUUCAGUUAAAAAAUAAAGUCUCAAUUGAUUAUUUCGAUUUUAGUUUAAAAACUAAACCUCAAUUGAUAUUUACGGUUUUAAUUUAAAAAUGAAACAUCAGUUACUAAUUGAGACUUUCAUUAAAAUUUUGAAAAAAAAUAUAAUUCUAUGAUACUACUUCUACGUGACAUCAAAAAAGUUGUUUGAAAAUAAAGUGGUUAAAUCUAUUUUAUUUUUUAUCCUGGGCCAUUUUGACCCAAAACUCGAAAAAGAGAGUCGGCAAUUUAUUUGUAUGGCCCACACGAAAUUGAUGAAUCCAUCGCCUUAGAAAUAUGACAUCCAUCAAACUCAGGCAAUCUCCACCGCAUGAAUUUUAAAAGCCACAGCAAUUGGGGAUAUUCUACCGUGGAAGAUGGCAUCAUUUUACAUUCUACUGAGGCCAAUAUCUAUGCUUCGUGGUUCUCUGGAACCAAUCAUGUAUUGCCUUGAACCCUUGAGAGAGAACAUGUGAUAUGCCCACGUCUUUUUAUUUACGCACAUUCCUACUACUUUUCUUUGUUUUUAUUGUAUAAGGUUGGAGGGUGGUCUAUGUAUUGACUCGGUAUGUAUGCUUGACUACAAACUCGAUGGUAGUUCAUAUGAGUGGAUCCUAAUAUUGUUGCAGCAAUUUGCCGAUUUCAGAGAAAAGAGAGAGAGAGAUAAUGGUCGACCCAGAAAUAACUGGAGGGAUUGCAGCGAGUACUUUGAGCUUUCUUCUAGUAAAACUCGAUGCUUUUGCAAUUAGAGAAUGGAAAUUGCAGGAAAAUAUCAAAAAGUCUGUCCAAAAUUUAGGAUGCGAGCUGAGGAACAUUCAGGCCAUGCUGAGAGAUGCUGAUUCAAAGGAAGAGCAUAGUCACCAAUUUACGGUCUGGAUUAAAGAGGUCCGCGAUCAAGCUUAUGCAAUCGAGGAUGCUCUUGACCUGUUCAAACUCAAACAAGAAUCAGUGUGGCGCCGCCUGAAACUGCGUCACUCCAUCAACGACUUGAUACAGGAUAUUGAGCGGAGUCUCCAAAACAUUCAGCGGACAAAGGAGAGGUAUCGCAGCAUGGCCUCCUAUUCAACCAAUGCUGGCAACAACACAUACCUUCAUGUGAGAGUGGCUCCUUUGUUCAUAGGUAACGUUGAUACCGUGGGCAUUGAGGAGCCUACAAAUAAGCUGGUUUCCUGGGCCUUGGAACCGAAACAGAGGCUUGAGGUGAUGUUUGUGGUGGGGAUGGCUGGACUGGGGAAGACCACUCUUGUCCACAGCGUGUAUGAGAGCGUGAAACAGAACUUUGAUUGCCAUAUCUGGAUCACUGCUUCAAAGUCCAAAACCAAACUCGAUAUCUUACGGACCUUGUUGGUGGAGAAAUUCGGCUGUACAAUCACACAGGGGGGCGAUGUGGUUGCUCUGACGCAUAAGCUGAGAAAAUUUCUCCACAACAAACGGUAUGUCAUAGUUCUUGAUGACUUAUGGGUAAAAGAUGUUUGGGAGUCCAUUAGACUUGCCUUGCCAAAUGGUAAGGACAGUAGAAUAAUUAUCACUACAAGGAGAGGCGAUAUAGCUAAUUCUUGGAGAGAUGAUGAUUCUGUUGAUAUCCACAUGCUUCAGCCACUGUCACCGGAAAGGGCUGAGAAACUCUUCUAUAAGAAAGCUUUCUCAAGAAAUGGCAGAUGUCCUUCAGGCUUGGAGGAAGUCUCGAAAUCCAUCUUACAGAAAUGUGAUGGAUUACCACUUGGGAUUAUUGAAAUCGGUAGACUUUUAUCCAUCAAGGCUCCAACUAAAAAUGAGUGGAAAAUAUUACAUGAUAGCCUUGAGUCUGAAUUGAGAGGCAGUGGUGGCCUUUCAAAUAUUACGAAAGUGCUGUCUGCAAGUUAUAAUGAUUUACCUUUCCAUCUCAAGUAUUGUUUCUUGUACAUGAGCAUCUUUCCUGAGACUAGCCCAGUUAAGCGAAGAAGGCUAAUUCGGCUAUGGAUAGCUGAAGGGUUUGUAAUAGAGAAAGGAGGCAAGACAUCUGAAGAGGUUGGGGAAGAGUAUCUGAAUGAGCUGAUUGACAGGAGUCUGAUAAAGGUAAAUGAAAUGGAUUUUGAAGGAAGGCCAAAAAGUGUGGGAGUUCAUAGUCUGAUGCUGAAGAUGAUUCUCUCAGGUGGUGUUUGUUUUUUUGGCUUUUUGCUGAAAACCAUUUAGUUUUAGAAUUUAGGUUGUUUGUUUUUUUACUUUUUCAUGACUUAUUAUAAACUUUUUACUAAAUAGAAAAAGCUAAAAUAUGUGGCUUUUUCUAAAUAGAAAAAAUAACACAAUGAUUUUUUUUACUUUUUAAUACUUAAUAGAAAUAAAAUACUACAAAAACAAACAACCUAAUAUUUAAGACUAUUAAGUAUUAAGGUUCUAUUUAGAAUUAAGUAAAAAAACAAACACCACCUCAGUCUCACGAGAGGAGAACUUUUGUUCUGUUUGUACAGGAUCAGAAAGGAACUUGAGUGAGAAAACCCGGCGCCUAUCUAUUCAGAAGGAAGAUUUUGAUGUGUCUCAGGACUUACCCUGUGUUCGAACCUUCUUCAGUUUCGGUAUAGGCAAAGUAAAGAUUGGUUCCAACUUCAAACUAUUGAAGGUCUUGGACAUACAGGGCACUCCUUUGGAAGAAUUUCCGGGUGUAAUUAAAGAUCUUCUGCUCUUGAGGUACUUGAGUUUGAGGAAUACAAAUAUAAGGAGCAUUCCAGGGACCCUGGGUGACCUUCAUCACCUUGAGACCUUGGAUCUUAAGCAGACUCUGGUAACAAAAGUACCCAAAGCAGUCCUACAACUUGAGAAACUUCGCCAUUUGCUGGUUUAUCGCUACAAUAUGGAAAGUGCCCUACCUUUUGAUAUUGUGCAGGGGUUCAAGGCACCAAAGAGGAUCGGCGCAUUGAAGAACCUACAAAAGCUGUCAUUUGUAAAGGUGAGUGGGCAGCACAGAAUGAGUCGGGAGCACAGAAUGAUACAAGGGCUCGACAAUCUUACGCAGUUGAGGAAGCUGGGCAUUGUAGAACUAGCAAAAGAACGUGGGGCGAGCUUGUGCCUCUCAAUUGAAAAGAUGCCAAAUCUCCACUCCUUGAAUGUAACCUCUCUUAAUAAGGAGGAGCCUCUGGAGCUUGAUGCAAUGACCAAUCCACCGCCCCUUCUUCAACGCUUGUACCUCAAAGGGCCCUUGAAUAGGUUUCCACAGUGGGCAACUUCUCUACAUGACCUGGAGAGAAUACGCCUAAAAUGGUCUUCACUCACAGAAAACCCGAUUGCAGCUCUUCAAAACCUCCCAAAUCUGACAGAGUUGCAGUUGCUUGAUGCAUAUACUGGAACCCAGUUGGACUUCAACUCCGGAAAAUUUCCGAAGCUGAAGAUAUUAGACCUUCAGCAAUUGGAACAGGUGAGGUCUAUCAUGAUGGAAGAAGGCACAUUGCCUUGCCUACAGAAGCUGAUCAUAAGCCACUGCAGCAGGCUGGUGCAGGUCCCUAGAGGUAUUGACAAGCUCAUUCACCUCCAAAUGCUGCUGUUGUACGAUAUGCCCGGAACAUUUGUGACCGGGCUGAGGAAAAACGGUGGUCAAUUUCGCCGUUUGGUUCACCAUAUUCCAUGUAUUCAUUCAUAUAACCAGGCCCAGUUGGAAGAUCUUUCUUGAUCAUUAUACAUCUACGAGGAAGAAUCAGGUCUGUAGAACAACCUGAAUUCAUCGUUUCCUUCUUCUAGAUUCCCCAAAACGUACUGUUGGAUUGCUAUUUCUUUUCUAGGAUUACUGCAUUUUCCUAGGAAACUAUGUAUGGUGCAAUUGAGUAUGAAAUUAUGUCCUCAAUCAAAGGUAUCAUUUUACUAUUAUUUUACAAAGGUAUCAUUUUAUUUAUACGAUGAAGACAUUUGAUUAUACAUAUUUACUUUUUUCUAAAAUUUUAUUUAUUUUUAGUGUUUUUUUAUUUUUUAUUUUUAGCUUUCCAAGUAAUAUGCUCAGCAUAAAAUUCCAUAUUGAUCUAAAAUGAGCCUGAUGGGUCUAUAUAAAGAUCUCUCAUGUAAAAGAUCAAUUUACAAGGAAUACUGGUUAUGUUUGAAAGUAGUUUUAUAUUCUUUAAAAAUAUAAAACAGUUUUUUUAACUUAAAAAACGCUUUCAUCUUGAUUUGAUAUAGCAUGAUGGGUUUAUCUAAAGAUCUUUCGAGUCAAACAUCAAUUAGAAGGAAUAUCGGUCAUGUUUGAAAAUAGUUUUAUAUUCUUUUAAGAAGAUAAGUUAAACAGUUUUUUAACCUAAAAACUAUGAUUGAAAAUUUUCAGGAAUUUGUAGAGUUUGUUUAAAAAAUAAUUUGUUUUUUUUAUAUCUUUAAGAAUUCUUUUCAAAAAAAAAAAUCUCUAAAUCUUAAAACAUCCCUCUAGCUUAAAGAUGACUUUUAGAAAAUUUUACAACUUUUCCUAAUAAAGUCUAGUUCAGAACAUCCAGAAGAGUUAUAUGUAUUCUUCAUAAUCAAAAGAUGUCCGAGAAUCACUUUUAAUAUAAAAAACGUUUUUCUAAAAAAAUAAAAUGUUUCACAAAAUUCAAAAAUCAUUUUUAAAAAAUUGAAGAAUUGUUUAGAGUGUUUUUUUUUUUAAAUUUUUUAUAAAUGUUUAAUAAGUGAUUCUCCUAAAAACUCUUUAAAAAAAACAUUUAAGUAAAAAUUCUUCUGAUAAAAAUAUUAUCAAACAUACUCUAAUUCCUUAUGCUUGAAGCUUCCAAUGCAAUUCAUUGAAAGUAUUUUCCAUAUGACUUCUCCACAAAAUAUUUCUUUAAACUUAAAACUAAAAGUCAUAUUUUUAAAAAAAGAAAAAUAAAUUCUUGACAUGUAUAGGAUAUGAGAUUUUUGUUCUAACACUAGGUUAAAGUUAAGAAUGCAAAAAAAAAAACCUGACCAUUAAGUCAAAUUUAAAUCUUGAUUAAAAAAAAACCAUUAAAAUAAAUUUGCUCUACUUUGUCUCCACCCUCUUACAUUUCUUCCACCCUCUCCCCCAUCCUAUAGAUGUACCACUGUAGUAUUUUUGGAGAGGUUAACUUGCAAAGUAAGGAAAGCUUUUUUUUAAAGGACACUUCUCCACUUGUUUGUCCAAUCGGGAUAGAAACAUAAAAUUUGCUACCAAUGAUGAAGAAAAGUAAACAGAGUGUAAGAAAACAUUUCAUGUUUAAUCUAAAAAUUACAAUCCCAACAAAAAUAUAAAAAAUCAUGUCAAUCUGGUCAAUGGAAAAGGAAACAUAGAAGAACUUAUGAUGAUUCAGUUCUUCUAUAUGAUUCAGUUCUUCUAUGUUCUGCGUGUUAGUAUUGAUGUGAAUGACACGUCUAUAAAAUCUUAGCUACUUUAUAGAGAGAUUUGUUUAUACUAUCAUUUCAAUUUUUUAUUUUUGCAUAUUACAUUUUAUUGGGUAUUGAGUAUUGUUGUGAUGUUAUAGUAUUAGCAAUAUGUUAUUAUUUCAUAAUUAUACUUUUCUAUUUUGAAUAGUUUUAUAUUAAUUUAGCUUCAAUUUUUAUGAUAAUGGAGAUGAAGAAUAAUGAACAAUAUUAAAGAGAAUAUUAGCAACAUCCAACUAUAAGAACUAACUUGAGCAUUACAAGCAUUGUCCCCACUUGUCUUCACCUUUUAAAAAAGGUUAGAUUUUCAAGAAUCUCAACCCAAUAAUUAUGUUUUUUAGGUUGGGUAGCAAAAGUCAUACGGAGAGAGAAAAGUGAUAAAAAAAAGUUCACCAAUCAAAUGGAAAUAGAUUGUUAUUAUUACUGGAUUAACUUGGUCAUUAGAUUUAAAAUAGUACAUAAUAUCAUUGUGGAAUUUGCAUGCUUGGAAGGAAGAAGUCUUGUUCUUUCCAAAGGAAUUAAUGGGAGACAGGGCAAAAUGCCUGUAAGGAAAUGAUAGUAACUUUUGAAAAAGUGGGCUAUAAAGUAAAGGAGAAUUGUGAAAAAUUAAUAUUUGGUCCAUAUAAUUUUCAUAAUUGAUAGAAAUGAUAUAAGAUGUUAAAAGACCAACAUAUCUUUCAAAUUUCUAUACAUUACCUUUUUAAUUUCUAAAGUUUUACUAAAAAAUUGUACUGACAAUUUUCUUGUUAUGAAUUAAAAUACUUUGCAUUAGUCUAUCUGGAUAAGAAAAAUUAUUAAUAUAAUAUUAAAACUUCAUAUCUUAGUUAUUUUUUUCAAUAAAUUUAUCUUUUUGGAUAUAUAUAUAUAUAAUAGAGUAAAGUGAUAGUCAAUUUUAAAAUUUUUAAAAAUAUGGUUAAUGUAGAAAAUAUAAAAAAUAUUUCAAUGAAAAAUCCCAAAAUUUUUAUCAUUGCUUAUAAUAAGAGCAAAAAGAUUCAAUAUCUUUAAAAAUGAAAAACAAAAAAAACAUUAUUACUUUUUAUUUGACAUAAAAUAGAAAUAUAGAUUGGAAGAAAAAAAAAUUAGAAAUGAGUAAUACUUAAUAGAGAAUAGAAAAGGGAAAAAAAAACACAAAAAAAUUGAAAUUCAGACUUACUUGUACCUAUAUAAGGGUUAAGGGUAUUUUAGGGAUUAAUGAAGAAUAAUAUCUUUUAUCUUAAUUUUCAUACUUUGUUUGGGUCUUGGGCUUAAAUAUGCAUGAUAUAUGGACCAAAUGUUAAUUUUUGGGCCCAACUGGACCCAAAACACAAUUCUCCCAUAAAGUAACGUGAAUUUGAAAUAAUUGAUUUGGAAUCCUAUCACCUAGAAAAUGAUUACUCCUUGGGUUAUAAAUUAAAAUGAAUUUGAAAAAAUUCAUUGGAUUCUCAUUACUUUUUUAAAAGGCUGAAUUUGAGUUGACCCAAAAUAAUUUACUUCCAUCAAAAGUAAAUUAUAAGAAUAAAGGCAAGAAAAAAGAAAAUUGGUAUGCACCAUUUAUCUUUUUACUUUGGAUUGGAUAAAUUUUGUAAAAUCAUAUUUUCCUUUUACUAUAUUUUGUAAUGUUAAUAGCAACUAACUUUCAAAAUAAUGGAAAUUAAUUUGUAUAUAAGCUUAUUUGAGUACUUCCAUAUUUUUUUUAUAAUUGAGAAUUUUUUAAAGAUUUUUUUUAAGUAUUAGCUUUUAUAUUUAUUAUUAUUAUUUUUCAUAAAAUAAUAAAUUGUAAGAAAAGAGGAGAAGAACAAGAAGGAAAAUUUAUAAUUUUUUAAUUUAUUUAGAUAUUUAUAAAAAAUAAGAAAAAGAAAAUUAAAUUGUUGAAGCUUCCCAAGCUUUUUGACUGUUAUCUAACAAAUAAUAAUAAUAAUAAUAAUAAGGAACUUCCUUAAAGCAAUGUUAUCAAAAAAUAGAAUCACAUUAGUUAAGCUCAUUUUUUUCUAAUAUAAUAAUAGCAAUUAUAGUUACUUUUUUUUUUUUUUAUUCAACUUAUUUUAAAUAGGGCGUGUGCUUAUGCAAUUAUAUUUAUUUAUUUUUCUAGAAAGAUUAAUAUAUUUAUUUAUUUGUUUAUUGUGGUUAUCUCAAAAUGAUGUCUUAUUUUCUAUUUAAAUAUUGGUAUAUAUGAAAGAUAAAGUUUAAGUAUUCAUUAAUUACGAAUUCAAUUCAACUUACUCCAAUCCAAAUUUUACCCAUAUAACCCAAAAAGCUUGUCUAAUAUGUUAGACCCGUCCAAAUUAUAGUCUUAAUUUUAAAGUCAUAUUGAUUGGUUCAUCCGUUUAUAAAAACAUAGUUAAAUAAAAUUACUUGAAAAUGAAAUUAGUAUUUAGGGCAUUGUAUCAUAAACUUGUACAAAAAAUCCUUCUGAGAAUUAGAUUUUGGUACAGUUAGAUUUUGAAGAGUUUCAAGCCAAUCAAUUUUUUUACUUUUUAUUUUUGAAAGUAGGGUAGAUUGGAAUUUUGUUAUUUUUCAUUAAAAAAACUAAAAAGGCAAAGUGAAUGCAAUACAUUAAAAAAAAAAAAAAAACUUAAUCCUAAUUAUGAAAUCUAAACCUAAUAUUUAUUUAUUUGAAAUGGGUUAGGCGUUGGUGAAUAAUUGAACAUCAUGUGAAGGUUUUUAAUUCAACAUGUAGUGAUAUUGUCAUUUGCCCCCUUCUUUUCUAACAAAAUAAUUUGAUGGAGUUUAAUCCCGAUUAUGCUCGUUAGUAAUCUUAUAAUAUCUCAUAUUUGUGAUCAAAACAUAAAUAUUCAUAUUCAAAGUUUGUAUGAUACGAGAAAAUGAGAAGAAUUAUGGAGACAUGUUUUAAAGUUAGGAACCAAAAAAGAGUAAUUUGAAUUUGUAUUCUUGCUUUUCGUAAUAAUCAAUCCAUGCAUUGAACUCAUGUGUUCAAGAUUAAACUAAUCUAACCCUAUGUCCAAUCCAAACUAUCCGAUCCAAGCUCAACUUCUUAUCAUUCCCAUGACACUCAAAAGCAACAAUAUCAUAUACAAAUAAAUUGAAAUUUAUGUAAAAUAUAUAUCACGUUCAAAUUGGCCUUAGGUUGUCCAAAACCCAAACCCAAAGCCCAGUUUAAUUUAAUUAGAGCAAUAAUAAAAUAAUUCCAAUAAUUACAAUUAAUUUAUAGCAAUUAAAUAAAAAUUUCACAGGAGUAAAAAUUAUUUCCAAUAAAUAUAUUAUAAAGUCAUGUAAAAGUUGCUAGUUACCCCUCUAGUAAAAAGUAUACAUUUAUUUAUCCCACUUUAAAAAAAAUGAUAGUAGUGAAAUCCAUGAACAAAAUUUAAUUAUCAUAUUCUUAAAAAGCACCCAAGAUCCCAAACCAUGAAUUAUAUUUAGGGAUGAUAAUAGGGUGGGUUUAAGACGAGUCGCCCCAUCCCAACCCCGUCCCAUUUAUUUAAAAUAAUUUUCAUCCCCGUCUCAUUUAAAAAAUUAAAUUGGACAGGGCGGGCCGGGAUGGGUAUAAGCAACUCCCUGCCCCGCCUUCGUUUAAUUUUUUUUUUUAAAUUACUUUUAAUAUUUUAAUUACAUUAAAGUAAAUAUAUUUUAUAAAUAAUUAAAUUAUUACAUUUUUUAUGACUUAUUUUAUUAAAAAAUACUUUAUUAUUAUCUAUAGUAGAAUAAAAAUUAAUUUAAUUUAAUUUUAAAAAAUAAUUUUAUAUACAAUUGUAGGGUGGGAUUGGACAAGGCAAUACCUGAACUCAUCCCAAACUCAUCUUGGGUUUAAAAAAAAAAUUUCAAAUCCGUUUAGUUAAAAUUCAAACAUGUUCCAUUAGGGGCAGGAUGGGUACUCGAAAAACCCGUCCCAUUGUCAUUCCUAAUUAUAUUACACCUCUGUGAUCAAAUAAAUAAAAAGAUACGUUUAAUCACAUAUUUAAUUAAUUUUUUAAAAAUAAAAGAAGUUGGGUCGUUGGACCAAAGCACAAAAGUGAGAAGCGCAUAUCUGAGCCCAUUAAAUUUGGGCUUUAACAUUGCCAGUAUGUUAGCCUACAACAAAUUCAAACUCCAAACUCCAAACUCCACCGUCAGAUCCCCAGGCACCAUCUAUGCGUAUCUCUCCCUCUAAACAAUCUCCUCCAUUUUCACGCCAUGCAUAAAGCAACAAUCCCGAGAGAAAAUAGUCUCUCAUUGCUAUAUAUAUUGUCGGAGACUGAUUUUCUUGCCUAAUUUGGAUUUUAAAAUUUCAUGCAUCUCAUUUUGAUCACAAACCUGAGAAAAGCCCCAUAUAAAAAUAACACAAGUAUUACAAAAUAAAUAAGUAUUAAAAAAAAAAAAAGAAUUAUGAACAAAUCUCAAUAUCAAAUAUGAACAACAAACACUAGAUUUAGUGGUUCACAAUAAUUUUAGGUAUGUACGUCAACAUAAGAACGAUAAAGUACAACAAACUAGAGGAGUAGAAUAGAAUACUCAUUUUUCAUCCAAAAUGAUUCCAUCAAAGUAACAAAUUAUGCCAACCUUAUCAUUGAAGAAACCUAAAAGAACAAGUACUAGAAAGGUUGUGAGGAGAUUUGAGCAAUAAUUGUAGUGAACGAAAGUUGAUACUAGAUUUGAAUUCUACUUCUAUUUAAAAGCUAAAUGCACUUCCAUGGCAUGCAAAGAGAUUCCAAAAGCUUUAAAUAAACUGAAUGGUUCUUUGAAGCAUGAUUGAAGCUUCUAAAAGUGUCAAAAAUAGAGAUUCACAAAGAAUUUUGAAUUCAUUCUUCCUUUCUUAAUCAAACCCUCUCUAGGUCCAUAAGUUGUACUAAAGAGCUUUUGAAUGUCAACAAUGAAUGACAAGGUUAUGAAAUAUGAGGUUAUCUUCCACUAAAAAUCAUUCCAAGGAUAGUUUGAUUAAACUUGAUCCACACCUAUAAUGCCCCUAUAAAAAAAAAAAAAAAAUAGAAUUGAGUCAGUUUAAGAAUGAUAGCUCCUAUAUUGACAUGUAAACGGUACCAUAAAAACACUCGUAACACACCUUUCAUGCACAUCUUGAACAUGUAGAUCAAUCAUCCAAGAUUGGCUUCUCCCACUAUUUCAAACUAUUGAAGGUUUUGGACAUACAAAGCACUCCUUUAGGAAACUUUACAAGUGCCAUCAUAGAUCUUCUGCUCUUGAGAUACUUGAGUUUGAGGAAUACAAAUAUAAGGAGCAUCCCCAAAUCCCUCAGGAACCUACGGCACCUUGAGACCUUGGAUCUUAAGCAAACUCUGGUAAAAGAGCUACCCAAAGCAGUCUACAACUUGAUAAACUUCGCCACUUGCUGGUUUAUGCCUACAAUAUGGGAAGUGUUGUAACUUUUGACGCCGUUUAAGGGUUCGCUGUACCGAGAAAGAUCGGAGCAAUGAAGAACCUGCAAAAGCUAUCAUUUGUAAAGGCGAGAAGGCAGAACAGAAUGAUACAGGAGCUCAAAAAUCUGACAAAGCUGAGGAAGCUGGGCAUUGUAGAACUAGCAGAAGAAGAUGGCAACAGCUUGUGUCACUCAAUUGAGAAGAUGCCGGAUCUCCUUUCCUUGGAUGUUACCUCCCUUAGUAAGGGGGAGCCUCUGGAGCUUGAUCCAAUGGCCAACCCCCGCGUCUUCUUCAACGCCUGUAUCUCAAAGGGCACUUGCAAAGGUUGCAAAGUGGGUAUCUUCUCUUCAUGACCUGGUGAGAAUACGCCUAAAAUGGUCCUUAUUGUCCCAAGACAACCCAAUUGAAGCUCCUCAAGAUCUCCCAAACCUGAUGGAGCUGCAGUUACUUGAUGCAUACACUGGAACCCAGUUGGACUUCAACUCGGGAAAAUUUCAGAAGCUUAAGAUAUUAGACCUUGAGCAAUUGAAACAGCUGAGGUUUAUCAUAAUGGAAGAUGGCACAUUGCCUUGCCUACAAAAGCUGAUCAUAAGGCAAUGCAAUGAGCUGAAACAUGUCCCCGUAGGUAUUGACGGGCUCCAUCAUCUUAAUGAGCUGCACCUCUGCGAUAUGCCUGAGAAAUUCGUGGCCCAGCUGAAGAAAAGAGGCGGUGAACUUCGCCAUUUGCUUCACCGUUGUUUGCAUAUUCUCUCAUAUCAACAGGGCCGGUUGGUGGAAGAUCUUUCAUGACCAUAUCUGAUACAUCUGUGACAUGCACCAGUGGAUCAAGAAUCAGGUUUGUAUAACUACAUGGAUUCAUCGCUUGCUUCUUUUGGGUUCCUCAAAAUGCAUUGUUGUCAAUUACUUUACAAGCAAUAUUACUGCAUGUUCCUAGGAAAUCAUGGUGGGAUAUCUAGCAUUUAUACAUAUCAAGCAUCAAAUAUCUGUGGAGUCGUAUUUGAAACUGCCAUUGUUGAAACUACCCCGAGACUCGGUACAAGACAUAGUCGGAUUAUGGUCAGGUGUCAAGCCCCCGAGACUUCCAAUUGAUUUUUAUGCUUCUUGUAUUAAUAAUAGUGUUGGAUUGUAAGGACUGAAUUGUUUUUAUUGUGUUUGGCUUAAAAUGUCGGGAUCAAGUUCCACGUUAAGCUUGUGGGGAUAGCCAUGGACGUAGAAAACGAAUUGAUUAUCAAACCACUCUAAAAAUCUCCUCCUUCUUUUUUAUUUUAUUUUAUUUUUAUUUUUAUUUUUAUUUUCUAUUUGUGUAUGGUUUAAUUAAUUAACAAAUAAUGGCCCUAUGCCUACGUGAAAUUGACUUGUGAAUUUUUAAUAUUAUGUUUUUAUGAUUAUUUUAGAUGAUACUAAAUAUAAUAGUGAUUUGCUUUAAUUUUUAGUUUGUUGAAUGCAUUCUCAUCCAAUUGUAUUUAUAUAUUUUCUCUAAAAUUUUUAUUAUUUUAAAAUUAUUCUAUACUUUUUUAAUUAAUCAAGCAGUUUAUUGUGCCUACAGUCUGGUCUAAUUGAAUAAAAUAUGAUUUAUUAAUGUCAACUCAGCCCAAUCAAUUCUUUCACAGAGGAACAAUGGUUUAUUAAUGUGCAAAUUAAUAGCGUUUUAUAAAUAAAAUAUUCUUAAUUUCCUCUACAAAAACAAAUUAGUGUUAAAUAAACCGAUAAUAAUAUUUUUAUUGGGAUUUUUCAAUGGCAUUAUAAAGUCACCAAUCAAUUAAUAAAAAAUGGUCAUUGAAGUCACCAUGAUUUAUUUAUUUAUUUAUUUUUACCUCGAUAAUGAUCUUAAUUAUCGUUUUUUCUGGAUUAUUUGAGUAUUAAAUUUUUUACAAAAGUAACUUUUAAUCUUUUUUUUUACUUGAAAAUUUUUAUUAAAAAAAAUUCUAUAUAGGGCAUAUAAUUAAGAUUAGGUUUAUUAAUAAAUGAAAUGUUUUUCUUAGCUGCAAUCAUGUUGACCCAUAAAUUUGUAUGAGAAAAUUUGAAUUUCUUUAUUUUCUUUUACAUGACCCAAAGGUUAAUAUAAAUUGUCUUGAAGUAGCAGUAAAGUGAUCAUUUUAAGUACCACAAAUACUUGUGAUUUGGAAAUAAUCAAAGUCUUCCCAAUGGGGACGACCCUAGGUUCCAAUACAUUAGCACUGAUUUCUUUGAGUUGUAUAUGAUGCUUCUUUUCAUGUUAUUUACGACAUUGACUACGGGAAUCCCUUGCACACGCAAGUGGCAUUCAUUAAAAGUUAAGACCACUACUUUCAAGGUCCUAUGUCCAGCUUCUGAGUAACAACAGUAUGAUUGAGUUCAACAACAAAUUUGAGAAUUUUUUUUUUAACCCAAAGUGGGUUUGGGUACAAUGUUGUCCCAUCGAAAUGAUAAAAAUAUCGAUAAUAACGGAUAUAUUAGUAUUUCGAUUUUAUAGAUAUAUUGAAGAUAUAUGUUGGAUAUUUAAAAAAAAAAUAUCGAUAGACUUAAAAUUGAUCAAAAUUCAUAAAAAUGUUAAAAAAAAUCACGUAUAAAUAUAAUUAAAAGUAUAACAAACAUUUUAAAAUUAUUUUAUUGAAAAAUUUAAUUUAUGUAUAAUAUGAUUUGUCAUAUUUGAUAAUAAUAUCAUAUGCGUCGAUAAAAAAAUAUGAAUUUUAUAAGUGUACAUUUAUUAUUAAAUUGCAUAAAAUAUUAUUGCAUAAUAAUAUUAUGAUAUUUGAUUAUAAUAUAUUUAAUUUUAAAAUAUAUUUAAUAUUAAAAUUGUGAUCCAUUUAAUUCAAUUAUAUUAAAUAAUAUAAAAUAAAUGAUGAUAUAUAUACCGUUGUGAUAUUUAAUAAUAAUUUUUAUAACUUGAAAACAUACUUUAUGUAUAUUAAUCUAAUUUGGAUGUAUUUAAUGACAAAAAAAUAAUGAUAAUUUGUAUAAGUAUUUUUUAUUUUAAAAUUUUGACAAUUUUAUUCAAAAAUAUAUAUUUAUUUUAUAUGUAAUUAUUAUAUAAAAGUCACAAUAACUAAAAUUAAUUCAUUUAGAAUAUUUUUUUUAUUAAUUUAUAAUAUAUAUGUAUAUAUUAUAAAUUAAUCUUGAAAGAUGGUUGUCCGGCAGGUGUUGGUGCCUUGGUGGGCGAUCUAUAUAAAUAAUAUGUAAAUUUAAUCAACAACAGCAUGGUUGCCUGGCUGGUGUUGGUGGGCGAGCGUGAGCCUGAGGGUCGUUCGAAUAUCCUUGGUUCCAUUCUUCUUGAUUUACCUUUGCCUUUCAAAAAUUCUAAUUCUUGCAAUCCCACAUCGGUUCAUGACACCAAAAAGGUGUAUUUAAACAUUGGAGUGGUGGAGGUCUCACUUGUGUUCAGAGCACGUUGGGCCCAAGCUGCAUUUUGGGCCUAAACAUUGGGCCAGGGCCAAAAUUAAGAGUUUUAGGGGCAAAAGGAAUUGAGAAUGAUGACGUGGCAGCGAUAUCGUGAAAAUAUCGAGAAAAAUGGCGAUUUUAAUGGAAAUAUCGCCGAUAUUUCCUCUAUAAGGUUAUAUUUAAUAUUAAAUAAAAAUGAUUUUAAUUAAUUUUUGACUUUUUUUAACAUAUAUAAAAUAUUAUUUUUUUAUAAAAAUAAAUUAUAAAUAUUUAUAAUAUUUAUUUAUUUGUAAACUAUAUUUAUUUUUAAUACAAUUUAAAAGUAAAAAAUUAAAAAAUAAAUAAAUAAACAGAUAUGGUGAAUAUGAUAAUCGUUGAUUUUCAUGAUUCUUAGUAAAAAUAAAAGAAAAUAAAAACGAAAAAAAGAAGAAGAAAAACAUAUAGAUUUAAUGUGUUCAAUAGAUUACGUACACGGAAUAGGGAAUAAAACUUUCAUUAUCUUUGAAAUUAGGGUUAUAUAUUAAAAUUUUAUUAUUAUCAUUAUCAUUUAUAUUUUAUUUUAUUUUUAAAUAAAUUUAUAUUUUUAAUAUUUUAAAAUAAAAACAUUCAAAUUAAAAAGAUAAAUAUAAAAAAUUUAAAAGUGAAGUAGUAAUUUUUUAGAAUGGAAUUAAUGAAAUAGAUUAUGAUUUUUUUAAUAUUUAUAUUUUUUAUAUUUAAUUAUCAUAUAAAUAAUAUAAAAAAGACUUAUUAAAAAAUUAUAAUAUUAAAAUUUUAUAUUUUUAUUAAUCAAUUAAAUAUAAUUUAAAAUAAAAUAAUUAAAAUUAAGUUUUUUUAAUGAUGAAGCUUAACAAAUUUAAAUUGAAUAUAUAUUAUCAAAGAGCAUCAUAAUGGUAAAUAUUCGAUAUUUCCCAUAGUGAUUUAAUCCAAAUAAAGAAGGAUAAUUAAUAAUUAUUUAUAUAGAGAGAGGAAAAUUGUUUCAUGAUUUGUUUUUUUUUUUUUUAUCUCUACUAAAUAUAAAAAUCAACCCAAUUCUCUCACUCGGGAAGGCCCUAUUUUCCUCUGCCACUGUCAAUCCUCGCAGGUACUAAUCUAAUCAUGUUAUUAUUAUUAUUAUUAUUAUUAUUAUUAUUAUUAUUUUUGCAACCCCGUUUGAUCCCCAAGAAAAUCCAUCCCCCAUUCGAUUUCCGGGAAAAUUCAUCCUCGUUUGAUUUCCGAGAAAAUCCAUGCAAAACCCCCCAAAGAAAUCCAAAAAAAUUGCUUUUUCUUUGCUCCCUGUGUUUUCUGGAUCUGUUCUAGGGGUCUCUUUGCUUUUGUGCCAUUGGAUUUAAAUUUCACGAAGCCUAAAUCCACGAUUUUUGAGCCAGACUGAAAAAAACAACCUUUGCCUGCAAAUCCACGAUUUAAGAGUUAUAUUUAGUAUUUUUGCAGUCAGUGAAUGUGCCGCCACAUGUUUGAAUGAUUGGAACUUCAAAAACCAGUAACUUGUUUUUGCCAAAGCAAAGGAUUGAAUAUUUCCUUGGUGGAUUUUUGGGAACUGAUCAUGCACCCACAAGAAAUCUCCAUCAAGCAUGAAGUUGUCUUAUUCGAAGGUUGACCCUUGGUGCAUGGGGUCAUUCAAUAAGGUUAAUAAAUUGUCUGGAGGGAGCAGUAAAUGAUAACAUAUAGCCGUGUGCUUGGAAAUAUUCGAAGUCUUCCCAAUGGGGAAGACUCUAGGAUCCAAUACAAUCCUGGUUUUCUUGAUUUAUAUCUAAUGCUUGUGGUUGUAUUAUUUGUGUCAUUGACUCCUGAAGUCUUUUGGAAGUAUACUUGGAUGUGGCAUUCAUCAGUAGUUAAAAUCAUUGUUUUCAGGGCCCCUACGCCAAGCUCCCAAGCAACAGCAAGGUGAAGAGAAAGAGCAUGAACCCAGAUCUAGCUGGAGGGAUGGCAGACGGGGCUGUGUCGUUUCUUCUUCAAAAACUUGAAGCUUUUGCAAGUACAGAAUGGAACUUGCAGGAAAAUAUCAGGAAUGGAGUCCGUGAGUUACAAAGGGAGCUGUGGAGAAUAGAAGCCAUGAUGAGAGAUGCUGAUGCAAAGAAAGAUUAUGAUAACCAAUUCAACGUGUGGAUUCAAGAAGUUCGCACAGAAGCUUAUGCCAUUGAGGAUGUUCUUGACCUGUUCAGACUCCACUGGGAUCAAGAAUCAGUGUGGCGCCACUUGAAAAUGUGGCACUCCAUUAGCAACCUGAUACAGGAUAUUAACACAAGGCUCGCGAUCAUUAAGCAGACAAAGGAGAGGUACCAGAUCAUUAAGGAGAUAAAUGAGAGGUAUCCGAUGAUGGUCCCCACCAAUUCAGUUAGUUCGGAAACCAACACAUACCAUAAUGUGAGAGCAGCUCCUUUGAUCCUCGGCUGGGGCAAUAACACCAUGGGCAUUGAUGAGCCUAAAAGGAAGCUGGUUUCUUGGGCAUCAAAGUCGAAUCAGAAACUCAAGGUUAUGUUCCUAGUGGGGAUGGCUGGGUUGGGCAAGACAACGCUUGCCUACCGCGUGUACGAGGAGGUGAAGGAGCACUUUGAUUGCCAUGCCUGGAUCAUUGCUUCAAAGUACCAAACCAUAGAUGAAACCUUACGGAGCUUGUUGGAGGAACUUGGCUCUUCAACAGAGGGGUCCGGCAUAGUUCUUCUCAUGCAGAGACUGCACAAUUUUCUCCAGCACAAACGGUAUGUUAUAGUUGUUGACAAUUUAUUGGUAAAAGAUGUGUGGGAAUCCAUUAGACUUGCCUUGCCAGAUGGUAACGACAAUAGAAUAAUUAUCACUACAAGAAGAGGCGAUAUAGCUAAUUCUUGCAGAGAUGAUUCUAUUGAUAUCCACAAGGUUCAGCCACUGUCACUGCAAUGGGCUGAGCAACUCUUCUAUAAGAAAGCUUUCUUAGGAGAUGGCAGCUGUCCUUCAGGCUUGGAGGAAGUCUCGAAAUCCAUCUUACAGAAAUGUGAUGGAUUACCACUUGGGAUUAUUGAAAUCGGUAGGGUCUUGCGGAGUAAGCCUCGUCAAACUAAAUACGAGUGGAAAAAAUUACAUGAUAGCCUUGAGUCUGAAUUGAGAAGCGGUGGUGCCCUUUCAGAUAUUAUGAGAGUGUUUUCUGCAAGUUACAAGGAUUUACCUUACCAUCUCAAGUAUUGCUUCUUAUACAUGAGUAUUUUUCCUGAGAAUAAUCCAGUUAAGCGAAGAAGACUGAUUCGGCUAUGGAUAGCUGAGGGAUUUGUAACAGAGGAGAGAGGCAAGACUCUUGAAGAGGUGGGGGAAGAGUACCUGAAUGAGCUUAUUGGCAGGAGUCUGAUAAAGGCAAAUGAAAUGGACUUUGAUGGAAGGCCAAUAACUGUUGGAGUCCAUAGUCUCAUGCAUAGGAUAAUUCUCUCAGUUUCACAAGAGGAGAACUUCUGUACUGUUUGUGCAGGACCAGAAGGAAACUUGACUGACAAACCCCGGCGCCUAUCCAUCCAGACGGGAAACUUUGAUGUGUCUCAGGACUUAACCUGUGUUCGAACUUUUUUCAGUUUCAGUACAGGUAGGAUAAACAUUGGUUCGAAUUUCAAACUAUUGAAGGUUUUGGACAUACAAAGCACUCCUUUGGGAAACUUUCCAAGUGCCAUUACAGAUCUUGUGCUCUUGAGGUACUUGAGUUUGAGGAAUACAAAUAUAAGGAGCAUCCCCAAAUCCCUCAGGAACCUACGGCACCUUGAGACCUUGGAUCUUAAGCAGACUUUGGUAACAAAGGUACCCAAAGCAGUCCUACAAUUGGAGAAACUUCGCCAUCUGCUGGUUUAUUGCUACAAUAUGGAAAGUGCACCUUUUGAUAUUGUUCAGGGGUUCAAGGCACCAAAGGGGAUCGACGCAUUGAAGAACCUACAAAAGCUAUCAUUUGUAAAGGCGAGUGGGCAGCACAGAAUGAUACAAGGGCUCGACAAUCUUACGCAGUUGAGGAAGCUGGGCAUUGUAGAACUAGCAGAAGAACAUGGGGCGAGUUUGUGCCUCUCAAUUGAAAAGAUGCCAAAUCUCCACUCCUUGAAUGUAACCUCCCUUAAUAAGGAGGAGCUUCUGGAGCUUGAUGCAAUGACCAAUCCACCGCCCCUUCUUCAACGCUUGUACCUCAGAGGGCCGUUGGAAAGGUUUCCACGGUGGGUAUCUUCUCUACAUGACCUGGAGAGAAUACGCCUAAAAUGGUCUUCACUCACAGAAAACCCGAUUGGAGCUCUUCAAAACCUCCCAAAUCUGACAGAGUUGCAGUUGCUUGAUGCAUACACUGGAACCCAGUUGGACUUCAACUCGGGAAAAUUUCAGAACCUUAAGAUAUUAGACCUUGAGCAAUUGAAACAACUGAGGUUUAUCAUAAUGGAAGAUGGCACAUUGCCUUGCCUACAAAAGCUGAUCAUAAGGCAAUGCAAUGAGCUGGAACAUGUCCCCGUAGGUAUUGACGGGCUCCAUCAUCUCAAUGAGUUGCACCUCUGCGAUAUGCCUGAGAAAUUGGUGGCCCAGCUGAAGAAAAACGGUGGUCAAUUUCGCCAUUUGGUUCACCAUAUUCCGUAUAUUCAUUCAUAUAACCAGGGCCAGUUGGAAGAUCUUUCUUGAUCAUUAUACAUCUAUGAGGAAGAAUCAGGUCUGUAGAGCAACCUGAAUUCAUCAUUUCCUUCUUCUAGGUUACCCAAAACGUCCUCUUGGAUUGCUAUUUCUUUACUAGGAUUGCUGCAUUUUCCUAGGAAACUAUGUAUGGUGCAGUUGAGUAUGUUUAGUGUUUUUUUAAUUUUUAAUUUUUAGCUUUCCAAGUAAUAUGCUCAGCAUACAAUUCCAUAUUGAUCUAAAAUUAGCAUGAUGGGUCUAUAUGAAGAUAAUUUGCAAGGAAUAUUGGUUGUGUUUGAAAAUAGUUUUAUAUUCUUUACAAAGAUAACAGUUUUUUAACUUAAAAAACGCUUUCAUCUUCAUUGCAUGAUGGGUUUAUCUAAAGAUCUCUCAAGUCAAACAUCAAUUUGCAAGGAAUACCGGUCAUGUUUGAAAAUAGUUUUAUAUUCUUUCAAAAAGAUAAAUUAAACACUGCAAGUUUAAAAAAUAAUUUGUUUUUUAUAUCUUUAAGAAUUAUUUUUGAAAAAAAAAUCUCUAAAUCUUAAAACACCGCUUUAGCUUAAAGAUGACUUUUAGAAAAUUUUACAACUUUUCCUAAUAAAGUUUGGUUUAGUUCCAAGAGUAUAUAUAUAUAUAUAUAUAUAUAUAUAUAUUCUUCAUAAUGCUUUUAGAAAGUAUUUUUAAUAUAAAAAACGUUUUUCUAAAAAAAUUAAAAUGUUUCACGAAAUUCAGAAAUCACUUUUAAAAAAUUAAAGAAUUGCUUAUAGUACUUUUUUUUAUAAAUGUUUCAUAGAUGAUUUUUCUAAAAACUCUUUUGAAAAAAACAUUAAAGUAAAAAUGCUUUUGAUAAAAAUAUUAUCAAACAGCUCUAAUUCCUUAUGCUUGAAGCUUCUAAUGCAACUCAUCGAAAGUAUUUUCCAUCUGACUUCUCUACAAAAUGUUUCUUUAAACUUAAAACUAAAAAUCACAUUUUAAAAAAAAUAAUAAUUUCGUGACAUGUAUAGGAUAUGGGAGUUUUGUUCUAACACUAGGUUAAAGUUAAGAAUGCAAAAAAACCCUAACCACCAAAUCAAAUUUAAAUCUUGAUUAAAAAAAAAAACCCUUAAAAUAAAUUUGCUCUACUCUGUCUCCUCCCUCUUACAUUUCUGGCUCCGCCAUUGUUCCACCCUCUCCCUCAUCCUAUAGAUGUACCACUGUAGUAUCUUUGGCAGAGGCUAACUUGAAAAGUAAGAGAGAAGGCUUUUUUUUAAAGGACACUUCUCCACUUGUUUGCCCAAUCAGAAUUUGGUUCUCAUAUCAUUUUUACACAAAUAGUCGUUCCGAGAUUAAAUUUUUCUCAUCUCUUCCUAAUAUCUUUCCAUAAACUCACCCCAAGAGUCUCUGUCACCUCUAGAGUACUCCACCCCCAUCCAUCUCCCCAAAAUUUACCUUGGAUGAUCUUCUUCCACAAACUAUCAUGCUUAUGAGCAAACCUCAACCACCAUUCCUAAUAAGGCCUGGCUUCUAAUUUGGAUCCUCCAAACUUCUCAUCCUUACAAACCAUCAUCUGGCUCAUUAAAAGUACUUUCUGAAGUCCUCCAUAAAAGCCUCUUUGAAUUUUUCAUUCUAAUUAUCACUUGCCAAAGCAUUGGAAAUAGGUCAUGAAAUAUAUUGAAAAACCCAAGAGGGUACCCUUUAUAAGGAUUAAUCUUCCCACCCCACCUAGGUAAAUUUUUUGGGAACUCACCCGUAAGAAAUCUCCAUCAAGCUUGUGCUCGGUGGAAGGUUAAACCUUGGUGCUAGGUGUCUUUCGCUAAGAAAUCGUUUUGAAUAUGUUAGUUUUUAGUUGUAUGGUUAACUAAUGUUGUUCAUUAUUAGGAUAAUUGAAACUGGUAUUCUAUGGAGGGCAUAAAUUAGUAAUAGAUUUAUGAGAAAACUUGGAAUUUCUCUAGUUUCUUUUCUGACAUGCUGCAUGUAAAUGACACAAAGGUUAGCAUAAAUUGCCUUGAGGUAGCAGUCAAGUGAUCCUAUAAGUACCACAAAUACCUGUGAGCUUGGAAAUAAUCGAAGUCUUCCCAAUUGAGAUGACCCUAGGUUCCAAUACAUUAAUACUGAUUUUCUUGAGUUGUGUAUGAUGCUUCUUUUCAUGUUAUUUACGGCAUUGACUCCUGGACUCUCUUGUACAUGCUAGUGGCAUUCAUUAGAAGUUAAGACCACUGUUUUCCAGGGCUUUCGAGCAACAGCAAUAUGGAGGUGGAAUUUUCCUAUGGUACAAGUUUGGAAUAAAUAUCAAUGGGUUCAAGACAAAUUUGAGAAUUUUUUGUGAACCCAAAGCGGGUUUGGAUACGAUGUUGUCCCAUCCCAAAUUAUAUGUAAUAUUAAAUAAAAAUGAUUUUAAUUUAUUUUUAACUUUUUUAACAUAUAUAAAUUUUAUUUUUUUAUAAAAAUAAAUUAUAAAUAUUUAUAAUAUUAAUUUAUUUAUUUGUAAACUAUAUUUAUUUUUAAUAUAAUUUAAAAGUAAAAGUUUUAAAAUUUAUAUGUAAUAUUAAAUAAAAAUGAUUUUAAUUUAUUUUUAACUUUUUUAACAUAUAUAAAUUAUAUUUUUUAUAAAAAUAAAUUAUAAAUAUUUAUAAUAUUAAUUUAUUUAUUUGUAAACUAUAUUUAUUUUUAAUAUAAUUUAAAAGUAAAAGUUUUAAAAAAGAAAUUAAGAAAAGAUAAAUAAAUUGACAAAGUGAAUAUGAAAAUUUCCUAAACGUUAUUUAUUUAUUUAUUUUUCUAUUUUGUGGAGAUGAAAUAUAUAUAAAUAAAUAAGACGAGAUUAGGAUAUGAGUGAACGUCUUAAACCUACCUGUUAUCAUCCAUAACCUAGAAGACUGAGUCCAAUGUUGAUUUUUAAGAUCCGUUUUUGGGUCUGGGUUUGCAGAAAAAACAAAAGACCUAACGAUUUAUUCGUUUGGCCUACAUGAAGUUGAUGAAUGUAACACCUUAACUUGGAACAUGACAGAUCCAUCAAACUCAGUCAAUCUCCACCGUAUAAAUUUUAAAAAAUCACAACAAUUUGGAAUUUUCAACCAUUGAAUUUUCAAAGAUAGAAUAAUUUUAUAUUGUUCCGAGGCCGAUGCUAAAGGGUUACAUAGAACUUUCAAAAUAUCUUUUUUCCCGAGAGAAAAUAUUUUGAAUAUAUUUGGUCCCCAAAACAUUUAAGGGUACUGUGGAUCCCACAUUUCGGCUUAAUGCGUUUCUCACUCGAUGGCGAGCUCGAUUUUUAUUUGAAAAAUUGAUUUUUUAUUGAUUAUUUGAAAAUGACUUGGAGUCGCCACUUAUUUUUGUUUUAUUUUUAAAGAGUAAACAAAAUAAGAAAGAAAAACUCUAAGUGUGACUCCUUAUUUUGGAAAAGACGGUCUAUGAAAAACCGGAUCGAGUUCGGGGGUCAGGUUAUUUAUCGGGAAGGUACGGUAAAGACCGUAGCACCCCUCUAAGUCUUUAAAGUCGGGUCUCUACUAAUGAGAUGAAGCUGACAUGACAAUCAAUGAGAAAAUCAAUGAAUAUUCGAAUCAAUCAUGCACAUAUAAGUAUCAGAAUAUGCAAUAGAGGAUAACCGAAGUGGAAGUGGAUGCGUACCUGAUCAGCAAACGGCAACGCGCUAUCACAAAAUGGGAUUAGUGCAUAGUAAUGAACACAAAGUAUAUCACUCAUAUCACCCAACCAGAUAAAGAAGCACCAAUAUCAUGUAUGACAUUUCAUUCAAUUCCAUUUUUAUUUUAAAGGAAAUUUAUUUGAUGUCGGGCCCCCACCAUAGCCCGUUUUAUUUUGCAUGAACUAAUUCCAUAAAUUCCAUAAUUUGGAAUUACGAAAUUUGAUUCUUGCUUAUUUUUAAAACAUUUUAAAAACAAAACUAAGGAAAAUAUGAAAAUUGCAUGCCAGAGAGAAAAAAGGUAGCAAAAUUUUAUUAAAAAUAGGACUCUUGGUGAUCCUAAAAAUUCUAAGGAUGAAACAUGAGGGAGUUGGGAUUAUUUAAGAAACAUAAAAACCUGAAAAUUAUUUGAAGAAAAAGAUGUUGGAAAGUUAUUUUAAAAAAAACAAAGAUGAGAAAAUGGGAUAAUGGCACGUGGCUCUAAGAUAGCAUGCCAAAGGUGGCCAUGCAAAACUUACCUCUGAGGUUUGACUGGAUGCAGACAUCCCACUGCAGUUACUGCAUCCCGAAGAUAUGACACGUGUCUAAAAUUGAGAGACUCCGCUCCUUUGCUUCCUAACAAAAACUACCUCGAGAUGCAUAUAGACAACCCCAGAGACCAUAUCAUAGUCCACAUGACCUUCUUUGCCUGCUAUCACCUCUACACAUGCCACCUCAUCCUCCUCUGUCUUGUGAGUUAACAUGGAACCUGGAAUCACUUCAUCAAUAGCUCAGACGCCAGCUUUGUUCUGAGCAUGAACUUCAUCUUUUGUUUCUCGAGAACACGCUGAAAUUGCCUUUCCAUGCUUGGAGCAAUGUCUGGAACAAUGUAUUUAUAUCCCAUGGAAUUGCUUAAAAUCAUUCAGCAUUUCCAAGUCAACUAGUCUCAUUGACAGAAGAAGUUGGUGCAGGCUGGAUGUUAAGGAAAUGGUGAUAUGCACCUCAUGAUAAGGCUUAGGAAGAAUGCUGGAGGAUGCACGCACGUGGGAGAAUAUGGGAUGGGUGAGUGGAAAAUGAAUAGUGGAGGAUGAAUGAUGGACUUAAUGGAUAUUGAAGGGUGUAAACCUAGAGAGAGAAGUGGGUUUAUUGACGUAGCUAGGUGAAUGGUGGGGGUAAUAGGAUGCAGAGAUCAAGAAGCAGGAAUAGCUUGAUUUUCUUUGCUGAAGAACCAGUCAACUUGAUGGAGGAGACGAUCCCACAUAAAAAUAAAGGGCAUGAAAUAACCCAGGUGGGUCCACCGUUCUUGAUGAGACGUCAUUGUUGAGCAAAGAUAAAGUGCCUGUCUCACAUGGAGCUCAUGACCACAACCUUCAGCAGCCAAUGAACAUACUCUCCCAAAGCAGGCAGCAUAAAUACUAGCAAUGGUUCAGACCAAUGAUGGAUCCACGUUGUUCCCCUUGAGAAAAUCAAGAACCCUCCAUUUGCAGCCUCCAAUAUGGAACACGUCCGAGUAGAGCUUCCGGAUAUUCAAUCCAGAAAAGUUCUCAAUUGUCAACGCAAACCUGGUCGACAAGGGAUCUUCUACAGUCUGCGCAUCCACUAUACUAGCAGUAUCUGAUCGCGCCACUUCCAUGGGCUGGGGACCGUCGGCGGGGUCGGUGUGCAAAACAAACAUUUCAUUGUCUUCAUCUAAGGGCGGAAGAGUCAUGAGAGUCCUUAGUGGACAGGAAUGGCCGUCUGAUCGGCAUAUUUGAGACAUGAACUAGAGAGAGAGAGAGCCAGGGAGAAGCAGCCUUUGCAACUUAAACACAAAGGAACUAGUGCUAGCAUAAAUGCCAAAAAUUCCAAUAUUGUUGAAGAUAUUAUCGAACCCAGAGAAAGAUUGGAGCUGCUGAUACUCAUUCAAGAUACCGAGAUAUAACCGCGAGUGCAAUCCUAUCCUAUGACUUCCCUUUAGAAUCAUUUCCACGUAAACACCUUGAUUAUAUAUUAAGCUUCCAUCAGGUAAAUGUACCUGAAGUGAUUUUGUAUCUUUUGAAGGCUAGGUACAGCACGUCAUGUCUUGGGGGUGCAUGAAUCAAAUUCUUCCAGGAAGCAUUAGCCGGACCACGUGAAACAUCAAAGGCUGCACAUAACUCCAUCCCAGACAGCUUUGCCUUGCUGCUUGACAUAGGGUCAAACCCACCUCAACGUUCAUGAUCUUAAUGAACUUGAAUGAUUAACAAUCCCAUAUCCCGAAUCUGAGAUUUCUGGACCAGCUGAUCAAGAGCUCGCAGCAUGACUUUCGAUGCAAAUUCAGCAUCACAGUCAUCUCCUCCAUAAAACUCUUGGCAAGUUUUCUGUCAACACGGGUUGGGAGUUUCCCAUCAGCUUGGGGAUUUCCUAGCUGCCCAUAAACAGGACUUCCCAUUGUAACCCGGAAGACCCGUAUCAACAUUUGAUCCCUUGGAAUGCGCACAUGAUCAAAUCUUAAAACUCCAUUGUCCAUGUUGUAAUAUCCUCCAUUUCCAAAUUCAUACCAAUAUCACCGAUAGUUAUGCCCAAAAAAGGUAAAUGAUCAUCCAUACAUAUCACCCUGCAUAUUGCUAAUCUCUGUUCAGUGUAGCGCAGGGCCAACAUAGCCAGCAGUUGCCUGGUAGAGUGCAAGUCCAGGGUAAACAAUGGCUUCUUGGGAACCAAGAUCUUCAUUCACAAGAACCCAAUGACCAUGAAAGUCUCGUACAAUGUAAAGCCUUCUUUAUGAUGGGAAAUAGCAGAACGAUGGAGAGAACGGGCCUCAAUGCAUCUCACUCACGAGUCAUUAUAGCCAAGUGUUGAAGUAGAGCAUGCCCUGAUAGCCAGGGGGGUGAUUUGGACCAGAAAUUCCAACCUAGAUUUCUCCAGGGAAGUGCAGACUGCAGUAUCCUCUCUCCUCUUUCAAAGGUAUCUCUUCUCUCAAAACCCAUAUAAGGCACAGGAUCCAGUAACAGAGGUGGCCUCAACCAUAAAAAAAAAUGCAUGAAAACAGAGCACAAAGGGAAACAAAUAAAAAGGUCAUCAAAGGAAGAUUCACAUCAUGAGUCAUCAGUGAACCUUCCUAUUAGGUGAGGAAAAACAGCAUCAAAUGCAAAUAUUGGUGGGGUUCUCGGGCAUUUCAUAGUCACAAAUAGAAAUAGAACAUAUUAAGAUUGACAAUGCAGGUAUGAAUUCAGGAUUAUAUCUCAACAAGCAACAAGUGGCUUCAUUAUCCACCCCAAGCAAAACAACAAAUAUCCAAAUAUCAACAAGCAAUGCAGAGGGAUAGCAAGGAUCCAAAUCAAACAAUAAACCUAUUGCCUUCAUACCUGAGAAUGUCCUUCUCCAGUGAGGCUCUCUUCUUCUACAAACACCUCAAGUUCCCCUUUAAAAUCAACAAAACUAAUGAGACAGCAGCACCUCUUCUACUCGCCAAACGCACAGCUCUCUUGCCUCAAACUUGCCUCCCCAGCCAAACUUCCCCCCUCUGAAAAUAUCUCUCAGACCUGCAUCCAAAAGCCCCCUCUCUCUCUCAUCCGCUCCUCCUCUCUGCCAGAAAACAGCAGUCCAAAAAAGCACCACUACCUCUCACAGUUUGCUGCUCCUAGCUCCAGGGAUCCUCCCCCUCUCUUGGAAACUUCUUCAAACCUCUUCCCCUCUCCUUGCAGAAACAGCCAAAAGCACCCUCUUCACCUGCAGGAGAAGCUCCCCCUCUAACAGACUCUGAACGCCCCCUGCAUAUCCUCCUCCAGGUGUCGCCUCCUGAUAGCUCUUCAAAAAGCAAUAUCUGAUUCCAUAGCAGCCAAUUAAAGGACGCCAUGUGGUCUCCUGGGGUUGCGACACUUGGCAAAACAAGCUGCAUGAAAAGUGCAUGAAACCGAGUCCCAAAAUGGGGGUCUACAGGUACACAUAGGGAAAAAAAUAUGAAAGAAAGAAAAAGUAAAGAAAAAAAAUAGAUUUAAAAUCAAUAAAUUAUUUUUAUAUAUUUCUUUAAAUUAAUUUUACUAUUUAUUUUCCUAAAUUAAAUCAUUUUAAAAUACAUAAAUUUCUAAUUAAUUUUUAUUAUAUUUGAUUUUCUUUUGUAUAUUCUUUUUAUAGUGAAAUUAAACAUAAGAAAAUCCGUUUUAUUAAUUUUUUUAUCUUUUACUUUCCAAGAACCUAAACUAGUACUAAGAAGCUAUAGCCCAGGUUUGAAAUAUUGCUAAAUACGGAUAUAUUGAUACUUGAAUUUUAUUUUACAGAUGUAGAAGAGAAAUAUCGAUGGAUAUUUUGACAAAAAUAUCGGUAAAAGUAAAAAUUAUUUAAAAUUCAUGAAAAUAUUUGAAAAAACUCUAAUAAAAAUUCAUAUUUUAAAGUUAGUUUUGUAAAUGUAAUUUACAUAGAUACUGUUAUGAAGAAAAAUAUCUAUAUGGAAUGAUAUAUCGGUUUUAAUAUAUAAUUUAUUAUUUAAAAUCAAAGAAUAAGGAAAUAAGAAGGAUAAUACUAUGCACAUACACACAUGUGCUUUUUUUUUUUUUUUUUUUUUACAUAUAUACAAAAUGUACAUGCUCUGAACGCAAACCAAGAAGCCCCAAAGACGAGGUCAAAAAUGGACAAACAUGCUCUCAAACGUCAAUGUAAUAUAAACUCUCUCUGAUGAUGUGACCUUCUCAAACUAAGGAUUCCUGGAUCAACGUCCGUAGGAUAGAUAGUGGAAAAUGACAUGACUACCCUCUAUGUAAUGAACUGAGGAUGAUCACCACUCGAGGUGGGAGAAGAUGAAGUGGAACAAACGAUAGAUAUAAUAAAGAAGCGGAUGAAGAACCAACGAGAUGUGAUGAAAUGCAAUGACGCAAUGAUAGGAAAAGAUAAUGAGAAAGAUGUGCCCCUUGGUCCAAGGUUCAUGAAACUCCUAAACAAUGCAUGCAUACACUGAAGGGCCCCUAUCCCGGUGUAGAAGGUGAGCAAGGCUAUAAGAAAUAAAAGGUUAUGAUGCUCAUGCGAGGCUCAAAGGGCUAGCAAUGGUCUAGAUGUCAAUAAAGGUAAUAGGGUGUGAGUUAACCGAAAUGAAGGUCACCCAUCCUGCGACCACAGUCUCAAACAUCGUGCUAUCAAGCCCUCAAAUGAUCAAUACUAAAGAUCGAUGUCCAUCUGAUAUAACCACGUCAACCCUCUAGAAUCAUGCACCAACCGUACUCCAAAUGCUCCAUAAUAAUCUCAAAGAUGAUCCUCUCAAAGCAAAGUGAACGGUGAUCUCAUCAGGCACGACUGCCUAUCACAAGCCAACCCUCAUCAUACAAGAUCAAUCUCUAUACUCAUGGCAAAAUAAGUGACAGUCUCAUCAAGCAACCGACCAAUCCUCAUAUCGUAAACCAUCCAAAGAUCAUAAGCUAUCCCUCGCCAUGCAAGAACAACCCUGGGCUCAAACUCCUCACACUCUACUUGGUCGGAUCAGAGAGGGGAUGUGCAAAGCUAGAAAAGCCGAGGAUGGAAAGGUCAUAUAAUGGUAUCAAGGGUGAUGUUGUGCAAAGCUCAUAAUGGAUGGAUGUAGGUCAAAACAGAGUCAAGGUGUGGGAAGUGAGCAAGGUACUGCUCUGAUCAUAAGAAGAUGUGUCACAAUCUCGAACUCCCUAAGUCAAAUCUCUGAUCCUAGGCUAAUAGGCUCAAUAUCCUCCAUGACAGGUCAAGCCUCAAGACCACAAUGUGCAAGUGAAGAGAUGCCUCAAGUCAAAAGUACAACACAUCAUAUCACAAAACACAAGCAUAUGUCCAUAAAGGAAAAUGCAUCCAAUGGGAUAAUCGAUGAGUACAUCAUGCAAAAGAAGGAUAAUAAAGACAAUACUCAAGAAACGAGUUAUAGUCUCUAAAUGUCAAAAGCAAAACAAGAUUAAACAAACAAAAACAAAAACAGUGACUGGUCCUGUCAUCACAUCUCUGGCCACAAAAGGAACAAAAUUUGAGCGCCACUGUACCAAGGCAAGCCAAUCAUGAGUCAAUCGCCCAAAUCAAUAAGAUCAGGGACUGCUGGUGAAGGAGCGUCUACAUGCAUGGCCAGAGCUGAGAUAGGAAUAGGAAACAUAUCAGACUGAAGAUGCCCAAACGUCCCAGAAUCAACAAUGUCAUGUAUGGCAUGUUUGAAGAGCAUAGCAUCCUUGUUUCAGAUGAGAAUGUGAUCAAUGAUUAUACACUAAAGAUUCAUAUAAGUUUUGAUGUGGAAAAUGGACUAAAAGCUGCCGAGUAUAUUCAUAAUGCUAUAUCAAAGUGGUUCCCACUUCGGCCAUGGUGUUUGACCUUGAAAAUUCUUCUAUAGCAGUGAGAAUUGAAUAAGACAUAUUCUGGCAGAAUUGGUUCUUAUGUCCUCUUUGCUAUACUUCAACCAGCAGAUGACCAAUGUGGCACUCAUAACCGUAGCCAAGAACUGCCCAAUUUUACACGCUUCAGGUUGUGCAUUCUGGACCCUACACAAACUGACCCAUUAACAUGCUCGCCACCACCUACAUAUUUUCUUAAUCGUCAAACAGCAAGCAAAGCUGUCCUCAAGCCGCCGGCGGCGAAACGCCUCCGCCAUCAUCAAAGCACCAGUCCAACCAUACCCAAAUUUCUUUCUUUGUUGCUUCCUGAUGUAAAAGCUCCUCCAUCCAUGCAUCUUAUGAAGGUAACAACAUCCCAUUAUCAAUCACGACUCAAGCAAAGCCAUUCCCGUCAUAGCCUUCAUUCUCUCUGCAUUCCUCAUACCCACUCCUCUCUAAACCUUCCCAUGCAUGCCACUACUCUGUUAAUACCCACAAACCCACUGCUCAUGGCCGAUACUCCCCUCAUUACCUUCCCUCACUCAUCCAUUCUGCCAUUAAGUGCACACUUUCUUUGGUAAGGCUGCUCACCUUGUUGACAACACCAACCACCAGGGCCACUUCCAAAAGGUGUUGACUGCCAUUGGGAACUUCUGUAUAUACUCCAUUGCGUUUGGCAUAAUAGUAGAAAUAGUGGUGAUGUACCCAAUUCAGAGAUGCAAGUACAGGGAUGGGAUCAAUAAUCUUUUGGUGUUUCUCAUUGGAGGAAUACCAAUAGCCAUGCCAACAGUGUUGUCAGUGACAAUGGCCAUAGGCUCUCACCGUCUGUCAAAGCAAGGUGCUAUCACAAAGAGGAUGACAGCAAUAGAAAAGAUGGCUGGAAUGGAUGUUCUUUGCAGUGACAAGACUGGGACUCUCACCUUCAACAAGCUUAUAGUGGACAAAAGCAUGAUUGAGAUAUUUUCAAAGGACGUGGACAGUGAUGUGGUGAUUCUGCUUGCGGCUAGGGCUUCCCGGGUUGAGAAUCAGGAUGCCAUUGAUGCCUGCAUUGUGAGAAUGUUGGCUAACCCCAGUGAGACAAGAUUCAGGGAACCAGGAUAAUGUCCAGAAUGAUGUCUUAUUGCAAAAUGCCUCUGAAUUUAGUAGUCAGGUUUAUCCACACAAGGGAGGGCCAAAUCUAAAAAUAGAUUCCUGUUCUACUAAUUCAUAGGAAGAAGAACUCCUAGUGCAAAUUCAAAGUUCUGAAUUUUUAUUGCUUCCCUACAAGGAAGAAACAUCAACUGUUGUAGAGAUCACAACAGGAUAAGUUGGGCCUUCAAUAGUUUCAGGCUCCAAUGAAGAGUUAUUGGAUUUUGAUAGCUGGUUUAUAAGGCUUCUCAUUCAUAUGACCACCCCGGGGUACCUCUGAUCAGUCCUCGCCCAUCAUCAGUUUCAGUAUACCGAUGAUCUCGCAGUAUUCAUCACUCCGGCUCCGUUGGGAUUUUAGAGAAGGCAUGCAACUGGUGUUCAAGGUGCACCAAGUUCAGAAUCCCACUCUGCAUGGCCUACAUGGCCGUCUUUGGGCCUUAUGUUCUUCUGUCAUUACUUCAUCUUUGUUUUCAAAAUAACUUCCUAAGCUCCAUCUUGCCUAUGAUCUUCCAAAUUUAAUUCUCCCAAAUAAUUUCCAUUCCUCCUUUUUCAUCCUUAUCAUUUUUCUUAGGCUUCAAAAACCCGAUUUUCAAUAAAACUUGGCCACCAUUUCCUUUCCGGCGAGCCACAUUUGAAUUUUCCGUGAUUUUUAUAAAAUGUUUUAAAAUAAGUGUGAAUUUAUUUUCGCAAUUCCAAGUGAUGGAAUUUGCGAAAUUAAUUCACUCAAAAUAAAAUGGGCUUUGGUGGGGGCCCGACAUCCAAUUAAUUUCCUUUAGAAUAAAAAUGGAAUUGAAAUAAUGUCACGCAUGAUAUUGGUGCUUCUUUAUCUGGUUAGGUGAUAUGAGUGACAUACUUUAUGUUCAUUACUAUGCACUAACCCCAUUUUGUCAUAGCGCGUUGCCGUUUGCUGAUCAGGUACGCAUUCACUUCCACUUUGGUUAUUCUCUAUGUAUAUUCUGAUACUCAUAUGUGCAUGAUCGAUUCGAGUAUUCCUUGAUUUUCUCAUUGAUUGUCAUGUUAGCUUCAUUUUAUUAGUAGAGACCCGACUUUAGGGACUUAAAGGAGUGCUACGGUCUUUACCGUACCUUCCCGAUAAGUAACCUGACCUCCGAACCCGAUCCGGUUUUUCACAGACCGUCUUUUUCAAAAUAAGGAGUCACACUUAGGGUUUUUCUUUCUUAUUUUGUUUACCCUUUAAAAAUAAAACAAAAAUAAGUGGCGACUCCAAGUCAUUUUCUUAACAAAUAAAAAUCAUUCUUCAAAUUAAAUAAAAAUCGAGCUCACCAUUGAAUGGGAAAUGCAUGAGCACGAAAUGCGGGGUCCACACUUAUCAAAUUAAUUUUAAUUUAUAAAAUAUUAAAACUUUAUUAUUAUCAUUAUUAUUUAUAUUUUAGUUUUUUAAAAUAAAUUUAUAUUUUUAAUAUUUUAUAUUAAAAACAUUCAAAAUUAAAAGGAUAAAUAUAAAAAAUUUAAAAGUGAAGUCAUAGUAAUUUUUUAGAAUAGAAUUAAUGAGAUAGAUUAUGAUACAUUUAAUAUUAAAACUAUAAUUUAUGUAAUUCAAAUAUAUUUAAUAAUAUGAAAUAAAUGAUAAUACAUAUAUGAUUUUUUUAAUAUUUAUAUUUUUUAUAUUUAAUUAUCAUAUAAAUAAUAUAAAAAAGACUUAUUAAAAAAAUUAUAAUAUUAAUUUUUAUAUUUUUAUUAAUCAAUUGAAUAUAAUUUAAAAUAAAAUAAUUAAAAUUAAGUUUUUUUUUAAUGAUGAACUUGAAUAUAUAUUAUCAAAGAGCAUCAUAGUUCAGUGGUAGCCGGGAUUGAAGCAAAGUCAAGGUUCAAAUCUCCCAUAAAAGUAAAUAAUCGAUAUUUCAAACAUUAAUCAAAAUAAAGAUAGAGAAUUAAUAAUUAUUUAUAUGGAGAGAGGAAAAUUGUUCUCAGGGCCACCCACUUCUCUCACUCGGGCAUCAAGAAGCUCUCUCCUGAAGUUGCCCUCCAGACGGGAGAAUCCAAAGGCCCUAUUUUCCUCUGCCACUCUCAAUCCUCGCAGGUACUAAUCUAUUCAUGUUAUUAUUAUUAUUAUUAUUUUUCUGCAAGCCCCGUUUGAUCCCCAAGAAAAUCCAUCCCCCAUUCGAUUUCCGGGAAAAUUCAUCCUCGUUUGAUUUCCGAGAAAAUCCAUGCAAAACCCCCAAAGAAAACCAAAAAAUUUGCUUUUUCUUUGCUCCCUGUGUUUUCUGGAUCUGUUCUAGGGGUCUCUUUGCUUUUGUGCCAUUGGAUUUAAAAAUUUCACGAACCCUAAAUCCACGAUUUUUGAGCCAGGCUGAAAAACACAACCUUUGCCUGCAAAUCCACGAUUUAAGAGUUAUAUUUAGUAUUUUUGCAGUCAAUGAAUGUGCCGCCACAUGUUUGAAUCAAAAAAAAAAAUUAACUUCUGCUAAAAUUCAUCAAAUAUUGGAACUUCAAAAACCAACAACUUGUUUUUGCCAAAGCAAAGGAUUGAAUAUUUCCUUGGUGGAUUUUUGGGAACGGAUCAUGCACCCACAAGAAAUCUCCAUCAAGCUUGAAGUUUUCUUAUUCGAAGGUUGAUCCUUAGUGCAUGGGGUCAUUCAAUAAGGUUAAUAAAUUGUCUGGAGGGAGCAGUAAAUGAUAACAUAUAGCCGUGUGCUUGGAAAUAUUCGAAGUCUUCCCAAUGGGGAAGACUCUAGGAUCCAAUACAAUCCUGGUUUUCUUGAUUUAUAUCUAAUGCUUGUGAUCGUAUUAUUUGUGGCAUUGACGCCUGAAGUCUUUUGGAAGUAUACUUGGAUGUGGCAUUCAUCAGUAGUUAAAAUCAUUGUUUUCAGGGCUCCUACGCCAAGCUUCCAAGCAACAUCAAGGUGAAGAGAAAGAGCAUGAACCCAGAUCUAGCUGGAGGGAUGGCAGACAGGGCUGUGUCGUUUCUUCUUCAAAAACUUGGAAGCUUUUGCAAGUAGAGAAUGGAACUUGCAGGAGAAUAUCAGGAAUGGAGUCCGUGAGUUACAAAGGGAGCUGUGGAGAAUAGAAGCCAUGAUGAGAGAUGCUGAUGCAAGGAAAGAUAUGAUAACCGAUUCAACGUGUGGAUUCAAGAAGUUCGCACAGAAGCUUAUGCCAUUGAGGAUGUUCUUGACCUGUUCAGACUCCACUGGGAUCAAGAAUCAGUGUGGCGCCACUUGAAAAUGUGGCACUCCAUUAGCAACCUGAUACAGGAUAUUAACACAAGGCUCGCGAUCAUUAGUGCGGAAACCAACACAUACCUUAAUGUGAGAGUAGUUCCUUUGAUCCCUGGCAGGGGCAACAACACUGUGGGCAUUGACAAGCCUAAAAGGAAGCUGGUUUCUUGGGCAUUGGAGUCGAAUCAGAAACUCAAGGUUAUGUUCAUGGUGGGAAUGGCUGGCUUGGGAAAGACAACGCUUGGCCACAGCGUGUACGAGGAGGUGAAGAUGUGUGGGAAUCCAUUAGACUUGCCUUGCCAGAUGGUAACGACAAUAGAAUAAUUAUCACUACAAGAAGAGGCGAUAUAUCUAAUUCUUUCAGAGAUGAUGAUUCUAUUGAUAUCCACAAGGUUCAGCCUCUGUCACCGCAUUGGGCUGAGCAACUCUUCUAUAAGAAAGCUUUCUCAGGAGUUGACUGAUGUCCUUCAGGUUUGGAGGAAGUCUCCAAAUCCAUCUUACAGAAAUGUGAUGAUUACCACCUGAGAUUAUUGAAAUCGGUAGGGUCUUGCGGAGUAAGCCUCGUCAAACAAAAUAUGAGUGGAAAAAAUUACAUGAUAGCCUUGAGUCUGAAUUGAGAAGCGGUGGUGCCCUUUCAGAUAUUAUGAGAGUGUUUUCUGCAAGUUACAAGGAUUUACCUUACCAUCUCAAGUAUUGCUUCUUAUAUAUGAGUAUUUUUCCUGAGAAUAAUCCAGUUAAGCAAAGAAGACUGAUUUGGCUAUGGAUAGCUGAGGGAUUUGUAACAGAGGAGAGAGGCAAGACUCUUGAAAGGUGGGGGAAGAGUACCUGAAUGAGCUUAUUGGCAAGAGUCUGAUAAAGGCAAAUGAAAUGGACUUUGAUGAAAGGCCAAUAACUGUUGGAGUCCAUAGUCUCAUGCGUAGGAUAAUUCACUAGAGGAGAACUUCUGAACUGUUUGUGCAGGACCAGAAGGAAAGUUGGCUGACAAACCCCCACGCCUAUACAUCCAGAAGAGAAACUUUGAUGUGUCUCAGGACUUAACCUGUGUUCAAACUUUUUUCAGUUUCAGUACAGGUAGGGUAAACAUUGGUUCGAAUUUCAAACUAUUGAAGGUUUUGGACAUACAAAGCACUCCUUUGGGAAACUUUCCAAGUGCCAUUACAGAUCUUGUGCUCUUGAGGUACUUGAGUUUGAGGAAUACAAAUAUAAGGAGCAUCCUCAAAUCUCUCAGGAACCUACGGGACCUUGGAUCUUAAGCAGACUCUGGUAACAAAGGUACCCAAAGCAGUCCUACAAUUGGAGAAACUUCGCCAUCUGCUGGUUUAUUGCUACCAAAGGGGAUCGAUGCAUUGAAGAACCUACAAAAGCUAUCAUUUGUAAAGGCGAGUGGGCAGCACAGAAUGAGUCAGAAGCACAAAAUGAUACAAGGGCUCGAUAAUCUUACGCAGUUGAGGAAGCUGGGCAUUGUAGAACUAGUAGAAGAACAUGGGGCCAGCUUGUGCCUCUCAAUUGAAAAGAUGCCAAAUCUCCACUCCUUGAAUGUAACCUCCCUUAAUAAGGAGGAGCCUUUGGAGCUUGAUGCAAUGACCAAUCCACCGCCCCUUCUUCAACGCUUGUACCUCAGAGGGCCUUUGGAAAGGUUUCCACGGUGGGUAUCUUCUCUACAUGACCUGGAGAGAAUAUGCCUAAAAUGGUUUUCACUCACACGAGAUAACCCGAUUGAAGCUCUUCAAGACCUCCCAAAUCUGACAGAGUUGCAGUUGCUUGAUGCAUACACUGGAACCCAGUUGGUGUUCAAGUCGAAAAAAUUUCAGAAGCUUAAGAUAUUAGACCUUCAGAAAUUGGAACAGCUGACGUAUAUCAUAAUGCAAGAAGGCACAUUGCCUCACCUACAAAAGAUGAUCAUAGCGCUCUGCAGUAAGCUGGCGUGUGUCCCUAUAGGUGUCGAAAGGUGCAGGGACCUCCAAGAGCUGCACCUGUGCGAUAUGCCCCAAACAUUUGUGACCGUGCUGGAAAAAAACGGGGGUAAAUUUCGCCACUUGGUCCGCCAUAUUCCGCAUAUUGGCUCAUAUAAGCAGGGCCAGUUGGUGGAAGAUCUUUCAUGACCAUAUAUACUACUUCUGUGACAUGCAGCAGUGGAUCAAGAAUCAGGUCUGUAUAACUACAUGAAUUCAUCAUUUGCUUCUUUCAAAUUCCUCAAAAUGUACUAUUGGAUUGCUAUUCCUUUACUACCUGAUAUGCAUAUAUUCGACCCUAUCUGAAAUGUCAUGAUUGCUCUAUCUCAAGAUCUAGCAAGUUUGCAAGAAAUAUGAAUUCUAGGCUUACAAUUCUAUACGAUUUGUAAACUCUUAAGACUCGAAUGUCAAAUUUUAAGUGAAUCUCGGUCAUGUAUCAAACACCUAAAGUGGGGAUGAAUGGAUACUUCUAAAGAAUCUAUGAAAAAAAUGACGCAGCCACACUUACCCCUUCACUGCAAAAUUGAUGCAAUAAAAGUACGCCACAUGCUACUCUUAUAAGUUCUACAUUCAUUAUCCUAAACAGGGCAAACUAAUUAAUAAUCACACUUAAAAUUUUCGUUUAGAGUAUAGAGAUGGAUAAGGGACAAAGAUACAAAGACUUAACAUAGAAAAUUUUGGAAAAGAUUAAAAUCUGUGAGCUUCCAAUAAUAGUAACAUCCACGAUAAAGUAUUUUCUAAACUUUAACUUCACACCAUCUUCUUAUGAAUCAUAUUUGGAAUCAUCAUCAAGUAUGAUAUCAGCCUCCAUUUGAUGUCGAGUAAAAAGACACUCGGAUUUUACUGAGUAGGAAUAGGAAACAAUCAAUUCAUUUGGGAGGAAAAUGUUUCACUCAAAUAUCAUCUUCAACUUAAAUAUCUCAAAAUUAAUUUCCUCCAAAACCAAACACACCCUAAGUACUAAAAGAUUUGAAGCUUUAAUAUUUAAAAAUAGAAAUUAUAGUUACUUUUAUAUAAAAAGUAGAACAUCUUUUACAAAAAUAUAUAUAAUUUUUUUAAAAAAAAUUUAAAUUUGUGAUAGUAAUAAUUUUUUUAUAUUUCAUUUUUUUUUAAAUGUCAACUUCACUCUCAUUUUUUAUAUUGGAUUUAAUAUACUUAGUUUGCAUUAUUUUGAAAUUUUAUCAAAUACUUCGUUUUUUUCAAGUCCAGAUAAGUGAAAUUAACCAAUUUUUUAAGUUGUUUUUAAAACCAAUAACUUUUGAAUGUAAGUCUUUAAGAGUGUUUGUAUUUUAUAUAAGGUUGUUAUUUUGUGAUAGUAAAAAUAGAAAAUCGAAAGCGUAUCCAAACGGAUACUUAGUUAAUAAUUUUUUAAUUAUUUAAUAUUUGCAUUUAAAAAUUUAUUUUAAAUUUUUUACAAUUCCAAAUUAUAUCAAAUUAAUAAAUUUAUGUGAGUUAAACAUAUACUGAUAAAAAGGUUAGCUAGUAAAUGGAUCAUAAAUAGAUUAAAUCAUGUCAUUUUAAUACAAUUAAGUAAACGGAUCAUUUUUGCAUAAUUAAAUAAACAUAUCAAUUGACAUGAAGUAAACCGGUUAAACGAGUUAAGUAAUCAAUCAAAUCCAAAUACAACUUAUUUAUUAAAAGAAUUUUAAGACUUAAUAUGAUUACAAUAAGAAUAUGAUUAUAUAUAACCCGAACUCAAUACAAACAUGAUUAUACCUAAUCCAAACCCCUUAAAAUUUAUGUAAUUAUCAUUUUCUAUCAAAAUUACCACCUCUACUAAGAUUAUCUUAGGUUGUAUGCGGGGCCUUUCAUAUUGUUUAUAGCAUUGACUCGUAUGGUAUUCAUUUAUGAAAUUAGUUCUAUACCGUACAUGCAAGUGGCAUCCAUUAGAAGUUAAAACCAAUGUUUUCAAGGGUCCUAUGCCGAGCUUCCAAGCAACAGCAGUAUGGAGAAGGCUGGUCCGAGACUCCAAAGUAGAUUUUCAAGCUUUAUGUGAUUUGAGUUGACUGAUAGGCUCCUUUUUUUUUUUUGUUUGGGUCUACAGAAAGAAGAGAUCUGGCAAUUUUUUAUUUUUUAUUUCUAAGUCAAUGUAUAAGUAAUUUAUGAAGUUGAUGAAUGCAAUGCCUUGACUUGGAAUAUGGCAUCCAUCAAACACUGCUAGUCUCCUACACAUAAAUUUUAACUAUGUUUGGUUCGAAGAAAAGUUUCACUGAAGAUGUAAGGAAGAGUAAAAAUUAAAAAAAUAAAAUAUAAAUUUAAAAUCAAUAAAUUAUUUUAUAUUUUCUUAUAUUUAACUCUUUCAUAUAAAAAUUAAAUAAUUUAAAAAUAUAUAAUUUUUUUAUUUAUUUUAAUUAUAUUUAACUUUCUUUUAUAUUUUUUUAUAAUAAAAUCAAACACAAUAAAAUUAUUUAUUUAGUAUUUUUUUAUUUCUGAAAACCAAAUAUAAUCCAAAAAUCAGAGCAAAUAGGAAGUUUUCACCAUGGAGGAUGACAUCAUUUUACAUUACACUGAGGUCAAUAUCAGAGGGCUCACGUGGAACCUUCAGAAUGGCUUUUCUGGAGAAAAUAUUUUGAAGAAGCUAGGAAGGUCGCCAUAAUAUUAUCAUCUCCUUAUUUAUCACUAGUCAUAAUUUGGUUUGCCAAGACUAUAUUCAACUCGGAAUCAUCCCAUGGAAAUCAUAAGCCCCAAAAGCUGGGGUUAAUGGCAAAAUUUUGGUUCUAAAAAGAGAGAAAUCUUCAUUUUCUAGCUUUAAUAAUUAUACAAUAAGAAGUAAGCAUACUUCUUUCAUCAUUUUUCUGUAGUUUUUCAUGAAGUUUUGAUGAUUUUUCAAUGUUUAGAAUGAAAUACUAGUCUUAUUGUUUGAUAAAGAAGACCAAAAUAUUAAUAAGAUAUUGGUGCUAUUUUAUUAUUUUUUAUUACACUUUUGUUAAAAAUAAUUUUAAUUUUGAAAAAAUAGGUUUUCACGACUUUAUUUAAAUAGGUCAUUAUAACUUAAAAGCACGUCAUAUAAAAAAAUCUCAUAUUUGUAAUGUGUGAAAAAAUUUAUUUCUUAUUCGAUUGAGAUAUCACGAUCACUUCGAGAUUUAAGAAACAAAAAUACAAUCAUACGCCCAUAAUUAAAUCCAAAAUAAAUAUAAUUUAUGAAAAAUGACUUGGUCAAGAGGAAUGGCUAAGAGAUGGGUGGAUGUGAGGCAAUGAAAGUGAAGCUUGAACCAUGAAUGGAGCUUGACUUGUAAUAAAGUAAAGGUGUGGAAUCCAAUUCAAGGUUAAGAGCUCAUUGGAUGAUUAUGAAGGGAAAAGUCUAGGCAAAUGACUUGUGAAAUACUUCGAAAUAAGUGCUGAAAUUUCCAUGGAGAUGCAAGUGUGUUUUGUUUCCAUCAUGGGGGUGAUGGAAUUGACCAAUUCUUACUAUACAUUUUGCUUCACUCCUUGUUAAUUUUCCAUUGACCCAAAUUUCCAUUGACCCACAGGGAAGUGCAACUACUGGUCAAUCCCCUUUUUCAUUCAUUUCCAACCCCCUUGUGGGGUUAACUUUUCAGAGGAGGACAAAUGGGCCUAUUUGGAAAUUAUUAUUAAAAAGAAAAUAGUUCCACAUAUGUUUGGUCAAUUUUAUGUUGAAAACAGAUCUUGAGAAUGUAAGAUGUUUGAGGUGUUUUUAUAUAUUUUCUAUAGAGCAUUAAGAAAAAAAUGAAAACUUUUAUAUUAUAUAUAAAUAUAUAAAAGUAAUGGAAAAUUUUACUUUUUAUAUUUGAGUUUUUUUAGUAGAAUUUUGUUUUUAAUAAAAGAUUUUUUUUAUAAGAAUUGUUUUCAAAAACUUAUGUUUGAAAUAUAUUUUUGAAAACGUUGUCAAAAAGACCUUUAGUAUUUCACUUUAAUAUUCAAGUCAAAUUACUAAAUAAUUUUAUCUAUAAUGAGCUUAAAAAAAAAAUCAAUUUGGUGAGUCGAGGGAAACCUAACUUAAAAAAGACCAACCUAUGAUAUUAUUUUUUAAGAGUAUGUUGGUCAAUAUUUUUAAUAAAAGCAUUUUCUUAGAUGUGUUUAGAAGAAUCAUUUUCGAGCGAUUACAAAUAAUUUUUAUCCUUUUAAAAAUAUUUUUAAAAUUUUGUCAAACUUUGGAUUUAUAAUAUUAUUUUAGAGAUAUGGAAACCUUUGGGCUUAUUGAAAGGACAAUUUUAAUCCAUAGCAAAGAUGGUGAACCAAUGAAAAUAUAUUUGAUAUAAUAUCUAAAAAUAAGAUAUCUUACCUAAUUUAGUUUAUUGAAAACCUAAAAUAAAGUUUCCAAGAAACAAAUUAAAAAACAAUGAAAAUGACAAUUGAAUAUUUUAAAGAUUUCAGUAUUAUAAUCUUUUUUUUUUUUUUAAGCAUAUAACUAUGGAACAAAUUUUUUAUUCAUGGAUUAUAUUUUGUGAUCCAAAUUGAUUUCUUCACGCAAAAUAAAGCCAAUUCAUAAAUUAAAUUUUUUUAUAAUUUCGAUAUUAUAUUUUUAUUUUUUUAGUCUUACCCUUAAAUUAUUUUAAAAUAUGUUUAGAAGGUAUAUUAAUUUUUUUUUAAAAUAAAUAAAUAUGGAAUCAUCAUGAUUCAUGAAGAAUAGAGAAACAGUGGAGGUGAAAGUAGUUGGAACUCUCUCAAAAGGUAGUUCCGCUGACUCCGUCCACCACCACCCGCCUUAACUGUCGUUUCCUUUACGUCACAGAGAUGGAGAGAUACAAGGAAGGAAAGGUAGACUUGAAGAAAACGUCGAAUUUUUCUAUAUCUCCCUUCUCUCUCUCUAUUUCUUAUAAUCAAAGUCUUUGGAGCUUUCUCUUCUCUCCACCUGUAGGGUAGUUGGUUGUGAGCAUUGGGCAGUGAGUAGUUUCUUCUCUUGUUUCUCUCUCUCUUCAAUCUGCAUGGUUUCUUCCAUGGCGGGUCUCAGACAUCAGCUGGGUCUGUUCCUGGUGGUGGGUAUGGUGGUGAUGAGGUGUGCGUGGGGGAGGUUCGUGGUGGAGAAGAACAGCAUCAGUGUUCUGGCUCCCCUUGAUAUGCGUUCAAAGCAUGAUGGGGCGAUUGGGAACUUUGGUAUUCCUGAAUAUGGAGGAUCCAUGGUGGGGUCUGUUGUUUAUCCUCAAAAGGGCUCUUUUGGGUGUGUGCCUUUUGAGGGUGACAAGCCCUUCAAGUCUCGCUCCUCUCCCACCACUAUUCUUCUUCUUGACCGUGGAGGUAUUCCAGAUUCAUCCCUCUUCUUUAAUUCUUGUUUGUUUGUUGGGAAUUUGAUUUAUUACUAUAAGAGAAUCCAUUUCUCAGUGAUGGGUGGAUCUUGCCUUUUCCUUCUCCUUCUUCGUUUGCCCUUAUAUUAGCUGAAUUUGUAUGGAGUUAUUACAUUAAUGGGUAUUUUGUUUGGCUUCUGGAUUUGGGUUUUGGAUGCUUUGAAUUUGAAUUUUGCUGUAUGCUCACUUGUAUCUCCUCUGUUUUUCCUCUUAUUUAACCCUUUGAAUCUCCUGUGAGCAAAAUCAAGUUAGCAGACUGGCGAAUUGACUAGGGUUAUGGGUGUGGUUCUGGUUGUAUUGAUCACAUCUUUUGGUAUAAUCGGUUAUUCUUAACCUCGGGACCAAAUUGGUUAUUCAGUAGAAAAGAUUGUAAUAGGUGUGUUUGAAGCCAUUCCUGAAUGGGAUCACCUUUGGUAGAGUUAUUAUGCAGGAGUGCUAGUUGGGACAAUCCAUUUUGACCCCUUUUUAUAGCUUACUAGCUUUGGUUGAUUCACUUCUCAAUGGUAAGUUGGCAACAGAUUUGCUGUCUUUUAUAGAGAAGAUAGAUCAGAGAUAUUUGUAAUCCAUCAUUUAUUAUGAAUUAGACAUGUAUUUGGACCUUCCCUUCAACUUCACAAUUCUCCCUUUCUUUGUCAAAUACUCUUUUGGAUUUCUUGUUUGAAUGAUGUCAAGUGGAAUACAGAUUUGUGCAUUUUUUGUAAGAAUGAUCAGUUUAUUUGAAUAAUUUCACGAGUCUUUAGAAGUUGUUGGUCAAGUGGGUGUCUCUCUUCUCAUUGUUUUUCAAGCUCUAGUUCCUAUUAUUGUCUUUUAUGUGUGUUGGUACCUUCUUUAAGCUAGAAGGUAGUCUUCUCUGAUGGAUAGCUCUGCAAUUUGCCCCCUUUGUCUUCAGUUCUUGUGUUUGAAAUAUUUUUCUCAGUUUUCUUUUGCUUUUUUCGGUUUUCUGGGGUUGGAGGUGGGAAAGUGUUGGUUUGUGAACUGUAAAGAUCAAUACAUGCAUACGCUGGAAAAAGGAGUGAUUCUACCCAAUUCUAGAUUUAUACAAGAUGACAUCUGGAAAAAGUACAUUAAUCCAAAGUUUCGAUUUUCAUCAUACAAAACUUAAAUUAGCUUGUUUGAUGACUAAUCAAUUAAAAGACCAGUCUACUAUCAGUAGAUGACUUCCAUGGUUGAAUUCUAUGUUAAUUUCCUUUUUCUCUUGCACUCUCAGAGUGCUACUUUGCCUUGAAGGCAUGGAAUGCUCAACAGGCAGGAGCUGCAGCAGUUCUAGUGGCUGAUAGCAUAGAUGAGCCUCUCAUAACCAUGGAUUCUCCAGAGGAGAGCACUGAUUCAGACGGCUAUGUGGAGAAGCUUAGGAUCCCAUCAGCCUUAAUAGACCGAGCUUUUGGUGAAAAUUUGAAGCAGGCCUUGAAGAAAGGUCAAGAUGUUUUGGUAAAAUUAGACUGGACAGAGUCAAUGCCCCACCCAGAUGAGAGGGUCGAGUAUGAGCUCUGGACUAACAGCAAUGAUGAGUGUGGGACUCGUUGUGAUGAGCAGAUGAACUUUGUGCAGAACUUCAAGGGCCACGCCCAGAUUCUCGAGAAGCUGGGCUACACUCAAUUCACACCACAUUAUAUAACUUGGUACUGUCCUCAAGCUUUUGUCCUUAGCAACCAAUGCAAGUCUCAAUGCAUCAACCAUGGAAGGUACUGUGCACCUGAUCCAGAGCAAAAUUUUGGAGAAGGGUACCAAGGAAAAGAUGUGGUGUUUGAGAACUUGAGACAGCUUUGUGUGCAUAGGGUUGCCAAUGAGAGCAACCGGUCUUGGGUUUGGUGGGACUAUGUCACUGAUUUUCAUAUCAGAUGUUCAAUGAAGGAGAAGAGGUAUAGCAAAGAAUGCGCUGAGGAUGUCAUGAAAUCACUUGGUAAGUGCUACCUCUCGUGUUUGCUAUAAUAUGGCAUCACGUUGGUAUUGUUUUGCUAAUAGUUUUAGUAAUCUGAUCCACCAGAUCUGCCUAUUGACAAGAUCAAAAAAUGCAUGGGCAAUCCUGAAGCUGAUGUGGAUAAUGAGGUAUUGAAAACCGAGCAAGAACUCCAGGUAAUACUUGUUCCCUAUUCUCCUUGUGCUGUUUCUGAUUUGCAGCAUCAUGUUACCUCAUUUCUUUUCUUUUCAUUUUUGUUGAAACUUAGGUUGGCCGAGGAUCUCGUGGUGAUGUUACCAUCUUGCCAACACUGGUUGUUAAUAACAUCCAAUACCGAGGUUUGUUAUACAAUAUUACCAUCUUGCCAACACUGUAGUACAAUUUUUUACCACAUCAGAAUCUUGAAGCUCUUGAUUUGUGUACCUUGAAGGAAAACUGGAGAGAACUGCUGUGCUGAAGGCCAUUUGCGCUGGAUUUAAGGAGACCACUGAACCUCAAGUAUGUUUAAGUGGAGGUAAGUCUACCCCUGUCAUACUCUAAUCUGUACUGAUGACUAAUACUCAAAAUUUGGGAAUGCACUGAUUCUUUUUUGGGUUUAUGUUGUUUCUGCAGAUCUUGAGACCAAUGAGUGCCUUGAAAGGCAUGGUGGCUGUUGGCACGAUUCACGUUCUAACAUAACUGCCUGCAAGGUACAUAGUAGAGACUGUAACAUUUUGCAAUGAACACUUAUGAAAAUCCCAUUGUUUAUUUGUUGCUAAUAUUGGGAUCUCAAAUUUGGUUAGGACACAUAUCGGGGAAGAGUUUGCAAAUGCCCAGUUGUGGAUGGUGUUCAGUACAGAGGAGAUGGUUACGUCUCUUGUGAAGGUACCUUUCUCCCCUUCAAGAUACUAGAGAAAAUGUAUUUUUUCUUAUCAUAUGAUGUGUCUACAAAAGAAAGUUACCAAGUCAACCUCCACCUGCAUAUGGCAAAAAUGGUUUCCUUGAUUCUGCAUAAGAUUAUCCUCCUUCUAAAUGAACAAUCUGCUGAAAAAAUAGGUCGGGUUAGGGUAAAUUCGCUAGACUUCAACCAUGCUGUUCUGUCCUUCAGGCCUUCAACUCUACCCUGAUCCAGAAGAUUCCCAUCUUUUCCAUAAAAGAUGACAGGUCAAUUUCAACAGAAACAUACAAGCUUGAGGAUAUUAGUAUAAUCUAAAUGACUAUUAAUUCAAAAAAUCCAAGUCCUCUGUUCUCUUGAUAUAUUAUUUGAGCCACCCAUAAUCUUGAAAAAAAUGUUAUAGUUUAAUCUUCUUGGCCAAUAUUCCACCAGGUACCUGAAAUUGCAAAUUUAUAUCCUUGCCUUUGCUAGGAUAGAAAUGCUCAAUUUGUUCAUGCUGUUCGCUCGGAUUACAACUGAAUUUUUACCUUUGUAUGAUGAACUAUCAUGUCUAUGCAUUAGAUGCUUACUUUUUCUCCUUGAUUGACAGCUUUCGGGCCUGCAAGGUGCGCGAUGAACAAUGGAGGUUGCUGGUCAGACACCAAAAAUGGAAAAACUUUCUCAGCUUGCUCAGUUCAGUGUCAUCAUCCCAUUUCUUUUGCUACCCUUUCUUUUUUAUCCAUCCUACUAACAUUCUUUGUUGAUACUAUACAGGAUUCUGAGGUAACUGGCUGUCAGUGCCCACAUGGCUUCCAAGGAGAUGGCCAUAAAUGUGAAGGUACAGUUCACUUACCAUGACUCGCUUAUGCAACAUCUUUUAGGUAUUCAGGAUCUCAAACAAAAGCAUCCCUAAUUUUUCUCCUUUUUUGUGUUCAACAGAUGUUAAUGAAUGCAAGGAACGUCUCGCUUGUCAAUGUGACGGUUGCACUUGUAAGAACACAUGGGGUGGAUAUGACUGCAAGUGUAAGGGCAACCUUCUGUACAUAAUGGAGCAAGAUACUUGUAUUGGUAAGACAUUACAUGUUUUUUUUUUGGAUAAUUGUAGAUAGCAUAAUUGGCAACAUAAUUAAGAAUGGAAAAACCUGAAACAAAUAAGAUGUACCCUUUCAUCAAUGAGUUAUAUACAAGAUGUUUGAUUGGUACCUGUCCUUCCAUUGUACAGAAAGAAGUGGUUCUAAAUUCGGAUGGUCCCUCGGCUUCUUGGUCCUAGCUGCUCUGGUGGGUGCUGGUAUAGCUGGUUAUAUAUUCUACAAAUACAGGCUCCGGGUAAUGUCUAAGAAAUUGCAUUCAUCAUAUAUUCAUCAUAUUCAUAUACCAGUCUCUUCUAUCCUUGCCUUGGAACAACAAAAACUUAACCGAUCUUCUUGCAGUCUUACAUGGACUCAGAGAUCAUGGCCAUCAUGUCACAGUACAUGCCUCUUGACAACCACAACAACAACAACGAAGUCCCAACCGAGGCCCAGGCUCUGCGACCAGGCUCAUCAGUAUGAGGAAGGUAUGAUGGUCCUUUCUCUCUGUGGGCAGAUCAAUUUCCCUCAUGCUCAAAAUUCAAAUGUUUUCAUAACUGACUUCAUGUAUAUACAUUCAGCAUUUGCAGAAAAGAAAGUAGAAGCAAAUGGGAUACCGCGAAAGCUUCCACGAGAGGAAUGAAGUGUGCUGCCUGUAAAUUUUCAGAUCAAUCUUACAACUCCUGUAUGCAGCUGGAAAUGGCCAAGUUCUCCUUCUCCCAUACCACCUUAGGACUUUGUGUCAUCCAUAUACACAGAAUUACUUUACAGAAUCCUUCUCCCUCGUGUAGAUAAAUUGUUGAGAUGCAAAUCUAGUGUAGCGAAUAAUAAGGUUUUAUAUGACAAUCCAUACGAACAGACAAAGUGAAAGAAUAAAAAAUAUAUAUAUAAAAUGAGAAGCUGCAUGCAUGCAUGCGCGUCCAAAUCUUCAAGUUUGGAGUCCUUUGGCUGAACUACAAUGUUAAGUUUUUUGGGUUUAUUUUUGGCUGCUGUUCCAACCGAGUGGCUUCAGCUAUCAAGCCUAAAGUUGCAGUUGGAUUAGCUGGAGAUUUUGGGGCACUGCAGGGUCCUCAUCGCAUCACUGGCUCCAUGUUUGCUAUUUGGUCUAGGUGGAUUCUGCAUCCAUAUCAUCCCAUCAACAGAAACUCAUCUCCCUAAUCAUUCAGCUAAAGUUAUACCCUUUUUAUGUAGGAUGUUAGGGUUGUAGCCAAAAUCAAAUUUUACUUGACAGCUUAAGUUGAUAGUUUAACAUAAUAUCAAAACCUCAUUUCCCGUUAAAUCUUGAGAGCCCCAACAACAGUGGGCAUGUUAAUUUUCAAUCCAAAACCAGUUUAAUAUAAAUUGUUAAUCGCUGUUAUCUAACAAUUUAAGCUUUUCAGCUAUUAAAGGCAAACCAUCGCCCAGCAUAGUUAUAAUAAAUGAAAUGAAAGGAUACUGAAAGAAGCUCCCAACAAGGAAAAAUGGAGCCUGUAUGAUUUAAUGAAGAGAUACAUAUUCAUUUCAUAAAACAUGUGGUUGAAAAAACACAGUUCUCAUUCACAAUACAUGAAACUUUGUUUGAAGCACUAAUCUGCAAUCCUCUCAAACUUAACAGUGCCUUCAUCCAAUGCGGCCAUGUGCUUCCUUUUCCUGGAUAACUUGGUCGGAUUCUGAUCUGUAAACUGAGCAGCUGUUCUAGCCCGUAAUUCUUCCAAGCUCUCACCUUCCUUGGCUCUCUCCAUGACCUGACAGUAAUUGAAGUUAUAGUUGUAUUCUCAUGGCAUGCAAGCCACAGAAAAACAAGUAGAGAACUUACCAGAUGCCGACCGUACAGAUGAGUGCUUGAAAGAGCUUGCAGAGCAUUCUGUGCCUCUUGCUUUGUGACAAAUUCAACAAAUGCAAAGCCUCUAUGGCUUCCAAACUUCAUUGGAAGUCUUAAGCUCUUGAUCUGCAAAUAACAAGAAUUUGAGAGUUAAUCAGAGAAGCAGAGUCUGGACCCUAAAGCAAGAAAGAUCAAUUGUAUAAAUUUGUGAUAAAGAUGAAUCACCACAAUAGAGAAUCGUUGCAAGAGGCAGAUGAAGAUUGAAUCAGGGAAAAUGGUUUUUAAUAGUCUAAGAAAUGGACUAAACAACUCUCAUCUUUGCCCCUUCAAUCUUUCUAAGUCAUUCUCAAGAUAUAAGUACACCUUUACAAUGUGAUGGCAAUGACCAAUAGUUACCUGGCCAAAUGGACUAAACAACUGUCUCAGAUCUUUCUCUGUUGCCUCAAAAGCAACAUUUCUCACAAUUAAUUUUGUUGAACUCUUAUCCUUAUCAACCUUUUUCAGCACUUGUUCAUCCUUCUUCGCACGACAUAGUUGCAGGAUGAGAGCAUGACCAUCCAGAACAGUACCCUGAAAUAGAGAGAGAGAACAUUAGAAAUGCAUUGUUUCAAGCAAGUGAUAUGGAUUGGUAUGAUGCAUGAAAUAAUACCUGUAAAUUGCUGCAAACAUUGACUGCUGUCUCAACUGAAUCAAACUCUAUAAAACCAAAACCCAUUGACACAUUCUUCCCAUUUUUCAAGUGCUCCUUCACCUGCACAUGGACAAGUCAGAAUCAUAACGUAAGAGCAUAAUGUGGUCAAAUAAUACAUGGGAAAGGUCCUAAAGUGCAAAAGAAUUACCCUGACACUUCGGAUUUUUCCCUCCUUCAUGUGUUCACUAAAAUGCUUUCUCAAACUCUCACCAGACGUCUUAAAAUUUAGGUUCUUGACAAACAGGGACCGUGACUGUUGCAUGAAAGACAAUAAAUUAAAGAAUGACUUAUCAAAACAGUUAUUCAACACUGAAGAACAAUCAUAAUAUUUAGAUACAUCAAGUAUGUAAGAAAUGAUCACCAUAAAAAAUGAAAACCCUCUUCUAAUGAUGCAAAAAAAAUGUAAUAGGAAAUUAUGCAAAAUUCAUGAUGAUCUGAGAAUGAACAACAAACCCCAUAAAAUCACAGAUGCUUUAUCAUUUCAAGUAAAGUUAAGUGUCUAGUCAGCAUUGUAGAAGUUCUUAGUCAACUCCUAAUCAAGAAUUGAGGCUUCCUUUGGGCCAUAUACUAGGAAUCGCCCAUAAUAGCCUUUUUCUCUUAGUAGUAGUUUGUCCAUAAAAAGACAAGUUUUAGGCUUCUAUGAUACUAAAAAACAUAGCACACAUUUCAAUCCACUCCCACUAAUGUAUCAACUGUCAAUCUGUAAAUUUUAAAAUGGAACCAUUUAAUUUAUGAUACAGGCUUUUUGUAGCAGGGAGAAAGAAAAAAUUUGAUGACCUUAAGUGUUCACCAUGAAGAAAAUUGAUAACCCAUGGGAACCCCAGGGUAUGGGUUGGGCAUUCUUAGCCUGACCUCAAGUUGGGUUUAGCAUGAGCUUGACACAUUGAUAGAUGGGUUUAGCAUGGGUUAGCCUUCUAACCCACCCAAGUUACGUAACUAAUAAGAUCUGCGAUCAAAGAUAAGUCCUGUUUGUGUCAACCAGGAAAAUGGAGGGAAUAGAGAAAGGGAAACAAAGUCUUGGAUGAAAAGCUUGCUACUCUAGAAAAGAAAAUUUCCAGCAUUUUGGAACAAUUAGCUAGCAAGUAAUACUACAUGGUGGAGUCUAUGAAAUGGACAAAGAAAAAAAAGGAAAUAAAAAUACAUAUCAAGUAAAUAUAUGAAAAUAACUGACAAGUAGCAUAAAAAGAAAUAGAAAUGUGUGACGAAAAGAAAAUGACAGACCUCAACUCUAUCAGGAUCAAUAUCCACAUCUGAUAUUCCUUCCACCUGUUGUUCUAGUAACAUCCUCUUGACAUCACGUUCACCAACAAUGACACUUCUACUUGCAUCAUUCUCAUAAGGUGCAUUUUGACUGAGAAUAUUUCCAGGAGCCCAUUCCAAAUAUAAUGGUGCAUCCCUAUUUAGAGUGAAAAAACAAAGUUUAACAUUAAUGUCGUAUCAAACUUGCCUACUAGCAUAGACCUCUGAUGCAGCAAUUGGUAGUAAAUUCUGCUGAUGAAUGCAUCAACGUCAAGGAAUGAGAGAACAAUCAUUCAAGCAAAGAUGCAUGAAAACAUAUAAGUUAGAAAGUGAUGUAAGGAGACAAAAGGUAAAAAAAAGGAGUAGAGGUUAUAAAAUAAAAAAUAAAAGUUGAUUCUUUGCAAAAAAAAAGGAAAGAUAAAAAUAGGAUUUUGAUAGCAACCAGAGACAAUAUAAGAUGACAAAAUAUUGCUCCUAAAAUGAUGUCUAUGAAGUGGUUUAGAUAAGAAAGUAACAUAAUGAACAUGAAGCUCAUCCAACAAAGUUUUGUUAUAAUGCUUGGUGUGGGGAGUCCCUGUUAAAAUAAUCAUUUCUAGUUUUGCCUGGCAUUGAUUCUCAGAAAAAUGACUAGGUGAUGCACAGUCCAGAAAUGAAGAAUUUUUGCAACAUUAGUAAUCCAUGUUCAAUUUUUGUUCUUAUGUUAUUUAGCUAGACCUAACAAUUCCUUUCCUAUCAAUUGAAGAACUAGAAAGCUUAAAAAUGCUUGCCCAUGGUUAAGAUUGGGGAAGGUUAUAAUUAUUUAUCAAUAAAAUUAUUAUUUUGGAAUUUCUCGAGAUUGACUGGGCUUGUUGCCAGCUUUAAUGGUGGUAUUGAACAGUAACACUGGUACCAUUUCAAUAGUUACCUCGGAACUAGGUUUUCCAAAAUGCUUGUGACAAGUUAUGAAGAACAACAGGAGAUACAGGAAAGAACUUACUUGUAACGCUUAAGUUCAUUCCUGUAUCUCAAUCAAUUCGUGAGAGAAGGAGCAUGAGAGAGAGCGAGGACGACGAGGGUGGUUUUCGAGAAGAAAAGCGAGGUAGGAAAAAAAGGAAAGAGGGGAGAUUUGGGGUGGAGUCAAAGUUCUUCAAGAUCGGGGUGGAGGAGAAACAGGGCAGAUUCCAAGUUGUUAUUGAAGAGAGUAAGGGAGGGGUUUCAUCUUGGGUCCGUUUGGGGCCGCGGAGCGUAGAAGCUCUCCUGGAUAGCCUGAUUCAGUGUAUUAAGGCAGAGGAUAAGGGAAAAUGGGAAAGGGGUUGGAGGGAAAAUGGGAGAGUCUAUUCUCUGGUGCGGGAUGAGAAUAAAGCAGGUAUGUUUAUUAGAUUGGGGGUGAUUGAUAAGGAGAAGAGGAGGUAUAAUAUUUUCAUCCCGAAAGGCAGAGGUGAGGGAGGGGGGUGGAAUCUUAUGGCGGAGAUGCUACAGAAGGUGGCAGGAAAUAAUGGCGUCAAAGAGAAAAAGCAGGAGGAUAGGGCAAUGGUGGAAACAAGUAUGAAUAAGUCGUUUGUAGAAAUGGUGAAGGGGUCGGAGGGCAGGGGGGGUGAAGUGGUAAGAGUGGAAGUGAGAGAAGAGGAAAUCAGGGGCAACCUGCGCAAACUGGAGUAUUGUCUCGUAGGCAGCUGGAGCCCUAGCUUAGCAAAUGGCAUGGAUAUGAAGAGGUUCGGCUGGUUAAUGGCGAGGACAUGGGGGUUGCAGGGUAAUCUAGGGCUGGCAAGGAUGGAAACGGGUAGAGUCCUUUUGGAAUUUCAGCAUGUGGGUGAAGCCGAGCGUGUCCUUGCCUAUGGAAGCAGGCGGGUGGGAGGCGUCCAGUUAGGGCUGGAACGAUGGCGACCUAGAUGUGGUUGCGAAGACGAAGGUGGGAGCAGGAAGGAAGUGUGGGUAAAGAUUUUAGGACUUCCAGUUUCGUUAUGGGAUCCGUCCAUUUUGCGGAAAGUGGGGGACAAAUGUGGAGGGUUUGUAGCCAUGGAUCCCCUGACGGAGAAGAUGGUGGACCUGGAAGGGGCUCGAAUCCUUGUUAAGAGGAAGAAUGGAGGCUUGCCGAGCAGGGUAGACAUAGUGGUGGAGGAGGUUUGUUACUCACUAUACCUAUGGUGGGAAGUGAGGCCGGAGAUGAGGAAGUCGAUCUCUGGAAGUAGCUUGAAGGGAAACUACAGAGAGGAGGUCAGGGGUGACGCUAUGGCACGCGCUACCCAGCGCGUAGGAGAGGAGAGAAGCGCUAGGCCCGAGGCGCUGCUGCGGACUGCUGACGGGACAGAUGAGCAGGUCAGAGGGGUAGUUGGAGAGGGGACUGGCGAGCGGGUCGGAGCAGGGUAUGGGGCCCGGGUUUCUGCGGAGUUGGAUCAGGUGGAUGGGCUUCUCCACCCAGGCCCAUCUUCAGGUAGGACGUUAUAUCCUAAGGCCCAAAGGGGGGAGAAAAAGGGCCCGAGCCCAUUAAAAGGGUUAAAAUUAAAAGGGGUGGUGGCUGAGGAGGCUGGGCAUGGGAUUGGGCCGUCCUAUUCAAAGUCAGAUUGGUGGAUUGGGGUUGGUGAGAGCCCAGGUUUGUCUAGGAGCAAUGGAGGGGAGGGGGAUCAGUUAGGCCCGUUACAGCCUGAGAGCAGAAAAGGGAAGCCAGAGAGGGGCUCCAUCUGGAAGCGGGGUGAUUUCAGUGAGGGAAGAAAUAGAGAAGUUGAAUUUCUCAAAAUAAGGGAGAAGGAAGACGCAUGGAAGCAGCAAAUGGUUCCGUCUUACUCAGUGACCGAUCGGGCGUUAAUUGCAGAGGAAUCGAGGUAUGGGUCUGUUCUCAUUCAAAGGGGGGGUAGGGACUCGGGGUACCUGUCUUCUUCUUCUCUCUCUUUUGAUCGGACUCCGGAGGGGGAGUAUUACGAUCAUUCUGGGGUGGCAUGUGAGGUGAUUCAAAAUGAAAUCCCGCUGAAUACGAUCAAACCUGUCGUGAAUGGUGGUGGGAAAUGGGAAUUGGCCGAAGACAUCACUGUGAAUGAUAAUGACAAGGAGUGGGAGAAAGGGUCAAUGCUGACAGUGCCUCAAGAAGCUAGAGAGAAAAGGGAGAAUGGAUGGGAGGAGUGCAAUCUGGCCAAAUUUAGCCAGUUUUUAGGCUUCCCGAUAGAAGGAUUGGAGAAGGAAAUCGUGAAUUUCCUGGCAAAAAUCAGAAAGAGAAGAGAAAAGAUAUACAGUAGAGGUGUUUUAGAGAAGACAAAGUUUGAAAGGGAACUGAAAAGGCUUGAAUGCUCAAUAAACUACGAGGGAGGGAGCAAGCAGAGAAGUUCUUCUCAGGUUAGAGGGUGCCAGCUUAUAGAAGUUAAUGAAGAUUAAGAUCUUAUGUUGGAAUGUGAGGGGAGCAAAUGAUUGCUCUAGGAGGAAAAUAAUUAAAGCUGUUGUGAGAAGUCAGAAAGUAGACUUACUUUGCAUCCAGGAAACGAAAAUUAAUCUGAUGUCCGAGUGGGUGGUUAGAAGCAUAGGAGUGGGAAGAUUCUUAGACUGGAGGGCUGUGGAUGCUUCGGGUACGGCAGGAGGUAUUCUGGUCUGCUGGGAUAAAAGGUUGCUGGAGCUGUUGGAUUGGGAGGAGGGGCAAUUCACUAUUUCUUGCCGGUUUAGGAAGGUGGAAGAUGGGGUUGUCUGGGUAUUCACGGGGGUGUAUGGUCCGUUCACCAAAAAUGAAAGGGACUGUAUGUGGGAUGAGAUAGGGGCUAUCAGAGGUCUAUGGGAAGAGCCCUGGUGUGUAGGGGGGGACUUUAACGUCAUUCGCUCUCAGAAUGAGAAGAAUAGGCAAGGGAGAAUUUCUGCAGCAAUGAGGAAAUUUGCUCAGGUUAUAGAUGAGUUAGGCCUGAUUGAUCUCCCGUUGCAAGGAGGUGAUUAUACGUGGAGUGGGGGGGCCAAAUAAUCGUUAUUGGGCCAGGUUGGAUAGAUUUUUGGUUACCCCAAGUUGGAUGGAUCAAUUUAGCAGUGUGAUUCAAAAAAGACUGCCCAGGCCAGCUUCAGACCACUUCUCGGUGGUGCUGGAGGGUGGUAUUAUGAGACGCGGUCCUUCCCCGUUCAGAUUCGAAAACAUGUGGCUUAAAGUAGAAGGGUUUCAAGAGCUAAUCCAUAGCUGGUGGCAGGGAAUAGAGGUGAGAGGAAGUGCUAGCUUUAGGCUGGUUACAAAACUGAAAGUAGUGAAACAGAAGCUUAAAGAGUGGAAUAGGGAAGUGUUUGGGAGAUUGGAAGACAAUAAAGUUGCUGCCCUGUAGCUUGUGAAUCACUGGGACAGGGUGGAAUGUGAGAGAAGACUAUCAGAGGAGGAAACAGUAUCAAAAAAGGAAGCAAAGGAUAGUUAUGCUAAGUGGGUCUCUUUGGAGGAAACUCAUUGGAGGCAGCAUUCCAGAGAGUUAUGGCUAAGGGAAAGGGACAACAAUACAGGAUACUUCCAUCGUAUGGUGGAUGCACAUCGUAGAUUCAAUCAUGUGGACAGAAUUAAGAUAGGUGGGGUGUGGCUGACUGAGGAAAAGGAUGUGAGAGAAGGGGUGGCCAAUGCCUUUCAGCAUUUACUUACGGAAAAUUCAGAUUGGAAGGCGGACAUAGAAGGGCUGCAGUUAGAGCAACUAAAUCAGCAAGAGGCAGAGAACUUGGAACAACCUUUCUCUGAAGAGGAAAUUCAUAGUGCCCUGAUGGAGAUGAAUGGGGACAAAGCCCCAGGACCGGAUGGCUUUACUAUGGCCUUUUGGCAAAGAUGCUGGGUUAUAGUUAAAGAAGAGGUUUUGGAGAUGUUUAAAGAGUUCUAUGAGCAAAGUGCCUUCAUCAAGAGCAUGAACAGUACAUUUUUGGUCUUGAUACCCAAGAAGGGGGGGGCUGAAGACCUUGGGGAAUUCAGGCCAAUCAGUCUCUUAGGGGGGCUGUACAAACUAUUGGCCAAGGUCUUAGCCAAUAGACUGAAAAAAGUGAUAGGGAGAGUAGUAUCCACUGAUCAAAAUGCUUUUGUUAUGGGGAGGCAGAUCCUUGAUGCCUCAUUAAUUGCAAAUAAAGCAAUUGAUGCAUGGCAAAAAAUGGGAGAGAGAGGUCUCAUUUGUAAGCUGGACAUAGAGAAAGCCUACGACAGCCUAAAUUGGAAGUUUCUGAUGAAAGUCAUGAGAAAGAUGGGGUUCAGUUCAAGGUGGCUGGGAUGGAUGUGGAGUUGUAUCUCCACAGCCAAAUUUUCGGUGUUGGUGAAUGGAGUGUCGGCCGGUUUCUUUCCAAGUUCUAAGGGGUUGAGGCAAGGAGAUCCCCUCUCUCCCUACCUCUUUGAGAUGGGAAUGGAGGUGCUGAGCAAUCUAAUCAGAAGGGCUGUUGAAGGGGGUUUUUUGUCAGGGUGUAGGAUCCGAGGAGGAGGAAGGCAGCCAGUGCAUGUUUCCCACCUGCUCUUUGCGGAUGAUACUAUAGUUCUUUGUGAAGCUAGGAAGGAGUAUCUAACUUAUCUCAGUUGGAUUCUGUUCUGGUUUGAAGCCGCGUCAGGAUUAAGUAUUAAUUUGGAGAAAAGUGAAUUAAUCCCAGUUGGCGAGGUGGAAGAGAUGGAGGAGAUGGCAGCGGAACUGGGCUGCAAAGUGGGCUCUAUGCCCUCUGUGUAUUUGGGGCUGCCAUUGGGGGCCCGUAACAAGAGUGCAGCCGUGUGGGAUGGGGUGGAGGAGAAGAUGAGAAAAAGACUAGCGCACUGGAAACGGAAAUAUAUUUCCAAAGGUGGGAGACUUAUUCUCAUUAAGAGUACGAUGGCUAGCAUACCUUUGUACCAAAUGUCUCUUUUCCGUAUGCCCAAGUUGGUUGCACGAAGAUUAGAAAAAUUGCAAAGGGAUUUUCUUUGGGGAGGAGGAAAUUUAGAAAGGAAAGUGCACAUUGUUAAUUGGAAGAUUGUGUGUACGGAGAAGGAAAAGGGGGGGCUUGGCUUAAGGAAGCUAGUCCCGUUAAAUAAAGCUUUGUUGGGGAAAUGGAUUUGGAGGUUUGCUUGUGAAAAGGAAAAUUUGUGGAGACAAGUACUUGUGGCGAAAUUGGGCAAGAGGGGUUUGGUUGGAUGACCAAAAAGACUAAUGGGACUUUUGGAGUAGGGGUGUGGAAGGAAAUUAUGAAGGAAAAGGAUUGGUGUUGGGAGAAUAUGGCUUUUAGGAUGGGGAAUGGUACCAGAAUCAGAUUUUGGAAUAAUCUUUGGUGCGGAUGUACAGUGCUGUCCCAAAGGUUUCCUCAUCUAUAUGGGAUGGCUGCUCAUAGGAAUGGUACAGUAGAGGAUAUGUGGGACCAGAAUGUGGGCCAAGGCGAUUGGGAUGUAAGAUUUGUGAGGGGAUUUAAUGAUUGGGAGUUGGAUUUGGUAGGGAAUUUGCUUCAUACAUUGAGGGGGCUCAAUCCUACUUUAGAAGAGGAUGCUGUUUUUUGGAAAGGGGGGAAAAAUGGAAAGUUUAAAGUUAAAGAAGCCUAUAACUUGGUGGUAAAUUCUGUGGCUAACAAUUUUCCGAAGAACAACAUUUGGGUGGAUAAAGUUCAAACAAAAAUUUUGUUUUUUGCUUGGGAAGCUACUUGGGGCAAGGUGCUCACGCUUGAUAGGCUCCAGAGAAGAGGGUGGCAUCUCCCUAAUCGGUGCUUCUUGUGUGGAUGUGAAGAGGAAACUGUAAAUCACAUACUCAUACAUAGUAUAGUGGCAAGAGUCCUGUGGGAUAUGAUAUAUGCUUUGGUUGGUGUUAAGUGGGUCUUUCCAGAAACUGUAAAGGAGGUCCUAUUAAGCUGGAGGGGCCCUUUUGUAGGGAAAAAAAGGAAAAAGAUAUGGAAGUCUAUACCGUUGUACAUCUUUUGGACUCUUUGGAAGGAAAGAAAUAGGCUUGCUUUUAGGGGGGGGGGGUGUUAGAUAUCCAGAAAUUAAAAAAUUCUUUUGUCUGUAUUUUAUGGGGAUGGGCGAGAAUGUAUAGUGGAGAGAAGUCGUUGUCUCUUAUAGGAUCCCUGGAGUGGAUAGCCGCCAUAUAAGGGCUGGUGGGUUUUUUGUUGUUUUUUGUUUUCUCUGUGUUUUUUGAGGCUCUAGCUAGAUUGUAUACUCCCUGUAUGCGUGUGGCUUUUUGGCCUCUUUUCAAUAUAUUAUAUGCUUACUUAUCAAAAAAACUUACUUGUAACGCUUGUAUGCUAAACCUCUGAAAGCAGCACGAGCUUCCGCUGGUUCAAGGAAAACCACCUGAAAAAAAAAAUAUCAAUGACAAAGUACAUGUAAAUGUACUAGUAAACAAUCAAGUAUUGUAAUUUCAACAACUGAUUAUCAGGAUAUUUCUUUUACUUUGCAGUAUUAAAACUUGAGUAAGGAAAGUAAAGAUCAAAAAGAAAAUUGAUUAUUAAAUCACCAUCAAUUUCAUCUAGCUCUUUUUUUUUUUUUUUUUAUCAGAAACAAAAGAGGUGUUAAUUAUAGAUAAAAAGUACAUGAGAAGGAUGAGGGUUCCCCCACAAUUACAAAAACCUGGUCAAAAUAUGAUUGAAUAUAAUUUCAUCUAGCUAUCAACUGCAUCUAAUCUAUAAGAUUAUGUUGAGGCUUGUCAUUUAGCUGAUGGGUCAUAAAUUAACCCAAGGCCUUUGAAUGCAGCUACACUGCUUUUCCAGAUUAGCAACCUCACAAAAUAGAAAUCAUAUAUUCUAUAACCAUAGAGUAAUGCAGAACUUAAGGAAAAUUUUAGCUUCCAUGGACCAAGUACACGUCCAUCGAAUAAAGCAGUAAUAUAUAGUAGCAGACUAGUCAAACAAAUUCUGUGGAUCAAAAUAAAAAUUCAUCCUAGAAAAUCAAUUUUCCAGAUAUAGAGGCUGAUUUAGGGCACUGAAUGUGUGUUAAUGAUCUUCUAGAAGGUAACCAACUAAUUGUUAAUAUAAUAUACACAUGACCCCUGAACAUAUUGGUAAGGGUAACACUGAUUGUUUAUAUUUUGCACCUGUAAAAUAUGAAACCGCCAACAGGAGAAUCAUUGUUUCAUUCGAUAAUUUUACAUGAAUAUUGAGCAGAUUUAGUCCAACUGUGUCAAAACAGGAUGUAAAAGGGGCAGAAGAUAUAUCCAGUUUGUUCAAGAAAAAAGAUUCAAGAAUUGGAACUCAUUAAAAACCUAAUGGCAUAUAAAACCUUAUGCAAUAUAACUCAAGAUUAUAAAGAAUAAACAUAUACCAAGGCUAAUGUUUUUGUCGGAGGAAGAAUAAUUUUGUCCAAACUCCCAUAUUUCCCAAACAUUUUAGCUAGUUCACCUUCAGAUGAACCAUAAGGCAAGUUCUUCACUAGUAGAAUGUGGUUGCUUCUCUUUGCACCCUCAGUUUUCCCAGCAACAAAUUCCUCUAAAGAGGCUAUAUUUACUCCAGCAUUUAUAAGAGCCUUCUUUGUCUCCGCUAUCACUUGAGUUUCUCCCAAUGCAAUACGUACGGCGAGAUCAUCGGCUUGUGAGUCAAGUAAAUCACUUUUACUUAUACCAUAUUUCCUAGCGAUAUUUUCAACAACCUAUUAAUAUACAGAGAAAUGGAAAUCAGGGCAAAGAAUUUUAGAAUAGACCAUCAAGUGAAUGCAGAAACAACUUAUUAAAGGAAGGCAGACAUGAAUACUCAUGAUUUUUUGCACGUCCCAGCAAAAUGUCAUACAGAAUCAACCAUUGAUUCUUUCCUUACCUUAAAUGUCCAUUUCCUUCUGCAUUGGACUCAGAGAUGACAUUCAGGACACAUCUUAUAUUUGUGAUGGAAGUUUCCAUCCCUCAUUGUAUAAAUUUAUUAUUUUAUUCUUGCAAAUUGCGACAAACCAAAAAAACAUUGAAUGAAAUGAAGUUUUGUGGACUAUGAGUAAUGUGUACUGUGGUGUAAGACUUGAAACAUACUGUAUCAGUGCGCAUAAACAAACUGUUCCAUGCUCGUGUAUCACCACUAGCUUCCGAUGCCUUCUUUUCCUCCUCCCUCUUUUGCUUUAAAGUUUUUGAAGAUUGGCUUGCAGAAGCAUUGGCCCUAGAUAGGUAGUGACGUCAAAACAGUUCCAUCAUUAUGUUAUGCAAAUAGAUGACUGAGAGAUCAAGAACAAGGUGAACUUGAAAGGCUCUGAUAAUGUCUUCAUGCUACUUACUCCUGUUUCUCAGAAGGUUUUUUUUCUCUCGCUGGCAUGACGUGCAAUAAUCUGCCUUGGAAAAUUGAAUUGUCUAAUUCUUCCAAUGCCCUGAAUAAGACAAGAAAUUAUUAAUGGCCUUUAUAAAAUAAUACUGUUAGCAAAUGACAAGAUCCAAGACAGUUGAAUACUAUUGUCAAUAUUAAGAGGGAUAAACCUAGAGACUGAAAAUGAUAAACUAAAAGCAAGGGAAGGAGCUCGUAUAGCAUCCCAGGAUCUGACACACACACAUAAACAAAAUGAAAAAUAUUAAAUAGUCUAUAACACUAAGAUCAAAGCAAGGAAGGAUGAAAUGUAGCUCAUAAUUUAAGUUUUUUUUUAAAAACAAAAAAAAAAUCUACAAACUAAUGCACCAUUUUCAUGAGAAUCCUAUCUUUGAUCCAGGUAGAUAAGCAAGUCUCAGAUCAUGGUCCACCUCAAGCAAAUGCCACAUUUUUAAGUGUGAUCAUCAGGGUAUCCACAUUAUGUGCAGCAAAAGCACAUUACCAAGCUCAAACUGGAAAGAGUAUCAAGGUGGGCGUCCCAAAACACCCUCAAACUACUUAUUAAAUAUUAUGAAGAAGUAAUUCAGUAUGAUGAAAAUAUGAACAGUUAAGCUAUAACACAAACAAUUACCUCACUGCAGAUUCAGGAAGUGUGAAAAGAACAUAGGCAAUUCCCUUUGAUCGUUUUGUAUCUUUAUUCACAACAAGAUGAACCUGUGAUACAUUGCCAAAUUUGCUAAAGAGCUCCUCAAGUUCAUCCUCACUGAAUAACAUCAAGAACAUUUAAGGAAUCAGGACUCAGAAGUUAUAAGAAAAACAUAAAUCCAAUUAGAAUAAAAAAAUGGCAACACAAAUGAAUUUAUCUUACACUUUACCAAAAAUAUAUUGCAGUAUACACCCAAAAAGAAAAAGGAAAAAAGAAAAAAGCAAAGAGGGAGCAAGGAUCAGUACGUUGCAGUAUAUGGAAGAUUACGGACAAAAAGCCGACCAGUCUCAAGAACAUCUUUCCCAUCUUUUGAACUUAACAAUGGGUUCCCUGAGUCCAUCCUUUCACCAUCAGAUUCUUCAGAAUGGUCCUCAUCAUCAACCUUCUCUUGGGCGACAUCGUUUUUAAUGGUGUUGUGCUGUCCAUGCUGACAUACUUGUUGAACAUCUUGACUCUCAACGCUUUUCUUAUUAAAAGAAUCAAUGUUGUCAUCAUUAUCAUCACCACUUUCUGAAUCGUCAUCACUUUCUGAAUCAUCACCACUUUCUGAAACAUCAUCACUUUCUGAAUCUGACCACUUCUUCUUCACUCUACUCUUGAAGUAAUCCAUGUCUGAAAUGACUUCAUCAUGAGCUAGAUUGUUAGGUUUCGUAUCCAUCUGACUGUCUGAUAACUCAUCUUCUCUUUCAUCAGAUUCAUCUAAAUCAGCUUGCAUUUGAACUGCCUCAUCUCUGCCUUCCCUCAUAGAUUGAGUCUGCUUGUCACUGUUUUUGCCAUUAUGAUCAAGAGGGGGAACUCCCAAUGUAUCAUUUGCCCACAUUUUCGACUUAACCCUUGGUUGCAUAACCUGAAGAAACUCCUGAAGCUGAGGAUCAUCAUUCUCACUGCCCUUUUUCGAUUUCUCUCCUUUAGAACCCACAUGGCUCGAAUUUUUAGUACCCCUAUCUUUCUUCUCCACUUCAGUUGAUUUAUCUUCUUUCUUCAAAGAAUAUCGACUCCAUGGACGAGGGAUGUCUGGAUCCCCUACCUUACGAGCAAUCUGGAAGUAAAAGAAUAGGGCUCACUGUUCCUAACAUUUCAAGCUAAAAUCAUUGUCUUCUGUUAUGUGUCUGCUUAUAAAUUUAUGUGCAGUUAGGUAUUCAAUAGUUUACAAUAUUCUGAACAUGAGCAAAUUCCAUUUAUAUUUCUAACCAUAUUUUAUUAUGUUCUUAUUGUCUCUAUGUGUGUUUUAGGGCAUGUAUAUUUUUUUCGGUGGGGAAUCCACCGACAGUGAGCAUUUAUUCAAACUGUAGGUAAAGCAACCCUUUGGUGAUAUGGGCCUGCCCCUUCACCCUACACUACUUAAAUACUAGGAAGGCUAGAGCUCGGUACCUCCAAUUCAUUACUAAACAACACUAUCACCAAGCUAUAACCCUGUGGCUUUAGCUAAAUAUUAAACGUGUGCUUAAAGUAAUCAAAGAGUGUUUGCCUCUCAAAUUCCAAGCUAAAAUAAUUGUCUUGUUCAUCUUUGUGUGCAUGUCUUUCUAAAUGCAUUUGGGCAGAUUAACUCUUCUUCACAUUCCAAGCUUUAAGUAUUGCAUCCCAAGUCUGCCACUUUGUGCUUUCAAGCAAUCAGAUGCUACAAGCAUUUUGAAAUUCAGAAUGAGUUUCAUUUCAAGCUUAGCGCAUUGUUAGUUCAUCACUCCACUUUCAUUACAUAUCUUUAAGCUCUGGAGUAUUCAAUAUGUCAUAGGUUACACCUAAUCCAGAACUGAACAAGAAGGCUCUAAUUUUCUAAGUAGUUUAAUGUAAAAUCAUUGCCUUCAAACAAGUUUACGUGUUUCAACUCUUGAAGAUCCAACUUAUAGGGUUUAAUCAUUUCCGCUUCCCGAGUUCCUAAUGUCUUCGGACAAAAAAACUACCAUAGAAGUUUUUCUUUUAUUCCUAAUAAUAGCAAAAAAAAAAUUCAAAUUUACAUUUCCACAAGACAGGAGAGUUUCAAACAGCAAACCUCACAGGUAAUUCUGCAAGUAUCAAGGUACGAGUUGUUGAAGAAUUUCAGAGCUUCUUCAGCUUCCUGCUCAGUCCGAAACCCAAUAAAUGCGAACUGCCUACUUUUACCCUCUCUGAAAAAUACCCCCAAAUUAAAAUUUCCAUUGUCAAUCAGAGAAUAAACAAUUUUUUGAACACGAACCCAAACAACAUAGUUAACAAAUCAGGAUUACUUGGUUCUCAUAAGCUUGGCGUCGGUUAUUUCUCCUUUUUGAGAAAAAUGAUCUCUGAGGCGGUCCUCAGCCACGUAUUUUGGCAAAUUCUUCACACAUAUCCGAGACCUUAUGCACAAAAAAGAAAAAAAUAAUCAUAAAUUUCGAUCAUAAUGAACUAAGCAAAGAAUUUGGCGAAAUAAAUCAAAAUUAUGACAGCGGAAAGUUCGAUUUUCUUGUGUUUUCCUGCAGUUUCUUAGCAAACAAACGGAAGAUAAUCGAAAAUUCUUUGAUACAAAACACUUACAUCUUUCCUUGGUUCAAAGUAAACCUAGGUGUAGGAGGUGGUCGAAAAAUUUGGCGGCGGUGACAGUGGAGCUUUGUUGGCUGUGGCGUUACGGCUGCUUCGUCGGCGACGGGGGAGUGGCUGCUGCUAAACCGCUUCGGCUUCACUGGAACUCUUUGUAUUCUCUAAUUUCUCACCCUUCCUGCAGUUUAUGAUUUGUGAGUAAAUUUAAUAUAUUAAAUCAUAUAUCUUUAUUAAAAAAAUAAAACAAAAACUCUAAUUUUUUUAAAACAAACAUCAAUAUAAUAAAUUUAAUUACAUAGUCAUAAAUUAAUAAAUUGUUAGAUUUUUUUUUAUAGUAUUUUUUAAAAUUUAAAUAAACCCUAAUUCAAUUUAACUUAAUUUUGAAAAAUAGAAGUCUAAAUAAUCACAUUUUAUUAAAUAAAAAAUAUCUUUAAGGUUAUAUUUGGUUCUAAAAACUACUAAAAAAAUUAUAAAAAAAUUAUUUUUAUAUAUUUGAUUUCAUCAUUAAAAAUAUAAAAAAAAAAUUAAAUAUAAUUAAAAGUAUUUUAAAAAAUUAUAAAAUUUAAAAUUAUUUAAUCUGAAACAUAACUAAAAUGAAUUUUAAAAAACAUAUAAAACCAUUUUAUUAACUUAAAUUUUUUUUUCUUUUUAGUUUUACUCUUUAUUUUCUUUCACUUAUAUUUUCUUUCAAAUUCUAAAACCAAACAUAACAUAAAAAUUUUAAUAAUUUAAACACCAAUAUUUUCAAAAUAUUUAUUUAAAUAAAAAUGAAAGUAAAAAUGGAAAACAAAGUUUCAAAAAUAUUUCUUAAAAAAAAAAACUUAUUUUGAGAACUAAAAUUUUAUCAAAGAACUUAAAAACAAAAAUAAUUGUGUCAGAUUUUUAUAUUUUGCACUUAUAUAAAAAGUCUAAUUUUUUAAUCGAUUUUUCAUAUUUUGUUCAAAGCAUUAUAACAAAAAAUAAUUUAAAACAUAUAAAAUUUGUUAUAAAAAAAAAACCUAUUUUCAAAAAACAAUUCCCAAAAAAAACAAAAUUUGUUUUACUUAUUUUACACUUUAAAUUCUUCGUUUUUUAUUUCUUUACCCAAUUUCAAUUUACAUUGAGAUAGGUCACGACUCACACCUUCUCUUUUAAAAUUUUGAAUUACUAUUUAAUUUUUUAUUAUAGAGAAAUAAUUAUAAAUUGAAUUAACUAUUUUUUUAUUUAUAUAUUAUUUUUAUGAGAAGUAAAUUUAUAAUUUUAUUUUAUAUGCGUUAUAUAAAAGAAAAAGAAAAGGGAAAUAUUAAAUUAAAUUUUGUAUAUUUAAUUUUAUAUGUCGUGAAAUAACGAUUCGUUCCCGGAAUACCCAUUCGAGCCGGAGAUGAAACCACUGCAACGUAGUCUCUUCGUCUCUGCUCCCUCCCUCCCCUCAAACCCAAUCUCUCUCCUGUUCUCAACCCUCUCUUCUUCUUCCUCCUCUUCUUCUUCUGCUGCUGCGGAGGUGGCGGCGGCGGCUGCUGCAAAGAAACAUAUCGAUUUAACCCCAGAAGAGCUCACAAAGAUCAGCCUUCUCAUCCCACGCCUCUGCUCCUCAAACCAACUCCCAACCGCCAUCCGCCUCGUCGACGCAUCGUUCCUGGCAAACCCACCUCUGGAAUCCCUCUCUCUGCGCAUUCUCAUUGACCGCCUCACCUCGGAACCCGAUAUGACCCAACCCAUGGCGCUGCUUACUCGCCUCAAGCACAACCAAUUUGCCCACUACUCACUCCGACCUAUCACCACUCUGCUUAUCUCUUCCUACUUCAAGAAACGCAGGCCCAAAGAGGCUUUUAAAGUGUUCAAUUGGAUGUCCAGACCUGAUUCUCAUUGCACCCCCCACGUGGCGGCGUACUCCCUUUUGGUUCAUGGGUUUUGUAGAAAUGGGUUUGUUCUUGAGGCCCUGAAGGUUCUCCGGGCAAUGGUGGGGGCGGAUAUGGCGCCUGCGGCGGAUUUGAGGACCCGGGUUUAUAGGAGUUUGUUGAGGGAGGCGCGGAUUGGGGAAGCUAAGGAGUUGGAUGCGGUUCUGAGAUGUGUUGGAGAUGGCGGUGAGGGUUUUGGGAAGGUGGCGAAUUUGCUUGAUCGGAUGAUUGGGAAUUGGGUGGAGUAGAGCUGGUAAUAAUUUGAUUUCUCUUUAAUUCUACUCUCUCAGGAGAUUGCGUACCUCUUCUAGUUUAAUUCUGUCAUAUCAAAUGUGAUUUAAUUGAUUGAAAAAAUAAAAUUGCGUUUUGAGGAAUUGAUUGUAGAAUCAAAGCAAUAACUAACAAGAAUUGGUGGCAGGCCAGAGACCCUAGACACUCAUUUCCUUCCUUCAUGAAUGUGAUUACAUCUUGUGUUAAAGCUGUUCAGGACUAGUGUCUCCCAUUUUAGGGUUUAUUGACUGGCUUAAAAGUUGGAAAUAUGGGAAGUGUUAGUGAUUGGCUUAAAAGUUGGACAUAUGAGGAGUGAUCCCAUUUGCAGGAAUUAAUCUUGGGCUGUCAUUGCAUUUGGAGGUAGUCGUGGUACACUCACUUGGUGGGAUCCCUGGUACCAGUUGAUUCUAUUGGGAACUGGAGUCUCUUCAAAACAGUAGAUGAUUGUGUCUGUAUAAUUGCUUCCAAAGGGAAACAGUGUAAAGACCCUCUCCCAGUUGUAUAGGUAUUGUUAGUUUGGGUCCUCACGGUUUUAAAACUCGUUUGUAUAGUGAAGAACAAUCCAUACAUACGUUGCAUUAGAAACUUUUUCCCUAUCUGAUGUGAGAUAUCCCAAACCCGUCUAUAGAGAAAUAUCUGUUUACUUAAUCGGUCUGUGGGACUGAGUGGUGGUUAAUUGUUUUGGAUUGGUGCAAAGUAAUAGCAGGUGUUCUUGAGAAUAAAAACUUAUUGACAAAGCUUCAUUACAUGUAAAGGAAUGAUGGGUGUAUGCAUGGAGGACUGAGUGAACCAGUUCUGCUUGGGCAGGACCAUAUCUCGACUGGGAAAAACUAAACUAAAUUUCAAAUGCCCUAGUGGGUUAUCCGAUACUCAAUCCUAAGCUCACCUGUGAGAUCUCUGUGAAAUCUCAGCAAUGUUUCAUUGAUAAAAGUUUUCACUCAAUCUGUUAUGUGAUCUAUCUGUUGAUCUGUUUGCUCUAUUUCCCUCAGUUUCCUGAAAUAGUAAUUUUGUUGAAUGGGUUUUUAUUCAUUCCCUGUUCUUCAUGUUAGGCUGCAGUAAGGUCUCCAUGAAGGGCUAUUGAUAAGAAGUGACAUUAAAUGAAGGUAUAUGCACAGCAGGAGGAAGACCAUGCUGAAUUCUAGCUGUUGUGUCAAAUGUUUUACCUGCUUAUUCUCAAAGACCAUAACCAGUAAAAGGCUUCAGAAACAUGCAAGACAAUGAUCUAUUCAAUCUUUACAGUAUCUUUGACAAAUAUGGCUGUCUUCAGCUUGCUCCAUGGAAGACGACCCAUCCCCCUGCAUGCUGGAGUAAGAGCAUCAUAAAGAUCCUCAGUCCAUUUUGGUUUUUAAUGCCCGCCCAUUUGCUGUAGUCUGUACUUUUCUGGGAAAUGAUCUUCCAUCUAUUUAGCUGUUAUUUUCAAUCUGGGUGUGUAGUUCCAGGGCUUCAUGCCAGGUUGCAGAGCCAGCCAAGUGACCACUGUUAUAUGUCAGAAGGAAGUGUUCCAGACUGGUGUUAGUGCAGAAAGUUUACAAGAAGAGGAGAGCACUGUAAACAAUCUGUUGAUUAUCUUGCAAUUUGAAUUGAGAUCUUCAAUUGCAUUGAUCUCAAACUUGAUAAUAUGAUGUUGUGAUCUGGUUUUAUGAUUCUUUUAUUUUAUUCUAUUUCAUUUCUUUUUUCUUUUUUGCUUAUAAGAAUAAACAACAGGAAAUCUAACAUUUAAAAAUAGAGGAACAGAAGCACUGAAGCAGCAAUAUUUUUCAAAUAUUUAAAUUCUAUUUUUUGUUAAUAAAAAUUUGAGAGGAGGCUUAAAUUUGCAAAGAAAUGAAUUGUUUUGGGUAGGUUUCAUUGUAUUUUUCAUAUAUUUUUAAUUAUUUUUCGUAUUUAUAUAAUUAUUUUUUUAAAAAUAUAAUAUAAAAAAUAACUAAAAAUAAUUAAAAAUAUAUACUUUAAAAACAUGGAAGCACUGUUUUUGUUUCCAAAAAUAAUUAUUUUGUAAAGCGUGUUCCUAUAUUUUUUUUCUUUUUGUUUUCUUGAAAAACAAAAAUCAGUUAUAAAAACCUUCAUUGAUGGAAUAAGAAAUAUUAACAAAUAAAUACUUAAAAACCUAUUUAAAAAUAUUCUUUAGUUUAAAACAAUGUCGGAUGAAUUUUAAAUUUUAAAUAAUUUUUAAGAAUUUAUUUUAGUAAAAAUAAGAUGAUUAUUUAGAAUGAUUUAAGAUUUUUUUUUAUGGAAUAUUCUGAUAAACGAUUAAAAAUGCUGGAAAUAGGUUAAAAACUAUUUUUAAUAUUGAUGUUAUCAAUAAAAAUUUAUUAUUAAUAAUAAAAUUUUAUUUUUACUACACUUUUGCAAAAUCUAAUAUGUGAGAACCGAUUUAUAAACAAUCCUUAAUUUUUUUCCCUUCCAGAAAAUUCAAUCAUUAUCAUUAGACUAAAAAAGCCAUUAAAAAAAGAGGGACAAAAUUUUCAGAACUCCAUUGACAACUUCAGUGGGUUUGGUUUUAUAAGUUCACAGCCAGUGAAGUGUGGAUAACGUUCGCUGCUGCUGGUACUACUACUCCUAGUGUUACAGAAAGAGAGAAAACUACAUGGAAAAUUGAAAUUUACAAUGGCCUCUUCUCCUCUUCUCCACCACCCAACCCACUGCUUCAUCUCCAGUAACCAGGUCUCUCUAUCAAUAUAUGUAUGGUAUUGGGAUUUUUUUUUGUUUUUUCCUUGUAUCUGAUUUGGGAUUUUGGAGUUGUUCUUGAAGGGUUUCUGCAAUGGGUUGUCUUCAUCACGACCCAACUACUCUUGGAUGCGCGGCUCUGGAAAUAACAUUAGACCCAUCAAAGCUGCCGUAGAGAUGCCUCCUUUUCCACUCUUUGAACCUCCACAAAUUGAAAGUGACACACCUUCUCAGGUAUGUGCCAUGCCCAUUAUUCUCCUCCUUUCGCUCUUUGUUUUUCCUUCAAUUGUUAUUUUAUGCUAUGCUUGGUUUCUCUGAGAAUUUUGGGAAAAUGACAAAAUUUGAAAUUCUGUGUCCCGGGUUUUUCUUUGUUUGGGUCCUGAGACUGCCCAAUACGACUGUUGGGUUAAGCCGAAGGGAAUCCAGAAAUUUGUUUUUGUUUUUGUUUUUUGUUUUCAGAGCAACCAAACGAUUUGUUUAUCUGUUUUGGAAAUAGCCCUUUGAAGGCAUUGAUUUUUGUUUUUUUUCAAUCUUCUUUUGUUUUUAUUUUUGAGAUUAUCCACAGUUGGAGCCUGCAGACCCUGAUUUCUACAAGAUAGGGUAUGUUCGGAGUGUUCGAGCAUACGGUGUUGAAUUCAAGGAAGGGCCUGAUGGAUUUGGAGUCUAUGCCUCUAAAGAUGUUGAACCACUUCGCAGAGCAAGGGUGAAUGAAUUUCUCCAUUUAAAGAUUAUGCAAUUGAUGGCUUUAUUGAUUUUUACCUAUUUGUUUUUUCUAUUGAUGUUUUCAUUGUAGUUUCUCCAUUGUGUGGUAUUUGUUCUUUCUUGUGAUAUGUCCUCCGAAUGGUUCUUAUUUUUGUAUUCAUUGCAAGAAAUCAACUUCAUUAUAUAAACAACACUAAUGUCCUGGUUUCGCACUUGUACCCACAGAUGAUCAUGGAAAUUCCACUGGAAUUGAUGUUAACAAUAAGAAAAAAGCUCCCAUGGAUGUUUUUCCCAGACAUCGUACCAGUGGGACAUCCUAUAUUUGAUAUUAUCAACUCAACCAAUCCGGAGGUAAUUGUGCCCUUCUUAUUGUCUGAAAAAAUGCUUAUUACUAACUGAUAGUUUUGAUCAAUGUUUGAUUAGAGGGUAUCUUUCUGUCUUUCCUCUUUUCUUUUCUUUUUUCUUUUUUUCUCUCUCAGUUUCUCUUAAUGCAGGUCCAUUUUCUGCAAAAAUAAAAAACAAAGACAAGAAAAGUUAAAAAGGAAAACAAAUCUCUUUCUUGUUCCGUGUUCCCUAAUGAAUUGUUUGUUCAUUUUGGUUGAUGGGUACACAAAGUUAUAAAUAUAAUUCUGAAAUGAAGUUGAUGGCUCUUUUUGUGUCACUGGUUCUUAACUUCGGUAUUUGACUGUGGCAGACAGAUUGGGAUCUGCGGUUAGCAUGCCUUCUUUUGUUUGCAUUUGAUCAAGAGGAUAACUUCUGGCAGCUAUAUGGUGAUUUUUUACCUAGUGAAGGAGAGUGCACUAGCUUGCUUCUAGCUAAAGAGGUUUGUCUACAUAUGAGAUAUGAAAUUUCAAUCUUUCUUAAACUUUUUAUGAUAAUUUUUAGUUAUCCUGUUUUUUAUAACGUUGUUUGAUAAGUGUUUUUGAAAAUGGUUCUUGAGAAUAGUUUUUAAAAACUAUUCUUUGAUAUUUUGUUGAAUAAAAAUCUAUUUGGGAACUUAAAAUGUUUUUAACCUAUUUUCAAUGUUUUUAAAUAUGUUUUAAAAAUAAUUUUUAUAUAUAGUGUCUAUUCUUAAUAAUUCUCCAUAUUUGUUUAAUUAUUUUUUUUAAAUAAUUCUCAUAAAUCAAUUGAAAACAACUAAAAAAUAUUCUUUGAAAAACAUCAUGUUUUCUAUUUUUAAAAACAAAAAAUUGUUUUCUGUUUCCUGAUUGUUAAAUAUGUUUUUCCAAUUUUUUGUUCUAGAGUACAGAAAUAUAUUUUAAAAAAUAGUUAUCAAACAAGGCCUAUAUUUCAUUAUAAUUUUUUUGGGGGGGCCAAACCUACUUUGGAAACUGUUGCUUUUAUCCCUCUGGUUUGUCAUAUCCUUUUUACAUAUUUUUUCUUUUUUCUUGGUCCAACGUACUUUAGAAACUGUUUUAUCCCUCCUAUUUGUCCAUCACUCUUUUAGAGAUUAUUUCACCUUGUCUUAUCCCUCCACCUCUUAGAAGUGUUUAUAUCAGAGCCAUUUGAACUCCACUCAUCAUUGCCAUCAAUCAAAUGAACAGAGAGAAGAAUAUUAUGCAUAUUAACUGUUGACAACUGAGCUUUGGGCUAUCCAGAAAGGGAAAAAAGGGAGAAAAAAAAAAGACAAGUUUAACAUGAAGUUGAAUGAGUGGUCAUGUUGAAUUUAUAGAUCUUUUAUUUGAGUAAUCACUUGCUUUGUGCUCAAUGAUCUUUUUGCCACAAGUUAGGUUUUUUAUUAUUUAUAUCUCUUUGCUAUACACCUUAUAUAUGUUUAACCAUGCUUCUCUAUUGAUUUUUAUUUGUUAUAGGAGGACCUUUUGGAGCUGCAGGAUCCGAAAUUGGCUUCAACUAUGAGAGAUCAGCAACGCCGAGCUUCAGAAUUUUGGGAAAAGAAUUGGGUAUUGAGCAAUUUUUGUAUGCUUUUCCAUACUUUACUUUUAUGAUCCAUUGUUCUCUCCUUUUUAACACAUGCUUAUAUGUUAAACCACAUACAGCACUCUGGUGUCCCCCUUAAAAUAAAGCGCCUUGCUCGUGAUCCCAAUAGAUUCAUUUGGGCAGUGAGUAUAGCACAAUCACGAUGCAUAAACAUGCAAAUGAGGAUUGGUGCACUAGUUCAAGAUGCAAAUAUGCUAAUUCCUUAUGCUGGUGAGUUUUUCGCACCUAAAUUCUUGUUUAUUACAUUGAGUAAUAUUUUAUCACCAAUAAAACAAAACCUUAUUACCUCAUGUGUAUGUCUGGAGUUGAGUAUAGUAAAUUUAUCCACCUUGUGAUAUACUACUAGAAAAUAUUAAGUUUAUCCUCAUUGCAUUUGUCCAGCAUUCAAUUUAUAUGGCAUGCAACCUAUCAAGAAGUGAUGUGAUGUUGUGUGUGAAAUUCUUUUUUAAUUUUCUUAUUUAAGUUGAUUGAUGUUGAGUUGGUAUAUCAAUUUUAGGUCCUAUAGUAAUGCAUGAAACCUGUUGGACUCCUCAAGCUAGGAGUGGUUGGAUGUAAAUUCUCUCUUAUUUGGGUUUCUAUCACAAAAAUCACCCACUUGCUCAUUGGAGGAAGGGAGAGGACUAUGAUCUUUGAAUUUUAUGCUCAAUGGGUAUAGAAGUUCUGUAUUUAACUUGAUUUUUGGUCAUAUGGGGUAAUUGCGUUGAAUUAUUGGAUUGUUUUGUGCCUUUGGAUUCCUACUAAACGUGGCUUAGGACAGGUUUCUAUCAGUAUGCAAUGCAUGAUACAAAACUGUACUUGUCAAAUAAAGUGUCCAGAAUGAGCCCUGGUGCAUUUUAUCUUCCUCCUUUAACCAUCUAGGGAAAAAUAUAGUUAAAAGUAAAAAUUUUGCUGAGAGCACAUUACCUUACAAUAGGCCUCAAUGAAACACACAGACAAAUCUCUUGUGAAUAUCCCCCUAUAUGAUUGUGAAUGACAAGAAGGCGGUGUGCAUGGAAAACAUGCAUGCAAAUUACAGUGACCAUACCAUUUUUCAAUCAGCAGUCUGUUGAAUCAUUUUACGAUAAUCAGCUAAUAUUUUUCUCCUCCCUUUUUGGAAGAUUGUUGCCGAUCUUGUAUGUAUACAUGUAUACACAUAUCUAUGUAUGUAUCUAACCCAUUUUUCAUCUCAAUUUUCUUAAGAGAGUCAUUUCAAUACUAGGUAUCCUGACUAGUUUCUUAUUGCACAUGUAUUAAAUAAACUUAGUCAUAUUUCGCAGACAUGCUAAACCAUUCCUUUCAGCCAAAUUGUUUCUUUCAUUGGCGUUUCAAGGACCGCAUGCUUGAGGUGAUGAUAAAUGCUGGACAAAGGAUUAAGAAAGGGGAGGAGGUAAUUUUUUUCAUACUUUUGCUGAUUCUUUGCUUUUAAUAUUCUAUAUACAGGAAAAUGUAUUGAAUGUAUGCAUAGAACUUCUGUUGAAGAAUUUGCAGAAGUUUGAUGGGUGCAUUUCCACUGCAAAAUGAUUGACUAAAACAAGAAUUCAGCAUUGUCCAUCAUGUUGGUGAUUGCAUCCAUGUGCCAAAUAAUUUAAAAUCUUAUGCAAUAGCUGAGUCAUAAAACAGAAUGAUGCUCAAUAUUCAUGCUAGCCAUUAGUCCCAUCACUCAUUGUGUCCACUACCUGGUUCGGGUCCAACCUGAAAAGCACAGCUUGAAAGUCCCAAUCAUAUUAAAAACCUUCAUGGUUUUUGACCUGACUGAAAAACUGCAAUUGACCCAAAACCUAAGAGGGCCAGAGGAUAUUGGAUAUAAGAAGAGAUGCAGAUAUGAUAUUUUCUCUAGCCCAAUGUGUUUUCACAUCUUUCUGUACUCAAUAUUCAUUGCUAAGGCUUAGAUUUUCUCAAAUAUCAUCUCUGCAUGAACUUUGAUAUGAUUUAGCACAAGGGAAUGAUGGCAAAUUUAAGGGCAGACAUGUUACUUGAUGACGGAAUGAACAAAGGGGAAAGCUUAUAUACUGGCAUUUUUAUUCUUUCUGUUUUAAGUCCAGCUAAUUCACAAAUUGAGAUAUAUUCCAUGUCUUGUGUUUGUUGAUUUGGUUAGAGUGUUCGGGUCUACAAUUUUAUGAAAACAAAAAAUAUGAUAGUAGGAUGAUAGCAAUUAGAAAAUGAAAAUUUGUGAAUAAGAGGGAAAAUUGUGCAGUAUGUCUAUGCAUAAUACAUUCUGUUUACUUGGUGAAGAAGUUAUUCACACAAGCCUGCAAUUUUCUGUUCCUAAUUUAACUGGAAUACAAAGAUCAAUAGUUCCUCCAAAAAUGGAACCUAUGCACUUGGAAAUAUUAUGAGACAUUUCUCUUUCAAUGAGAGAUUUGGGAUGAAUGGAAUCGUUUAAUAAAUACACAACUGAAGCUGAAAUUUGACCUUGAUUUUAACCUCUGCCAAUUCUUGUCCUAUUUGAUGUCCUUGUAUCUUUUUCUAGAACCAGACAAGUAGGAACCACCACCUCUCAUUCCUAUCAUUCUUGUUGACUCCCAAAUAUUUCAAACCACUAGCAGUGAAAAACUCUGAUCAUAAAAUUUGAUUGGUUAUGCUGGACACCAUGCUGAUAUAUAAGAAAUUUACAAGUGUUAUUUUGAGUCUCUCCAACCUCUGCAGAUUCUAUGUUGACUAGUUUGGUUGUUCUAAAUCUUUGACUGAUACAUAGGAAAAUUUAAAUCUUUUCAUAAGAUGAAGUCCCAAAAAUCUCAUAUUACAUUUGGAGCUAUUCUGUGUGUUUGUAUUUGUAUUUUAGGUUGAAUUUUGUCGUCAUUCAAUGUUCCACAAGGUUCCUAAGAAAAAUGUGGUUUGAAUUCCUUAUAACUUUAAUAAUCUAAUGUUUGGUCCGGUUUUUCAACUGGCUGUGCUUGCAGAUGACUGUCAAUUACAUGAGUGGGCUGAAAAAUGACAUGUUAAUGCAAAGAUAUGGUUUUUCAUCCCCUGUGGUAAUUUGCUCAAGUCUCUACACUUUCCCAAAAUAUGUUAUUAUUAUUAUCAUCAUUAGUACUAUUAUUAUUAGUAGUGGUAGUACUAUUACUAUUUUUUGCUUUUUUACCAGUUUUAAAUGCAGAAUUGGUUUUCUUGUAGGUAGUUUGUAGUUACAUGAAAUUUGUUUUGUCCAGUGGAAAAACAGAUCAGGAUAUAUGGAUUUUUGGAUCGACAAAUCACUAUAUUUAUUUAAUUAUUUUGAUAAGGAUUAGGUCAAUGCUCUUAUUCUUUUAAGUGAGUUUUUGUUCAUGCAAUCAUCUUCAUUACCUGCAAUUUUCGCAUUCUUGCUUACUAAAGAAAAAAUUAUCUCGUCAGCCUACUACUCACAGAGGACUCCAUUUUUUUUUCUUUAUUCUUCCUGGGGGGGUAGGGGAGUCAUUUGUGAUUUUGGCUGGAUUCUGAAAGAAAAAUGGAAGAAUUAAUAAUGUUGAAGUUGAAUUAAACAUGAUGAAAAGAACACUGAUGGUUUUAAAUAUUACCUCGUAUGUGGUGUGCAUAUAUGAGAAAUGAUAAUUUUUUUUUUUUUUUUUUUUUUAUUUUAUAUAUUUAGGGCCAAUCAACUUGAGUUCUGGUUCAAGUCCUAUACUGUAUAUCAACCGACUGAGCUCUAGAAAAUCUUGUCUAAUCUUGAGGGAUUCCUCAUAUGACAUUUAAAUUCAAUUCUUGAUUUUCUUUUGAAUUGAUUCCAUGUCUUGUUUGACUUGGAUUUUGCAGAAUCCUUGGGAUGUCAUCCAGUUCUCUGGAAAUGCACAGAUUCAUUUGGACUCCUUCUUGUCAGUCUUCAAUAUAUCUGGCCUUCCUGAAGAAUAUUAUCAUAACAGUAUGGGUCAAUGAAUCUUCUCUUCAUAAAUGCAGUUCAUAUAUAUCACAUUUUCUUGUAAUUAAGCCCUAGCAUUUUUAUUCAUUGAAUCCCAUAAAAUUUUGUAGCAGGUCGGUUAUCUAAUAAUGGAGAUAGUUUUGUUGAUGGAGCGGUAAUAGCAGCAGCAAGAACAUUGCCCACUUGGUCAGAUGGGGAUGUGCCUCCAAUGCCAAGCAUGGAGCGGAAAGCUGUGAAGCAGUUACAAGAAGAAUGUCAACAGAUGCUUUUGGAAUUCCCCACAACUUCGGAGCAAGAUCAAAAAAUUCUAGGUACCAUAAAAAAAUAACUUGUUUUCAGAACAAAUUCCUAAAAGACUGUUUUUAGUCAAAAGUUUGCCAAAGUAGUUUUGGAGUUAUAAAAAUAUUUUCUAUCAAGAACAGUUUCAAACAGGACCUCAAUUUCUCUGAUGAUAAUGUACUCAAGUUUUGACACUUGAACUUUUGCUGAAUUCAGAAAUCAGUUCGAUAAUUAAGGAGAAACUUGAACCACUUUGAGUUGGCUCACCAGUUACUAACACAACUAUCCUUAACUCUAAAUAUCUAGGAUCCAACACUAGUCAUAAGGGCUUGCCUAAAAGGGGUUUCGUGUUUUUUCCUUGUUCACAUUACAACAUCAGAGGCUUUAAUGUCAUGUGUUGGUGCAAUAGCAUAAAGAUAAAAAUUCAUACACAAAGGUACACGAGGUUUUAACGCAGUUCGGUCAAUCAUGAUUAUAUCCAUGAAUGAGAGAACUAAUUGAUUGUACCAUAGAGGACCUACAGAGAAAAGAGAAAAUAGAAAGAAACCUUAAGCCCCAGCCCCAAGCAUCUACACUUUAAAUCGUGGGCCAUUCUCUGCUGACCGUCACUCACUCUUACUUAAAUAUCUACUUUAUAUAGUCUAUACAAACUCAUCUUAAUUUCAUAACUUUUUCCUUCUCUGCAUUAUUUUUUACCAAGCGGAAUAUGUAUUAAAUAGGAGUUUGGGAUGCUUUCUAAUAAAAGAUAUGGUAAGCCCUAAACGCAAUAGGACUGGUCAUGGUGAUAAUGAAUGGAUUUAAAUUCAGAAACUUGGUUUCUUGAUAUUUGGUUCUGAUUUUCUUUUUUCUUUCUACUGCCAACAGAUUCUAUGACAGAAGAAAGGAGAACACUUGAAGCUGCAAUCAAGUAUGUACCACUCUCUCAUCUACAUUUUUCCAGAGCUUCUGGCUUUGUUGUGCAGUGAGAAUCAAGACCCACCCACCUUUGGUAUAAUUCAUUAUUCACCUGUAAACAAUGUGGGUAUUUGCAGGUACAGAUUGCACAGGAAGUUGCUGAUAGAGAAGGUCAUCCAGGCAUUGGACAUUUACCAAGAGCGGAUAUUGUUUUGAUCCUGGAAUUUUCAGAUUUUCCAGGAAAAUGAGACAGUUUUGUUUGGUUGUAAUGCUCCAAAAUCGCCAUUGUUUUGAUAACUUCUGUUCAUUUGGUUACAUUUGCAUUUUCAUCCCUAGUGUGAGCUUCAUGUAUCAACUCCGAAUACUGUAGAUGAGCCCACAUGAAAGCUGCAAAUACCUCACUUUGGAUUAAAAAGCCAAAAGCUCUUCUGUAAACUCAAUAAGAGCUUCAGUAGCUAUUUGGCAAAUUUUAUUAAAAGUUAGGCAACUUUUACUUUUUGUAUGAGAUUUGUUUUGGCUUAUGUUUGGCUAAUUUUUUUUAAAAAUUUAGAAAUUUUUACUUUUUGUAUAAGUUUUAUUUUAGGUUAUGCUAGAAGUUAUUUCAUGUUAUUAAGUAUUUUCAUAAUAUCAAUAUUUUUCAUAAAAAAAUUAUGUUUUUGUUUCCGGGUCUUGUUUGGAAUAGUUUUUAUUUUCAGCCUCAAUUAGGAGUUAAAGUGAAAUCAAAAUAAUUAUUUUCAAAGAAUAUUGUUAUAUAGGAAAAAUAAUAUAUUUGAAACCAUGAUGACUCUCUCUCACAACCUUUCUUAUGACCAUUUUAUAUAUUUAUACAAAUAUUCAAAUAGAAAAUAAAAUAAUAUUUUAUACUAAUAAUAAAAAGUAUUCAAGCAAAAUAAUAAAUGAUAACAUUUUAUAUUUCUUUAAUAAUAAAUAAAUAUUAUAAUUAUUAUAGAAAAUAAUAUAAAUGAAUUAUUCCGCACCCAAGGCCAACCAUGUUCGGCUGAUUUCGGAUUGGGUUCGGGUUGGUCGGGCGAAUUUGCCUAAUACCACCGGUAUCGGGUUAAAUUAGGGUUGGGUCGGGUAAUUUGCCAAAAUUGAACCGAAAGGGUGAAUCACACACCCAUUUUUAUUCUCUCUGAAAGAUUCAGAAAAUUUUCCAGCGGAGAGAAAGCUGAGGAUGAGCAGCUUGGGCUUGAAGAGCUUGCUAUCGGCAGCGGUGAAGGGAGGCGUGACGGAGGCACGGGCGAGAAUAUUCGGUCACGUACUUAACCCAACUGGACAGAGAUCUCCCCACAAGAUUCUCCGCAAGAAGCUUAUUGGUGAGAAAGUCGCUCAAUGGUACCCUUAUGACAUCAAGAAAGACGACCCUCUCGUCAUGGCUCGCCAGGAACAAGAGUAAAAACCCUUCUCAUUUCUAAAAGCUAUUUGUUUUUCCUCUAUUUUUUAUGCCCACCAACUGUUUGAUUUUGUUUCUGAAUGAAACUCAUGUUGUUUUAAGUAUUCAAGGGUGUAGUUUGGUCCAAUCCUGUUUUUAGGUGACCUUGUUUUCACUGAAAUUGAUUGGAAAUUGCAUUAUGUUUGUGAUAUUUAAGCAUUCAACGGUAUAGUUCGGUCCAAUCUUGUUUUUGGGUGACUUUUUUUUCGCUGAAAUUGGUUGGGAUUUGCAUUAUGUUGAUGAGUGUUGAGCUACUAUUGCAAAUUGAUUAGUCGGGCAAGUGGGUUGGGAACCAUAAUGCAGUGUACUGCUUACUUGGUUUACAACAAUGAUUUAUUUAUAAUGGUAGUCCGUAUGAAGUACACCGUGAAUUGAGAAGGAACUAGAACAGCGUGUCUGGGUACAUAUGUUUAGUCUAGUAUUUACACUCGUGUGGUGAAGAUUUCACCAACACUAUGCUUGAUCAAUUGUCAAAUUCAUGCUAAUAGAGAAAACUGUUGUAUGUAGUGGACACAGGCAUUGGAAAUUUUUUUGACAUUUGUUAAAUUGUACUUGGCAGGCGUUUGUCCAAGCUUGAAAUGUUGAAGCGUCGUGGGAAGGGACCUCCCAAGAAAGGGCAGGGGAAGCGUGCUGCUAAGCGUAACAAGUAGAGGAAAUCCUGGUAAGCAGUUUUAUAGUCGGGUGAUGAUUGAUGUUUUGAGUAUCAUAGAGUUUAAGCAGGUGUACUUCCUGCAAACAAUUUUCAGCAGUUUACAUUUUUUAUGUGAUUGAAUGACUUUCCUUUAUUUUUCCUUUCAAACUUUGGAAUACAUAAUUUUGUCUUGAAAGGAGAACUUUCACUAAUGCAGCCUGAUUGUAACUAUAAGCAAGAUGUUACGAUGUGAGAAAGCAUGAGCCAGAAAUCAAUCCUUUAUUUAAUCCAAAUAUGAAGAAUGGAUACAAAAGCUGAAUGCCUCAUUACCCUCAGUCUGAAACAUAUGAAUUUCUUAAAUGCCUAAACUUAGCACUUGGUUCAGAAGAUUCCAAUUCUUCAUCCACUGAAGUGCCUUCUGUGGAUUGGCACAGUACUAAUUCCUGGUAGUUCUCUGAGAUGUGAAUUGUGGACCCGUGUACUGCCCUGCUGAAUGGGGCUAUUCAAUGGACGAAAACAGUAGACUUGUUUCCUGUGUUCAGUAAUUUUGGACGAAAACAGUAUGUUAGGUUUUUGGUUCUAAUUCAAAUGGCUAGUGAUCUCCAGAGAUUGGCUUUUCUGAAAAGAAAUGAUAAGCUUGUUUCCUUUACAACAAUCUGAUACAAUGAGCUUGCCCUCAUGGGUUAUAAGAAAGGUAAGUGCAUCCUUGGGAUUGAGAUUAUGCUUUUGAAGAAGUGAUAAGCAUGUUACAAAAUUUAGAUUCCCAGUCUUGGGUUCCUUGACAUGUACAACUGUUGGAAUGAGAAUUGGAUGGCAAACUGAUUAUUGGGUAUUCCAUUUAUGGUUAAUGGGGUAUAUAAUUUAAUCCUUCAGUUUAGGUUUGUCUUAGAACAUCUCUUGUUGAAGUUGCAACAUCUGAUUCUUUUUUUCUUGUAAGAAGAGAGGUUUUCUGCGUAAAAGAAGUCCAAUUAAUGUAGAUGGUAACGUCUUGCACUAUAAAUUCAGCUCAGACAAGUUCAGCACCACUAAUCGUGCCGAUUUUACACUUCCCAAUACACAUUUGGCUGUCUUCAAGCGCAUGUUAGUGUGCUCUGAAACUUCUUAUUUCACUCACAUGCACAGCAUGCAGACGGUGCGUUAAGCUGCCAUGCACGGCUCUUCUUAGAAUAAGGGGUGCUUAUUAUUAACCUAAGUUGGUUAGGGAGAGGGCAGCUGUAGUUUGGCACUAGCCUACUGGUUAGCCUGGCUCAUGCUGAUCAAAAAAAAUCUCGAAGAGGAAUAUACACACAGUAUUCAUGUAAGAUAAUUCAAGAGAACCAUUGAUAGACCAGACUACCUGACCUAAUAAGGUCUGAGCAAUACCAUUCUGGAGGAUGAGUUGAAUUGGUGUGCAACUGUGAAAAAGCUCAAUGGGUAUGAGAAGAGAGCUACAUGUGGACAAGGAAGCAGACUGCCUCCUAGAAUUUCGGUGUAUUGAUUAUUGAGAAGUUACAAAAAGUAUUUGACAAUGAAAUAAAUAUGCACCUACUUCUCAGUUCUUUCUAAUACAACAAUGGUAACUUAUGGAGACACAUGGAAUUAUACGGUUGUAUUAGGUAUUUGGACUUGAAAAGAAUCAGAAAUGAAAACUCGGUUCGAAUGCUUCCUCACCAAUAAUCCCCACAGGAACAAGUUCCCUCCUUGAAAUGAUGGAACCUCCUAACAUCCCUUACAAUGAUCUCCCUCUCCAUGAUUUUUGAGAUAAACUUUGUAGCAGCAUGGCAGUCAUUACAAACUCUAAGGUUCUUAGCUACUCGAAUGGUAGUGCCGGGAGGGGUGUUCAGGAUACCAAAUGCUAUUGCCAGUUUCUCACUAUGCCCACAUAGUAGAUUUUCCUUCUCAUCUUCAUCAACAUUGUGAAGAACACAAGAAGUGUCAGGCACGUACCCCUCCUUUCUCAUCUUCUCUGACAAUGUCUCCAGGAACCCAUGGAGUUGCUCACUUUGUGGAUGAGAUACAUCCCCGGCCAUGAACUUAUGUACUUCAUCUCUAAACUCAAUCCAACUGCACCCAGGUUCUUUUUUCACUCCCAUUUGCCUCAUGUUCUUCCGAACUUCCAUGGCCUUGUUCCAGAGCCCAGCAGAUGAGUAGAUAUUAGAGAGUAGAACAUAAUGGCUAGCCACAUUGGGUUCUAGAUGAAGCAGAUUUUUGGCUGCAACUUCCCCUAGUUCCACAUUCUGGUGAAUUCGACAGGCACCAAGCAAGCUACUCCAAGCACCAACUUUGUCAAACUCAGCAGGCAUGGUAUUAACAAGUUCAUAAGCUUCCUCCAGUUGACCUGCUCGACCAAGCAAGUCUACAACACAAGCGUAGUGAUCUGAUGUGGGUUCUACUCCAUGAUCAUGUUUCAUUCUAUAGAACAAGUUUAGGCCUUCACUUAUCAGCCCAGAGUGACUACAUGCUGCGAAGACCGUAAUAAAUGUUACUUCAUUAGGUUUUGCUUCCCCACCCCUGCCUGCUUCUGCCACCAUGUUUUUGAAUAGUUCCAAAGCUUCCUCCCCUUUUCCAUGCAUUCCACAAGCCAUGAUGAGGACAUUCCAUGUGAUGACAUUUUUGUUGGGCAUUUCAUUGAACACCCUUCUAGAUAGGUUCAAGCAGCCGCAUUUUGCAUACAUAUCAACUAAUGCGCUUCCCACAGUGAUGUCUGAUGCCAGCAUGUUUCUAAUGGCAUAGGCAUGAAUUUCUUUCCCCUUUGCUAUUGCUGCCAGGGCUGCACAACCAGGAAGGACUGUCAUUAGCGUGAUUGCAUUUGGUUUAUAAGGACCUCCUUUCUCAUCGUCGUUAUCAUCCUUCUUCACGUCCUUUGUGUUUUCCAUUCUCUGCAUCUCAUGUAGCAGAACAAGUGCAUUGCUAUAGCGGCCAGAAAGAACGUAACCUGUGAUCAUGGUGUUCCAAGACACUCUAUCCCUAACCUCCAUGCUGUCAAAUAUAGUCUCUGAAAUGUCCAUCUUCCCCAUCCUUGAGUACAUGUCCAUGAGUGCAUUCUGGACAUACCGGUCCUCCUUGAAACCCAACUUUACCGCAUACCCAUGGAUGCUUUCUUUGUUAGAGAAUGCUUCACAGUGUACACAAGCUGGCAUAACACUUGCCAUUGUGGUGGUGUUCGGGAGAAGCCCAGCUACCUUUAUCAUCUCAAUGAAGAGAAUCAAGGCCUUCUCAUCAAGCCCAUUUCGAGCAUAACCUGAAAUCAUGGCAUUCCAAAGCUCAAUUCGCCGUCCUAAGAUAUGGUCAAAAACCCUCCGGCCACUCUCAACCUGACGGCAAUUGCAGUACAUGUCGACUAGUGCGCUACCCACGAAAGAAUUUUCAAUCAGAUCAUUGUUUCUCAAGACAUACGCAUGAAUUUCCUUUCCAACAUCCAACCUCUCCAAAUGGGAACAGGCAGGAAGAACACUCGCAAUUGUAACCCCAUCAAGCUCAACCCCUUCAAGAACCAUGAGGCGGAAGAAGGCCAACGCCUCAGAAAAUCGAUCACUUUGCGAGAAUGAGCUUAUCAUGGUGUUCCACGAGACCAUAUCACGGUCCACGAAUGAUUCAAACAAAGCUUUUGAGUCAUCAACUCUUCCCAAUUUCGCAUACAUUGCCAUCAAUGCAUUAUUCGUAAACGUUUUCUGAUCACCCACCCUCAAACUAUACCCAUGAAGCUGUUUUCCAAGUCGCAAACCAUGCAUUACACCCAAAUUUGAACACGCAAGCGCCACACUCACCAGAGUAAACGAGCUGAGCUCCAUAUUCUCCAUUUGCAUCGCCCGAAACGCCUCCAACGCCUGCUCCCACUUCUCAAAUCGACACAAUGCGGCAAUAAAAGAGUUCCAUGACACUUGAUCUCUGUCAGUAAUUCUGUCAAACACCUUGCACACAUCCCCAAUCCCACCGCACUUCCCAUACAUAUUAACAAGUGUAUUCGCCACAGUCACCGAAGACGAUCCAUACCCAAAUUUCACAGCAGCCGCAUGAAUCUGUUCCCCGGUUUUCAAGUCCUGGAGGCCCGACACCGCCUUCAAAACUGCCGGGAAAGCGAAGUUGUCGGGUCGAGCACCCGACACCGUCAUUUCGAUGUAAGUGGAAAUGGCUUCACGGAAAUCAUUUGAUCGCGUUCUGGAGCGAAGGGCGUCGACCCAUGAGGCGGUGGAGCGCGAUGGGGAUGUGGGUUUUGGAGGGGUUUUGGAGGUGAGUGGAGAAGCGGUGGGUUUCUGAAUUGAAGGUGGCGGUUGAGUUUGGAGGGAAGGAGGAGAGUGUGAAGAAGGAAGAGCCAAAGGUAGAGGAGAGAGGAGCUGGUGACAGUUACAGGAGGACAUUUGGUAGUUAUUACAGUUGAAGAAGUAGUUGAAGCUUAAAAAAUGAAAUCCCCACACCUCGCCUCCUCACAUGCCCGCAUACGAAUAAAUUUGAAUCUUAUUAUAAGGUGAGGUCUCACAAGUAAUGAGGCCCACGGUGUGGAUAAUAUAAAAUUUGAUUCUCAAAUUCAAAGAAUUUGAUUCACCAGAUUUAUUCUCGUUCAAAAUCCAAGUAAAUAAAGAAACCGGGCAAAAAAGGGGACCACUCUAUGUAUUUUUUCAUUAAAAUUAAUUAAAUUGAUUAAGAGAUCAUAGAUUAUAAUUAGGUUUCUUUCCCUAACAUAUUAUAAUUUGAUGACAUCUUUUGAUAUGGUAUCGAGAAAUGCUUUGUCAAGAUCAUAGAUUUAUUCAUAACCAAACAUCAUUCUUGAUUUUUUUUUUGGGGGGUUUUUGAUAAAAUUCAUAUUUACACAAAUUGGGAAUAAAGUGUGAAAACAUAUAGUGUGGCUUUAAACCACAAUUCACUAAUUUCAUUCAUGUUGUGUCUUUAUCAUCUACAUGCCCCACUUUCAAAAUCAAGUCACGUGGAGUUUUGAAUUGUACAUAAAAACAUGGAGAAAUACAUGCAAUGAUAGAUGCCAAAUUUGAAACCACUAGCCCCAAAGUUGGAAUCAUAAUUUGUUUGAUAGUAAAAUAUGAUAACAUUAUCUACUCAAAAUAUAUCAUAUAAAUUUAUUAACACAUUUGAAAAUUAAUAAAUUUAAUUCUAAAGGGAAAAUUUUAAUUUUUUUGUAGAAGAUAUUAUAAAGUUUAAUUAUAAAUGAUUUUAUCUAAUAACACAUUAAAUCGAGCAUUGUGGGCCAUACAUGCCAUGGUGUGUAAGGAUAUAACAAAGUGUGAGUCACCAUAUUAAUGAAAGUUCCUUUCAAAUUGGGAAAUUUUGAAAAUUCAAUUAUAUGGUUUCAAUCAUAAAAAUCUAUAGCGUGUAAAUAAAAAAUGUCGGUAGCCAAGUGGAAAUGAAUAUGCGAUAUAAAUGAUUUUAUUUGUUUAUAUCAACAUUUUAUUCGGUUUGAUUAAAUAAUCCUUGUAGCCACUAAAAUCAUCAUGUGAUAAAAAUGAUAUCUAUGUCUAUAUAUAUAUGUCACUAUAUAUAUUAGAAUAUAUGUGGAGUGACAUUUUAAAAAGACCAAAAAUUCUAAUUAAUCAACAUAAACACUUGUAUAAGAUUGCAUCCGUUUUAAGUGUUUUUUUUUAUAAAAAAAAAAAUAUAGAUGUUUGAUAAAAUUUAAAAAACACUUUUAAAUAUCUAAAAACUUGCUUUUAGUAUUGAUUUUUUUUUAUUAAAACUUUUUAUACAUAAUUAUCUUAAAAACACUUCCACUAAAAACACUCUACAUGAAAACAUUUUAAGUGUUAGAAAGAUCUUUAAAAUUACUAUCAAACGCAUUCUACUAUCAAACGCAUUCUACAUACACUUAAAAUGCGUCUAAUAGUGAUUUUAAAAAGUUUUUCUAGUUUUUAUCGCAUUUGAAAAUUUUUAUCUUUUAAAAUAUUAGAAAAACGAAAAACACUUCCUUAACUAUUAUCAUACACAUUCUUAGAAUUUUAAUAAAAACAUUUAAAUUAUUCUAAUAGUUAAUUUAUGUUUAAAAUAAAUAAUCAAAAUACUAUUUUUUAAAUCAAAUGAAUAUUUUUUAAGUUAAAUAAAGUACUUCAAUUUUUUUUUUAAAAAAAAAACCAAUAAUUUUCAAAUGGAUUAUUAUUAUUUUUAAAAUUUUCACAUUAACUCUUUGAAAAAAAAAAAAACUUGUUGCUUCUCUCAAGCUGAUACAAACCAUAUAUAGUGUGAAAAUAAAUAAAAUAAUAAAUUAUUUCAUUAAACAAAAAAUUCAAUUGUUUUAUUUAAAAUUUUAUUAAAAGAAGAAAAUAUUUUUCUAGAUAUUAUAUUUUUUUAACGAUUGACUUUAUUCUCCUUAAAAAAAAAAAGGAAAAACACAUAUUGUAAGAGGAAGCCAAGCAUCUUAGGUAAUGGACAAACUUUUGUAUAUAAAUAUAUAUCAACUCUGAGAAUCAUUACCAACAUUCCUGAAUUAGAGUGAGAGAGGGAGAGAGGGGGAGAAAAUGGAUAGAGUGUCAUCAUCUGAAGAGCCCACAGCGAAAAUCUCUUCAAUCUUCAUCUACCCCAUCAAAUCAUGUCGUGGGAUUUCUGUUUCUCAAGCACCCAUCUCUCCUACUGGUAACUCCUCACCGGCCCAGUCCUUUCCUUCCUCCAUUUUUCAUGGUUUUUUUUUGGUCAAUUUCAUGAGUUUUCGUCUCGCUCACUUGUUUCUUAAACCAUAUAUUCCAGUUUUCAUUUCUGGGUCUUAUUUGUUUUUCAUUUUUCUUCCUUUCCAUUCAUCAGUUUGCAUGUUGAAUUUUCAUGUUCGUUUCAUUCACCCAGAUGUAGAAAUUGUUUCUUGAUUGGUCCAAGACUCAAAUUGUGUGAGUAUGAUGUUUAUUUUGAUGGGUUGUUUUUUUUGGGAGAUACCUUUUGAUCAAUGUUUGAACCCUUCUGUAUUGUUAAGCACCACAAGUGAGUGUGUUUCAUGGGCUUUUAGUUGGGAACUGCUGGCUGAUUCCUUUUCGGUUUUCAUCCAUACUGGUCAGACCAUGACGUUUGGAUGUCAUUUGUAUUUUUUUUUCUUUUUCUUUUUACUCUUUCUCUCUGAAGUAUGAGUAUGUCCGAAUUUGUGUAAAAUCUGAAAUGAAGAAUAAAAAUCGAUACUUAGAAUUUUAAAUUUUUUUAUUCAAAAAAUAACUGAAAAUAUGAUUUAACCUAAAAAAUUGAAGACAUUGAAAUCUAGUAAUACUUGAGAAAAAAAACUAUAUUGUUUUUCUUGAUUUGACCAGAAUAUGAACAAAAGAAGGCAGAUUUUUCCCUCUUUGAUUGAAUUCAAGAACUAUGUAUGAAUCUGAAUUCUGCUAACUGGUUUUUCUUGUUAAAUUACCACAAGUUUUUUUAGGGUUCAGGUGUGUUGUUCCAAUGAUUUAAACAUUGUUUCAAUUCUAUCUUCCUGUGUUGCAUAAUUUUCGGAAUCCAUGCUAUCUCUUAUCUUGUUUUAGGAACAAUGAAUGUACAAUGGCUAUAGCCUCUAGAUGAUACUCAUCACUUGAUGUUUAUAACCACUCUAUAUGAUGUUUUGUCAUAUGAACAUAGCAAAAAUGACAAAUGUCUGAUCUUGUUUUUAUUGGACUUGGAUAUCACACCAUGCCUGGGUGUUAGAAUCGUGUAAUCUGCAAAUCUUACGAUACAGAAACAUGUUUGCAUUGCUGAAAUUAUCCAUUUCGGUUUCUUUCAUAGAGAAAAAUCGAAUGAAGAUGUGAGUGAGAUAUGUGUGUGUACAGAAUGUCCUGCAAAGAGUUACUUGACUCUAUGAUGAUAACCUUGCAGCAUAAGGAAACCGAUUAACAAAGUAUCAUUUUUUUGGUAGAUUAUGAAGUAUCUGAAGAAAUUAUAGUGAAAACGGGCAAUAUAGCUGUUGGUUAUAUCUUUAGGCUAGAAAAACAACUCAUAACCAUGCUAAUGACAACGGAGUAUUUCACACAUUUUGAAAUAUUCAUAUAACAUCGAAAUCCUGCUUAAAGAUGGUGACACAUCUUUUCAACAUUUUCAUGCAAGGGGACAAGUAAAAUUUUGUGUGGAUAACAACUAGAUACCUGAAAUUAUUUCAAUUUCUUU
rnacentral:lncRNA from 1 species